GCUCUCCAUUCUCCGUUAGAAGACAGUAUGCAACGUUGAUCUCUGUGACAUACUCUAAGUGCCACGCCGGCGAUCGUCUCUCACGAGUUGACCGAUGAACUUCUGGAGCCUCGGACUCGACUGGUUCUUGUUCCUCGUGCUCUGGUGCUGUUUCAGAAGAAUCUGAAUCUUCUAGAUUAUUUUCCACAUAUACUGGCACGGUCUCUAACUUUUCUUUUGUAGUGUCAUCAUCCUCAUCUCUCCUUUGUAGUUGAUCUUCUACAAAGACAACAUCUCUGCUGAUGACGAUCUUGUGGGCAGUGGGGUCCCACAGACGAUACCCCUUUACUCCAUCAGCAUACCCCAAGAAGAUACAUCUUCUAGAUUUUGGAUCCAGCUUUGUUCUUUCUUGGGCAUUGUACAUCACGUACACAUGACAUCCAAAUACAUGUAGGUAGGAAUAAUCAGCUGGCUUUUCAGUCCACAUCUCCAUCGCUGUCUUCAACCCAAUUGCUGUAGAUGGCGACCGAUUUACUAUAUAACAGGCAGUUUUGGCUGUUUCUGCCCAGAAUGAAUUGGGUAGACCAGCAGUCUUCAACAUAGCUCUUAUUCUUUCUGUAAGAGUUCUGUUCAUCUGCUCCGCCACUCCAUUUUGUUGAGGAGUGCAUGCCACCGUGAACUGCCUCUGAAUACCUUCUUGCUUACAGAAAGCAAGAAACUCGUCGUCUGUAUACUCUCCACCAUUAUCCGUCCUCAAGCACUUGAUCUUUUUACCGGAUUCAAGUUCCACCCGCACUUUGUAUUCUUUAAACACUGGAAAUAUAUCUGACUUUUUCUUAAUUGGAUACACCCAACAUCUUCUGGAAUAAUCAUCAAUGAAAGUCACCAUGUACUUUGCACCUACCAUGGAUAUAUCCAAUGAUUCCCAAACAUCAGAAUAAAUCAAGUCUAUAAUGCAUUUACUUCUAGCAAUAGAUCUACUGAAUUUUAAUCUAUGAUGUUUACUUGUAACACAAUGCUCGCAAAAUGGUAAACUUACCGAUUUGAGCCCCGGAAGCAAUUUUCGCUCAGAGAGAAUCUUCAAACCUUGUUCUGACAUGUGGCCAAGUUUGAGAUGCCACAUAAUCGUUGACUUUUCUCCAUUUGACACGACACACGCAUCAGCUUCUUAUAGUGUUUCUCCUUUAAGCAUGAAUAGAUUAGCACCGAUCUUUUCUGUCUUCAUCAAUACAAGCGUGCCUUUAACGAUCUUUAUAAUUCCAUUCUCCACAUGAGUUUUGUACCCAUGACUAUCCAUUUGUCCCAAAGACAAUAUAUUUUUCUUCAGGCCAUUAACAUGUCGUACUUCCUCAAUUGUGCGAAUUGUACCAUUAAACAUUUUUAUUUUGAUAGUACCAAUACCAGCGAUCUCCAAGGCAUGAUCAUCUCCCAUAUAUACAGAUCCUCCUAAGAUAGGUUCAUAUGUGUGGAACCAUUCUCUUCUAGAGGUCAUGUGCCAGGUAGCUCCUGAGUCUAUAAGCCAGACAUCAGAAAGUCGUUUUCUACAUUCUGAAAUAGUUGUUGCCUCACUGUAAAGAAUUUCGCCAUCAUCCGAGGUACUUGCUACACAACCCUAAGCAUUUGAUGACUCGGGUUCUUUGCCCUCUCUUCUCUUUUGGUUACUCCAACAUUCUUUCUUGACGUGCCCUUUCUUGUCACAUUUGUAGCAUUUAACAUUCUUCUUACUUCUGGAUUUUGAUCUACCCUGAUUUUGACUCCCACUGGGGCCACGUUCCGUUGAUCUCCCUCUCGUCAACGAUAGCGCUUCUGCUUGCUGCGAACUUGCUUGUCUGUUUUUCUUAUUUUUUCGCCUGCUCUCCUCAUUUAAUACAGAGGCUGCAACAUCGUCGAAAACUAGACUGUCUACUGGAUUAUUGUUCGUCAGGUUGGUGAUGAGUUGAUCAUACGAAUCUGGUAGACUUUGAAGUAGAAGCUCUGCACAUUCAUUUUCCUUUAUAUUAUGACUCAACGUUGUGAGUUGUGAAAAUAGAGUCUUCAAUGUGUUGAUGUGGUUGGUCACCAUUGUAGAUUCCGCCAUUCGAAGAGUAUAGAGUUUUCUCUUCAAGAAGAUUUUGUUGUGCAAUGACUUUGCCUCAUACAAUUUUGUGAGAGUAUCCCAUAUUUCCUUCGCCGUAUUUUUCUCUGCCACACUGGAUAAUACUUCAUCUGCAAGUGCCAAGUGUAGAUCAGAAAUUGCGUUGCCGUCUACCUCGUUCCACUUCUCAUCAGUUAUCUCCAUGGGCCUUUCUCCAAUUGCUGCCAAACAAUUAUUUUUCCUCAAUACAGCUUUCAUCUUCAUUUUCCACAACGAAAAAUUAUUUCCGUUAAACUUCUCAAUUUCAUACUUUGCCGCUAUUUUGUUGAUAAAUACUGCACACAAGUUGGUGUACCACCUUGAAUAGUUGUGAGUAUGUGUGAGAAUGCACACCAGGAAAGUUCCCGGGAAAGACUGGGGGGUCACAAUGGUCCCACUUAAAAUCCAGACUCCUUAAGCUCUUAUCGCCUUUGUAACAGAACUUUCCUAGACAUGUACAAAAUCACACAGUUGCUUUACUCACACUACUAUUCCCUGCUUUGCACCGCAAAAUUCUUGGAUCGCUUCCACCGUUUCAUGUGAAUAGUACUGUAUACGUGAAUAAUACCGUAUACGUGAAUAGUAUUGUAUACGUGAAUAGUACCCCUUACGUGAAUAGUACCCGACUCCAAAAAUACAACCAAUAGCUCUGAUACCACUGUUAGGAAAUUGGUGGGUGAAGUAGGACCGCACCUAAAAUAAAAUUAGAAGGAAAAUAAAGAACAAGCACACUAAGAGGACACUAGAAAUUACGUGGUUCGGCUUUUAGCCUACGUCCACAGGCGAAGACAGAAGGAAAUAUUUUACUAGUGAAAAAGAGUUACAAGUAUUGUAGUAUUUUAGCUCACUUCCCAAAAUCCCAAUACACCCAAACUCUCAAAACACUAAAACAAGAGCUUAUAAUUUCAAGCUCUCUAAACUCUCUCUAAAUACAAGAAAAAUCUUCUCAAAAGUGGAUGAUCAAAUGAGGGAAUGAGUCCUUCUAUUUAUAGCCAAAAUCUUGGCUACUAUUCACGUAUUUUUUUUAAUUAUGUAUUAUUGUUCAAAAUUUCAAAAUUCAAAGUUUGAUAUUCAAACUUUGAAUAUCUAGAAUUUUGAAUUUGAUAUUCAAAGUUUGAAUAUCUAGAAGUUUGAUUUUGAUAUUCAAACUUUGAAUAUCAAGACACCCAAUCUUGACAGUUCUUACAUCACAUAUUAACAUAAUCUUUUCAAUUAAUAUUGUCAAUACUAGGAUCAUAUAAAGCAGACAGUAAGUAACCCUUGAGUUGUGACCUAAAAAAAAAAUGUAGCAUGUAUAAUAAUUGAAUUAUUAUAGAUGACAACUUAUGAAUAUGUACAUUAUAUAUAACAUAGUCUAGCCCUAAUAUUAGAAUUGUAUAUUAUUUUAAUUUAUAAACGUAAACUACGGUUUUCCAAUAUGUUUAUGUCUCUUACCUUCUACUAAGUGAAUAUGCAAAAUAACUUUGCAACUCAAGAUCAAGAACCUCUUCUCUAUGGUUAAUUCUUGCCUCACCUUCAAAUGAAAGGUUGGAAAUCUAAAAAAAGAAAAUGUAUAAAGAAAAAUGAACGUGGAUGGUUCCUCCUGUGUAAUUAACAUAGGUGACAUUCGUUAAUAGUUAAAUGACUAAAAACGGAGACUUCGCCUGCAUGCUUCAAAUGGAAAUAAUACUUAAACAUGCAAAAGGAUCCAAGUAGGUCUUUAAUGAACUCCUCAAUCAAAUCACGGCAGAUAUAAUCUUGUAAAGCCAAUCCAAUUCUUCCAACCUCCCUUCUCUCACCCCAUGCGAUAUCUCAACAUUCUUCGUUUAAACUAUCUAUCAUGGCCUUGCUUCCCCACAUGGGCGAUAUUACUUGUACUGCUGCCACGUUCUCGCUGCAACUUUUUACUGCCGUUUCACUUCCCAUCUUUUACACCAAACAUAUGUUGCUCACAGCAGUGUCCUCUCCUGGUUUUCUCUUUCGUUGUUGCUUCUGUUGGUGCAUUACAGCUGCUCGUCCUGCAACACAAUGUACAAUACAGUAUAAUCUUUGCAUUGAGAAUAGAACACAAUUAAUAUAUUGCAGUUUAUAUCAUUAAACAUACACAAUAUACAAUUAGUUGUGUUUGACGUGGUGAAAAAGGAAGUGUUUUAUGUGGAUCCUGUGCAGUCCAGUCCUGAUACUAAUUUAGAACAACUCCUUAAAAUGUAUGUGUGACAAUUCAUUUCAUGCAAUUGGUAUUUUAAGUUUUUUCAAUAUAAUCAAGAGAUAACAAUUUACUUUUUUUUUACAGUACCAUGACACUCUUUACAUCAAAGGAUAGUAAGGAAAAAUGGAAUUAUAAUUUUAAGAUGAGAAUUGUAAAGGUAAAAAAAAAAGUAACCCUAUAGAAACUAUAUGUGCCUAUCGAUUAUAUAACUGAAAUAGAUGAGAUUUUGUAAGUUUUUUUUUUUGGCAUGAACAGGCUCCGAAACAAAAAUCGCAAAAUUGGAGUGUGGCUAUUAUGUGUUCAAGUACAUGAAGGAAAUAAUAGCAAAUGUUAGUUUGUUAAUGAACAAUAUAAGUUGAUGAUGACAUUUCUUAACUUUCUUUUAUUCCAUAUACGUGACAUUAUUUUUAAAGUUUGACCUCUUGAUAAUCUUGUAAUUAACAGUUUAAUGGAAAGAAAGUAUACACUCAGGACGAAUUAGAUGAGGUUUGUUUAGAGUAAGCUAACCAUUUUUCCAACAUCCUUGUUACAUCAGCAAAAUGGUUAGUAUGAGUAUGAAACUAUAAAUAUUAGUUGUAAAAGUUUAUUGAAUUUAAAAUUAUAGUGUCAAAUUAUAAUGGUUAUUGUUAACGAUUGUAGUGUAAAUGUUUUGCAUUCGAUAACAUUGGGUAUUUUGAUUUAUUCUGAAUAGAUUGGUUUGCUGGGUUUGGAUUGGAGGGUUGCUGGGUAUGUGGCUGGAAUACCAGUGGCGUAGAAAGAUGUUGGGUUGCUGCUGAAUGUGUGUUGGAGUGUUGUUGGGUAAGUGGCUAUUAGACUAUUGCCGUUAGAAGAUGUAUUGUUGUUGGAGGUUUUGUUGGCUUGGUGGCUGGAAUUGAGUUGCUUUUCUUGUAGUUUAAUUGGAUGAUUUUUUUUUUAAUUUGGGAUGUUGAUUAUAUAUGUAUUGGUAGUGAUGACAAUAUUAGAUACUAGAUGUAUUUAUUUUAAAAUUAACUUGUUGGAAUGAAUGGAUGUUAAUUAAUAUUAAUUGUUAAUUACUAUUAAUUAUUUUUAGUUUUUUUAUGAUACUCAUUUUUAUUAAUUAAUUAAAUUUGUAAACAUGAAUUCAAAAAUAAAUUAUAAUCAUAAUUUUUUUUAAAACAAAUUUAACUUUAUGACUGGAAAUACCCAUCAUAAAGUCUGUCAUAAAUAAUUUUUGGUCAAAAAAUGAAUAAUAAAUUUACAAAUGAUAAUAUAAUUUCCUGUCAAAACUGAAUAAUAAAUUUAUCAAUGACAAUAAAAUUUCCCGCCAAAUUUUAAAAAUUUGGCGCGAAAAUUUAAAUAAAAUCAAAUUUUAAUUUAAUUAUUUUUUCACAUUAAAAUAUUGCGUGACGGAUAUAUGACUGUAAAAUACUAUCGUUAAUUCAUGACAGUAAAUAUUCUGUCAUAAAUUAAUGACAAUGACAUAGAUGACAGAUGAAUUGUCUGUCAUGCGCCCCCUUUUAUGACAGUUAUUUCCCGUCAUUUAUUACUUAUUUUUUUGUAGUGUGUAUACAUUAUUGAACCCCCAAACCCACUAUUAUGCCCCCCUCUGCCUGUUAACUUAGCACUUGCAAUAACCUCUUCGAUAAUCUUCCACAACUAACUAAUUUAAGAAAGCAUUAGACACCAUUAAGAUAUGCAUCUCUAUAAGAAACAUAUAUUUGAAAGUUCUUAAGGAGCUAACACAACUACCUAAAUGGAAUUUUUCAUAAAAUAAAAAAAGUAAGGUUAGUCAUAAUUUGGGUUGGGGAGAUGAACUUGUUAGUUAGAACCACCUGAGCGUUGAGUGGAACCAUGUCAAUCAUGGCCAGCAAUGCAACACGAGCUUGCUCUUAACGUAUCCAGCCCUGAAAAGUAUAAUAAUAGCAGGUGGACAACUUGGACUACUAGUUGCUGCUACAAAUGUGGCUUGGGGAAAAGAAUUACAGAUGAACCAUCACAUUUGUUGUUGUGGAUCGGUUCUCGAAAAUGGCCCACUUUAUUGCCUGCAAGAAAACUACAAACGCCUUGACUGUUGCUCGUCUAUUCUUCAAGGAAGUCUGUAGAUUGCGUGGCUUAUCGAGUUCUAUAAUAUCUAACCAGGAUACACAAUUUCUUAGCCAUUUUUGGAAGACAUUAUGGAAGUUGACUAACACUCACCUGAAUUUCAGAAGUGCUUAUAACUCAUAAAUAUAUAGUUAAAGCGAAGUUGUCAGCUGUUAUUUAGGAAACCAUACACGUAGUCUAGUUGGCGAUAUCCUAAGGAUAUGAGAUAAGAAGUUAUACCAAGUCGAAUUUGCUUAUAACCAAAGAUAAAAAGCAUCAUUGAAGAAGACUACCGAAGGUUAUAAAAUUGUGGCAGACAAAAAGCGUCGAAUUUUAGAAUUUUAAGUGGGAGAUCUUAUGUGGGCUGUCCUAACCAAAGAUAGGUUCUCCGUUGGAGAGUAUAACAAGCUUUCUGCCAAGAAAAUCAUAUCUUUAGAUAUUAUUGAGAAGAUAAAUCCUAAUACAUACAGACUGAAACUUCCUAGUGAUAUCCGCACAGUAGAUGUGUUCAAUAUCAAGUAUCUUAUUCCUUACAGAGGUGAUCAUGAUGAAUAAUUGAAUAUGAGGCUGUUGACUCUCCAUCCUAGGGGGAAUGAUGCAGAUUAGGAAUCUAUGUUAUACUAGGAUAUGUUUCCUAAUUGACUAAUGUUAAGGACUUUUAAGUUCUUUUCCAAAUUAGAAUUUUGUUUCCUUUUCAAUUUAGAAUUUUGUUUCCUUUGUGAUUUAGGUUAAUUAAUACUACUAUAAAUAGCUUCCUUUUGUAGCCUUUGAAGGCAGAUUCGAGUUCAAUAAUAUUUUUAGAUUUCAAAUCUUUGUGUAAGUAUUUGAGUUUAGUUCAUUCUCGGUUUUAUACGGAAUCAACGAGUUUCAACCCCUAAAUUUGCGAUAUUCUCUUGAAUUAACAUUAAUUUAGUUUGUUCUUUUAUUCUAAUAUUUUUAAAAAUCAACGGAAUAUUGAAACUAUAAACUUUUGCUACAUCAUAGAUGAAAGUUUGAAUAUUAUUAAAAUUUAAAAGAAAAAACCAUGUAGCUUGUUGCAUUUUGAUAACAUAUGUAUAGACUCUAGCACCGUGGCAUAUGAACAAGACCCAAUUGAAAAGAAGGAAACUUUUUGAAAUGUAAACUUACAACAUGUUCUCAGUUUAUUUGAGAUAAAUCACUAAAGAAAUUAGCAAACGUCACAUAUUUAAACAUCUUUAAUAGGCUAUGCAUAAAUCAUUCAUUUGUUACAACAAGCAAAUUUAAUUUAGUAGGAAAUUAUAGUUCAUUUGUUACAGUGAUAUUACUUUUGUACUGUUACUGCACAAAGCAUGCCUAGAUCUCCUUAUUCCUUGCUUCCAUCACUCCCUUCCCCUGAUUAAGUAAGCUAUUUCCAAAAAGAAACCCCGUUCCUUGGAAAGCAUAUGUCAACAAGGCCAUAAAUACGAACGUUUACUCAAACCAAACAAUUUCCACUCAAUGAAAAGGCCAGUUACUACCUUUACGAGUAGCUAUCGAGGUGGAUUCAGAUCCUCAACUGUGAUAGGACAGACCAUAAAUUGUGAACCGACUUCAAAUGCCCAAGUCGUCCCUCCCUCAAAGUUAUCUUUUAAAAGCAAACCGCCUUCCUUGCUGAUUACUGCAAGUUCAGGCAAGAUGAUUGCCUCAAAGCUAUCUUAGACUCCUUUGUUUGUUUUAGCUUGUUAACGUGCUUUUUCACACUUUGCAAGAAUUGCAUGCGCUUGAUGGUACUUCUAGAAUUACAUCUAUGCUAUAUUGUUGAACCAUACAAGGGAAUAAAGAACAUCAUCAGCAUUAAAACAUGAAUUACUAUUGACAAAAUGCAGAUAAAGUUAAAAUCAUUAGUGAAAAAAAAAAAUGCACUUACUUUUGCCCUAUUUUGUAAAAUUUCUUGCAACUCCUUUACGCCCUCUUAAUCAUCUAACGAUCUUUAGGCCUUGCUCCAAGGUUCUCACCGAGUUUAAGACUUUUGCGAUGUGAUACAGUUGUUUCAUCAUUUUUCUUAGAAUAUGCAGUCGAGACUAGGGAUGACAAUGGGGCAGAUAUGGGUUGGAUCUACUCUACUCCAGAGCCAAAUUCAUAAUAAAAAUUAAGAUUCGUAUCUGCUCCAGAUCCGUCAUGAAUCCAUAUUUUUUGCUCUAUAUACAGAUCCAAAAAAGAAAUAAAUAUCUAUAUCUACUCCAAAUCCAAAAAAAUAAAAUAAAAUCCAAAUCUGCUCUAGAUCCGUCAUGAAUUCUAAAAUUCAGUAACAAAAAAGUAAUAAUUUUUCUCAAAAAUAUAAUAAAUAUUGUAGCUUAUACUUUUACACCAAAACAACAAAUAAGAAAGAUAAUAAAAUAUCAUUUAGAAGUAAUUACAGAAGUAAGAUCAAUCUCAUAUUAUAUUGUUUCCUUCAUCAUUCUAAUAUCCACGAUACACCUACCCUCAUUCCUACAACAUUAGAUAAUGACAUAUAAAUUAAAUAUGAUUUAUAUUCAGUCCUUUAUUAUUUUUAUUAUGACCAUAUUUGACUAAAUAUAUGAAUAACUAUAUUCCUUAAAAAUUAUUUGGCCAAUAUAAUAAAAUAAAUUGUCAGGUUAUACUACUUGGCUUGCAAUUUAAAUAUUGCAUGUAUAUGCUUUGGGGCUGGCUGACCUUUAAAUUUAUAAAACUAACCUUUAAGUUUUAAGAGUUUAAAUGCAUGGUAAAUACUACUAAUAUGCUAUGAAUAAAAUUUAUUAUCAUUAUAAUUCCACAAUUAUUAAGAAACUUUUAAAAUUAAAUUAAAUUAAAAGAUGAGUGGAUAUGAAUAUGGAUUUAGAUAUUAAGAUAGAUCCAUAUUUGCUCCAGAUCCAUUUUGAAUCCGCACAUCAAUAUCAAAAUCCGAUCCAAUUAGAUUUGGAUCACGUGGAUCUUGGAUCAGAUCCAAUCCAUUGCCAUCCCUAGUUCAGUAGUUUAUGCUUCACACUUUGACCUUGUUGUGCCCAAGAACUGAUAGGGGACCCAUAAGUGGAACUAUUAUGGGAGCAAUUUUCUCUAUUAUUCCUACUAUAGCUAGACUGAAAAGAAUUGGAUACUGCAGCCCCUGCCUUGCCAAGGACUUAGUAAGGCCAAAUAGCUCCACAUGCAUAAAGUUUCUUGCCAGACGAGGGAGAAAUAGUGGGAAUAGAGGAGCAACUGAUUUGUGUCAACAUUUUCCUGCAAGAGGCAUUAUCAUACGAGUGCUGAUUCGAGAUAGUGUUAGCCCUAAAGAUUAUAGCUUUUAAUUAAAAAUGCAUGGCAUAUUCCAGAGAAGGAAGUGCAUGGAAACCUGCACUCACAUCAGGAGCAUUCAUAAACAUUGAACUACUUUCACUCAUAUGUUAUCCAUCAGCAAGCAAAUUAUUCCAAUUUGCGUUGAGGAGUUUAUUCUUAAAUCCACAACCAAAAUAUCAAAAAAGUAGUCCACUGAAGGUGGUUCCAUGCUUCUUGUUCAAAAUCUAGCGAAAACUAGAUUUUGAAGUCACAUAUUUCCAUAGUCAGAUGUUUGGCGGUCGUUAACAAAACCAAGCAUUUGCCCACCAACGUAUGUUGAUCAAGUUGAGUUAGGGGGUUGUUAAGAGUUUGAAACAAAUCAUCAUCCACCCUUCCCUUCUAUGAAGCUAGAUUAUUUGGAGUAUGAUUAGCAUCUCAAAAACUAUGACCUUCAUCACAGCCUCCUGAAAGCAUGAAACUGGUGGUUGUAUCCACCAGACUAUACAAAGAAACCUCCUCUUCAAAUGAAUUAACAUUUUAAUCGCAAGAGCAUGGGGUUUAAAAUAGACUUAUCUGAUUACUGAUCCCACCAUGUAGGUCACCAUUUACAGAAUAUUUUGUAGGAAGCAAACCUCUAACCAAGCACAUAGUGGCCGUGAUAAAUGUCAACAAAAAUUACCAGCACCAAAUACAUAGCACAAAGAGAAAUCAUGCAUUUGGUACAGAGCAAAUAAAUGAAUAAGUUUGAAAACGAACGGAGAAAAAGUUCAAGCUUUAAAGUACAUUAAUUUUGGCAACGAUGGACUAAAUUCUUAAUAUAAAACAUUCACUAAACUAACAUAAUUCCCUAAUUUCCAAUCAUAGAGAACACUAACAAUACAAUAGAAAGUGAACGCUAAACAAACUCUGAGAACUAAUAAGAAAGUGAAUUGCAAGCACCCAUCACUAAUUAGAAGAUGUUAAAAGCUAAUGCUCCUGUGAAACACAAAAAUCUGAAGACAAUCAGACCAGAAAAUCAAAUAUGAAAGAGAUGAAAUGAGAACUAAAAAACUCGCCACUUCGAGAACAAGACUCAUUAGCUGAAGUUUUCUUAAUGCCAGUUAAGUUUCUGACAAACUAUGACACUGAUUGCUGACAGCACUCCGGCAAUUAUUGCCUACAUUGGGUAAUAAACAUUCAAGCUUUCCUCAACUUUCUCAGCCGCCAAGCAAAAAAAUAUCCACAAAAAAAAACUCCAAAAUGGAGAUUAAAUAAAACAACAAAACAAAUAAGAAAAAAAGGACCUUUGUUCUAGAAGGGUGUUGUUGAAGCUGCGUCAAUUACUGUUGCAAUCCUUUCUUUGCAACUGAUCUCAUUUUCUUUGCACGGAUGAUAAUAAAAUGUCUUCCAUAAAAUAAAGUCCUGCCCCCAUUAGUGUUUGAGGUCUCACAUAACUACGGACAAGGGACAGAUUCUUCAAUAAAUAUGAAACAUGUGUAGCGGAAAAUGGAACAAAUAGCCAACGACAAAAAGAUGCUUAAGAUAAUAGGUAGUUAGAAUGACUAAGUACAUCCAAUCCUAUAUAGUUAGUAACUGUUGGGAAAGGGACUACCACAAGCAGUUGUAAAUUAAGCGGAAACAAACUUUUUCUUUUUUUGUGUAAUUAAAAAAAAGAUGUGCACCAUAAAUAAAUAAGCAGAAAAAUAAAUCAAUAAAUCAAAAGUAAAAACCAACCACAAGAGACGCAUAUUUUACGUGAAAAACCCAAAUCGAGAAAAAUCACGAGACCGUAGUUCGAUAUAAUCUUCCACUGUAUUAAUGGGAUUACAGCAUAAAUUCUUUUCUAGAUAAUAUUAGAAACUACCAACAUCAAUAAUCUGACUAUUUUUUACUGACAGUAAUAAUUUAAUAAUUAUUUUUUUAAUAAAUGAGUAUCUCAAAUAAUAGUCAAAGAGAAGAUAAAAUAAAAAUUAAAACCAAUAAAAUUAUAGAGGGCAAUGCCAGAAAUUUACCUUUAAAAUUUAAUAGAAAACAAAAUUAAUUUAUCUUUAGUCGCUAUUGAAAUCACCAUUCUUAAAUAAAGGUAUCCACUAUCUUUUUCUCUCUCUACCGCCGCUACUUUUCACGCAGGCACACUUAGGCAGCGCCUUUCACUUGCUUUUAUAAGCAAAAUUUCAUGGUAAAUUUCAUCGAAAUCCAAGGCUUAGUAAUAAUUACAGACCAAGCAGAAUUUAUUUGAACUUUGAGCUUUUGGGCCCCAAAUGAGGUGGAUCCAACAGGAACAAUAUAUAAAAGCAAAAAAAAAGUUCUCCAUUUGAAUCGAAAGAUAUCCUCAAAAUCACUUCUGUAAAAGGAGCUAUAUGUGAAAGGAAAGACCCUAUUUUCCAUUUCAUGUAAACGAAAUGAUGAAAAACAUAAUAGUCUAUAGCAGGCGCAACAUUAUCCUGAAUACAGCUCCAAUUUGCAAAGCAAUAAACUACAAGUAAUGGUUACUUGACAUUUCAGAUUCUUCAGCCCCAUCAACUUUGUUUGGUGCUGACCAGCUUAGCCUUGCUACUCCCAAUCAACAUCCUCCCACCCCUUCAGCCACUAUAAAUUCAUAAUGGAAUACAAUAAUUGUUAUUUUUUUAGGAAAUUUUGAAUUCAAAGAAAUUAGCAAAAGAAUUUCUGUGAAAACACCGACUGCAUUACCUUUGGGACAACAGCAUCAACAUUAUCUUUUAGCUUAAUACCAAAACGAAUUGCCAAAAAGUGACCAUUUGAAACCACCACAUCAUGAUAAUAGUAAAUUAUGAGAUAAUUCUUCAUGAUUGGCACAAAAGUAUUUAUUAGAGUCAUUAAGAUAUACUAGCAUUUUAUCACAUAACAAUAUGAGUUUUUUAAUUACUGCUAUCUCAGUUUCACAUACAAAUUACAAGUAUUCGAUGGAGAUGUAUGAUCUGUGUCGUCGAUUAUGUAUUCUAUGUAUGCAGGCUAUUUGUUACAACAUGUCACUAUUUUUUAUUUAAAUGGAACGAGUCAUUCAUUACAUUAGUAUUAAUUUAACAUACAUAACCCGUAUUAAAUUUCUUCGUCAAUCCCCGUGCAUGGAAUUUUAUAGAACUAAUGUUGACAUUUUGUAAUGAAAGUCAUAGUCUUGGAAGCUAAUCGUUGAAGCUAAAAGCAGCAUAUAAUUCGAGGUCUGAUUGGACAGAACAAUUAUAUUAUUAACCCCUUUAAUUAGUUUAACAAUAGUAAAUCCAUUAUUAUAAGUCAACAAAUUACUGAUGUAUAAUUUUUUUUUUUCGAACUAUAAAAAAGGAGUACAUUGAUUCAUCAAUCAAUUUUAUAAAUAGCAAUCAAAUUUAAAAAAUUGAAUAAGAAAAUAAUUUUUUAAUAUUUUUUAAUAGUUCUUAAAAUUUGUAUUCUACAGUGCGCAAAUCUUUGCCAUUGUUUAUAAGUUUCUGAUACAAAUAAAUGACCAGCUGAUGGCAUGGUUCAUUUAUUUUACUUCACAAGUUUGUUUGUGGUUUUAUGUACACAACUUGUCGGUCACUCAAUCUUUCACAUAAUUUAAAUUUGAGUCAUUAUUUAAUAAGAAAUUCUUUAAGUUAUUAAGUUAAGAGAUAAACUAAAAGAUAUAUAAAAUACAAAUUCUAAUACACUGUAUUAGAGUAUGUGCUUUUGUAACACCCCAAAUCUAACACGUGCAGAGCACGCGAUGAAGAAGUUUACUUACAAAUCCAAAUCCUUACACAAAAAUCUUAAACUGAAAUACUUCGAACUUUUAAUCAACUAAAACAUAAAUCCACGUAUCUAAUACUAAAUAAUCUCUCCCGGAGGUAUAAAUAUAACAAAAGUCUCAAAACUCCCAAAUUAUAAGUUUAUAAAAUAAACAAACUUAAGAGAGACAUGAGUUUAUUUUUUCUCUUAUUCAACUAGUAAAAGGAAAUAAGUCUCUAACUCAAUGAUAAGGACACCUCUCAACAAGGUACUUAAUCUGCAAAAAGUAAUGACGAUGGGUGAACUGUCAACUCGAUAAGUAAAAUCAUUCCCAACACACUAGGCUUAUCGAUACCAAAAAUAUUGCAAGCCUUCUUUUUAGUAAAACAUAUAUUAUAAUUCAUAAAUUUCAUAAAAUGACAUAUCAUGAUAAGAUGACAAAUUUAUAAUAAUCCAAAAUAUCAAAAGCAUAGUUAAUUAUGAAAGCAAAUAGUAUAACAAAUACGCAAAAAAUAAAAGGUUAGCUCAUGUCACAUAAUGUCACCUAUACUCUUGGUAACCCGGCCAGAAAAAGAAUCAAAAUCAAAAUCAAAAUCUCACGUGCACACUCAAAAUAGAAACCCACAAGUUCACAUUAUUUUAAAAAAAAUAUAUAAAUCAACAAGUUAGUCAGGACUCAGGAUCCAAUAAAAAGAGGUCAAUUUGCCCAUUAAUUUUGAUCACAAAAUUAAUUAUAUGUAUCCGGAAAAGUGUUUAAGAUCUUUUGGAAAAUGUAUAAAGGAGAAACUUUUUACGGCCAGUAAACAAGUUAUUAGCUAGUCAGGAUCAAUCCAAAAAGGCAGAGGUCAAUUUGCCCAUUAAUUUUGAUCCCGGAAUUAAUUCUCUUCUAGGACUACUUAAUUUUUAAGCUCUUUUGGAAAAUAGAUACAAGAAUGAAGAAUCGUUGUAGAAAAACUUCUGAGAAUCAGUCAAUUGUUUCAUUGGAAAAUCCAACCAUUUUAACAUGUUCUUGACUUAAUGAAGACACUAUCUCUUUUGUGGUUUUUAUUCCGAAAAAUGCUUUUUGAACAUAAUAGCGAUAAAAUUGUGACAAAAAUACAAUUAAAAUUUUAAAAAGAUCAAACAAUACGAUUUUUGUGUACUUGUUACCAUUUUGUUCGGCGAUUCAUAAUCUUUUAGAUUUUCAUUGAAGUUAAAAAGAAAGCAUAUAUAAUUCAAGGGCUGAUUCGACAGAAGUCACAGAACAAUACUAUUACUACCCUCUCAGUUAAAAUCUAAAUGGCAACACAUAUGGACCAAUUAUUUUCUUUUGAAUUUUGCUAUUUGAACUAAUAGACGACAAAGGGACGACAGAAACGGCAGCGCCCACUGCCGUUUCCUUAGGUCCCUUUGUCUGUUGCUUCAUUAUCCUUUGUCUGUUGCUUUUUUCAUUUAAAAAAUAAAAUAAUCAAAAGAAAAUAUUAAAAUAAUGAAAAGGAAACCAAAAGUAACAAAAAAAAAAGAUGACAAAAUAAGAAAGUUGACAAAAAGCUAAAAUCGCCAUUAUCACUCAAAUCCGACGAAGAAGCCAAACCAAAUAAACUCAACUCAAUCUGUAUUUGUGUUAACAGAAGAAAACUGAAGUAAAACCAGGGGCCACAAUCAGUUUAAAAAAUUAAAUUAAACAUGGCACGUGAGUGAAUAUAGCAUUUAACAAUAGCAACACUUUUUUACAAUCAAUUUUUCUUCUUGUCCUCUCUCUCUCCAUCUCUCACCUCUCAUGUAAUGUGAGCCAUCUGCAUUUAACAAAGAAAAAUCAGUUCCCUGUCCUCUCUAUCUCUCUGCAUCUCGCUUAUCACACAAGUAAUUUCUGCAUUUCCAACCGCUCGAUUUCAGCAACCAAAAAAAAAAAAGCGGCCAUAAGGAAGAAGUUAGAUCUUGAUAUGCAAACAGAGGCAACUUGAUAAAAUUGGUACUAAUUAAUUGAUAAGUUAGUGACUCUCAUUACAUUGAAAUAAAAUUUUUGUUGUGUUCUAUAUGUCGUCCGGUAACGAAGCAAAUGGUUGGAAAUGAUGGGGAUGAAGUUGCAAAUCAAAAGAAAAAGAAAAGAAAAAAGAAGCGGCUGGGCGAGAACAAGAAGCGGGGAUUAACGAAGUGCUACCGUUUCCAAACGAGGAAAAUGAGUGGAGGGGGAUUAAACUAAGGAAAAUAAGUGGUUGGGGAGGGAGGAGAUAACGUAUAAAGAAAAGAUAAAAGGAAGAAAUUUGACAUGCUUUCCAUUUCUAAAUUCUUUAUUUUAUUAUUUAUUGUGAGCCCACACAAAACUAAAGGAAGACUAAGGAAAUGCAUGAAACGGCAAGCCCACGCUGCGUUUCUGUCAUCCUUUAAUCUUCUUUUAGUUUGUUUAUCAUUUUCCUUUUCUUUUAUAGUACUAUACAUUAAGCAUGCGUCUAAUAACUUAGAUUACACUAUAUUGCAUUGCAUUAAAAAGAUGAUUAAUGCAUUGAAAGACGCAAAAAAUAAAUUUGGAAAUAAAAUUUAUGUUGUAUUGCAUUAAAUUUUUUUUUUUUUAAAGGAGAGUAAAGUUUAUUAAUUGAAGAGAGUGAGAGAAGAAAAAGUUAGGGCUUGUUCCUUGAAAUUUGUAUCCAUAAAAGUAGAAGAGGGAAAAAGGCCCAUAAGAAGAGACACAAAAAAAAUGUAUGCACUACCCAUGGAAUCUUUUAUGAAUUGGGCUUUUUAAUUUGGGGUUUACUAAUUAACAAAACCAAAAACAAGAGUCUCAGGCUGGCAAAAAAUACACCUUAUAAUACCUUGAUUUCAUAUCCUAGAUGCUCUACACAUUUGUUAUCCACAAAACCCACCAUUAUGGAGCAUAUAUGGCAAAUAACCUAUUCAAUAAUCAAUUAAUCAUCCUAACAUUCAUAUAUACAUCUCUAAAAGGAACAUACAUUGGAAAGUUGCUAAUAAGGAGCUCACACUAAAUGGAAUUUUCUCUGCCCGUAAAAAAAGUGAGAUUAGACAUAAUCUGUUUUGGGGGAGACGAGCAAUAACGAGCUUGCUCUCGACAUGUCCAGCGCCCAGAAAAAGUAUAACUACUGGGCCUACCAGUUACUGCAAUAGAAGUGGCUUGGGAAAAAUUGUGAUGAACCAUCCCAUCUGGCAGUUGGUGCGUAUGGUAGGUGUAGACCGAUUCCGAUUGAGAUCGAAAAUUUGUUAGUGCGUUUGGUAGGGAUAGAGAUUGAAAUUUUGUUGGUUCAAUCAAUCAGUACAAUCCCAAUUUUCUUGGUCAAUCCUCUUUUAUUUCUUGACUGAGAAAUUUUGAUCCAGUGCUGGAAAAUGGAUAUCUUAAAAUAUGUGAUGUAAUGUAGAGGUGUUGACGCAUUGACUAAUUGACCUCUUGCAAGCUUGACUACAUUCAUUUGCUUUCUUGUGUAUUUCUAUAAAUUUGGCUAAACUUUCUUAUUGGUGUUCUUAUCUUUAAUUGUUUUCUAAUGUUUCUAUAUCAAGUCUCAAUGAUGUGGUAAAAUUUGGAAAAUAAUAUACUAAUUUUCUCAUACGAGACUCCAGAGUCUAAACCAAUUAUAGAUCAAUAUGCUGAGAAUUUAUAGUAAUUUUCUCAGAUGAACUUUGAGGCUUCGAGCCACAUUAUAAUUGAAUGAUAAUAAGAGUGAUUUUAAAUUUCUUUUUGUUUUAAAAAAAAUUCAUUAACUACGUACACAAAAGGAAAGAUAAUAGUGGAAAAUUAAUUGAUUAAUUUAUUACUUUGUUUUUUUUUCUAUUUUAUCAGUUAAUACUUGUUCCUUUUUUCAUAAGAAUUUACAGGAUACUAUUCAAUUAUAAUCCCACAUUAAAAUUUAAUUUUUUAAUAUUCUAAUUAUCAAUAAAAGAUCUUGAAAGUUAAAAAAUCUUGUACAAUGAUUACCUAUAGCUAAUGCUACUUUAAUACCAAAAUUUAGUCAUUAGAAUCAAUGUAAGACAAAGGACAUGAUACGUGUUAUGCAAAAUUUUCAUAUUUUAUGUAAUUAUUUAUAAUAGUGAUUGGGAUUCUUACAGCUGAGUCAAAUAUUUAUCUCAAUGAUGCACUGAUUUUUCAAGAGUUUGCACGGGAUGAUAUUGGGUGUAUACGUGACGCUUUGCUGGUAAUUGAAAAUAUAAAAUAGUUAUCUUGAAAGAACAGUUUUUUAAAUUCUACAAAUGAUACAUUGACAUUUUGGAAUUAAUACCGUGACGGUUUACAUUCUUGGUAGAUAUCCGCUGAAGCUAGAAGAAGCAUGCAAUUAAAGGCCUGAUUGGAUAGAAAAGUAAUAUUCAGUCCCCAUUAAUUAGUUAAGAUAUGUAAAAUCUGAAUGCCAACACAAACAGACCAAUUAAUGUUGCUUGCAAACUUUAGCGGGCCAGCUUUAGAGUUUUUGGCGUCUUAGGCGAAGUUUUAUUAUAGCCCUCUUUUUAUUAUGUAACUAGUAAAUAGAACCGCACUUCGUGUGGCUUUAAAAAAAAAAUUUAGUAUUAUUUUUUUUAUUACUUUAUACUUGAUGAAAUUGAUAAAAAAUAUGAAUUGAUUUUUUUUUAAAGAUGACGCAGCCUUAUAAAACUAAUGUUAUUUAUGAAAGUUAAUUAUUUUGUUGUUAACUUUAAAAAUAUAUAUUAAUGUGUAUAGUUAAGUGUACACAACUUUUUCAUCAAUAAAAAUUAUGUUCACACUAAUAAACUCUCCAUUCUUUUUUGUAUUAACAGACUCCCACAUCUUACAAAGUCUAACACUUAUCAACCAACAAUCUUUAUCAUUGUUUAACUCAUGAAGAAAAGAAUACUCCAUGAAGUACACAAUACAAAAAAUUUAAAUAAGUCAAAAAAAUAAAAAAGUAAGAACAUUUCUAAAGAGGAUGCUAGUUAAAUAAUAAAAAAAAAUCCAAACAUAACAAAUCUUAAAUACUUAAUAUUUAUAGAGUUUGAAGAAGGUAAAAGACACUAAAUAAAAGGUUGCAUAAUUAAAUAUGAGAUUAUGGCAUUAAAACUGCUGUACGGCCAAGGCGGAUGUACGGUACAGCAGGUGAUUCCAUGAGUAUAUCCUUAAAGGAGAUAUGCUCACAAAAAUCAGAGAUUUCUGCAGACUCUUCCAAGGCAGAUCUCUCCAAUCCUUUCUUCACUCACCAUUUGGAUAACCCUGGAUUGAUUCUCGUCUCCAAACCUCUAAAUGGAGAUAAUUACUUUGGUUGGAUAAGGGCUAUGGUUCAAGCUUUAAACUCCAAGAACAAGCUCGGAUUUGUCAAUGGUUCUAUCAAAGUUCCUUCAGAAGAAGUUGAUCCUGAAGGCUAUGCGACUUGGUCGAGAUGCAACGAUAUAGUUCAUUCCUGGAUCAUCAAUUCUUGCGAUCCAGAAAUAGCUGAUAGUGUGACUUUUUAUCUUGCUGCUCAUUAGGUUUGGGAACAUCUCUAUAAGCGUUUCUCUCAAGGCACAUCUUCGAGAUACAACGAGAUAUUGCUUUCCUUCGACAAGAGUAACUCUAUGUCUCUACUUAUUAUACUAAGUAAAAAAGUUUAUAGGAUGAAUUGGCAACACAUUCAGACAUAGCACAAGCCGAUCGACAGAAAUUGAUGCAGUUUCUAAUGGGUCUAAACAAAACUUAUAGUGCAAUUCGAGGUCAAAUCCUGCUCAUGAAUCCUUUGCCUUCUAUUCGCCAAGCCUACUCUUCAAUCUCCCAAGAGGAGAAACUACGCCUCCUCAGUUCAACGCAUACAAGCACCGAUUCAAGCAGCAGAGCUGCUGCCAUGGUUGUACGCAGCAAGCCGAUUCCUUCGGCAAUAGGAAAAACCGAACAAACUUGCUCUCAUGGGUUCCCAGAUUCUCGCGAUCGAACAUACUCUCAGGUGUAGGAAUUUGCAGGACCUCAAGAUGGAGAUCAGCGUUGAUCUGGCUCUAGGAGAGGUAGGGCUUUGUGUGACCACUGUGGAAAUUUCGGCCAUUGGAUCCAGAAAUGUUAUAAGUUGUAUGGAUACCCACCAGGCCAUCCUAAAGCUAAAAUGAACUCAGGCCAAAAUUCAAAUCGGCAUAAAGGUAUUUCUGUGGCUGAUCAAGUUGGAGAGGUGUCAAACACAAAUGAAGGCUCACUUACAAUAUCCGAUGCUCAACUCAAGCAACUUUUGUCACUCCUGAAUAAUCAAAAUAAAGGUUCUCACUCCAAAGCAAAUGCGGUAACAAACCCAGGUUUGUCUAAGAUUGCUUCCCGAAAUUUGAUUAUUGAUAGCGGGGCGACAUAUGACGCAGCCUUAUAAAACUAAUGUUAUUUAUGAAAGUUAAUUAUUUUUUUGUUAACUUUAAAAAUAUAUAUUAAUAUGUAUAGUUAAGUGUACACAACCUUUUCAUCAAUAAAAAUUAUGUUCACACUAAUCAACUCUUCAUUCUUCUUGGUAUUAACAGACUCCCACAUUUUACAAAGCAUAAUCCUUAUCAACCAACAAUCUUUAUCAUUGUUUAACUCAUGAAGAAAAGAAUACUCCAUGAAGUACACAAUACAAAAAAUUUAAAUAAGUCAAAAAAAUAAAAAAGUAAGAACAUUUCUAAAGAGGAUGCUAGUUAAAUAAUAAAAAAAAUCCAAACAUAACAAAUCUUAAAUGCUUAAUAUUUAUAUAGUUUGAAGAAGCCGAAAGACACUAAAUAAAAGCUUGCAUAAUUAAAUAUGAAAUUAUGACAUUAAAAUUAGGUCCUAGUGCUAUUGGUGAGGGAAGAUGAAAGAACCUUCAUUCCUAUAUUAAUUAGUUGAUGUAUUUUAAACCACUAAAGUUUAGUUGUUGGCUUAAUAAAAUAAAUGAAUGUUUNNNNNNNNNNNNNNNNNNNNNNNNNNNNNNNNNNNNNNNNNNNNNNNNNNNNNNNNNNNNNNNNNNNNNNNNNNNNNNNNNNNNNNNNNNNNNNNNNNNNNNNNNNNNNNNNNNNNNNNNNNNNNNNNNNNNNNNNNNNNNNNNNNNNNNNNNNNNNNNNNNNNNNNNNNNNNNNNNNNNNNNNNNNNNNNNNNNNNNNNNNNNNNNNNNNNNNNNNNNNNNNNNNNNNNNNNNNNNNNNNNNNNNNNNNNNNNNNNNNNNNNNNNNNNNNNNNNNNNNNNNNNNNNNNNNNNNNNNNNNNNNNNNNNNNNNNNNNNNNNNNNNNNNNNNNNNNNNNNNNNNNNNNNNNNNNNNNNNNNAAAAAUUUAAAUAAGUCAAAAAAUAAAAACACAAGAACAUUUCUAAAGAGGAUGUUGGUUAAAUUAAAAAAAAAUCCAAACAUAACAAAUCUUAAAUACUUAAUAUUUAUAGAGUUUGAAGAGGCAAAAAGACACUAAAUAAAAGGUUGCAUAAUUAAAUAUGAGAUUAUGGCAUUAAAAUUAGGUCCUAGUGGCAUUGGUGAGGGAAGAUGAAGGAACCUUCCUUCCUAUAUUAAUUAUUUGAUGUAUUUUAAACCACUAAAGUUUAGUUGUUGGCUUAAUAAAAUAAAUGAAUGUUUCAAAACUAUAAUUAUUUUAUUAUUAAUGGUUACACAUUGUUAAAUUUAAAUAAAAGAAAAAGAGACAUGUAAUCUUUUAUAAUCUACUAAUUAUUUUCUAUUUUUAGUAUUUUCUAACGUAAUUAUUUUUUAAUCUCAACCAAUAUAUUAGAUAAUAGAGAAUAUAAAAAGAUGAGAAAUAGUGAUGCCACAUCACCUCUUCUAGUCCCAACUUUAUAUAUAUAUAUAUUUUGUAAUGUAAUUAUUUUUUAAUUUCAGCUAAUAUAUUAGAUAAUAAAGAAUAUAAAAAGAUGAGAAAUAAUGAUGUCACAAAUUUUAAAUAUUUAAGGGAAAUUAUCAGUCAUAUACCCUUAAAUAACACCAGUAUCAAACGUGUUACAACACUUUUCAAGUGUAUCACUCGUAUACCCUAAGUUCACAAAACACUUCUGCCGUCCACCGAUCCGUUAACUGUCGUUUACGAGCGCUGACAUCACAAGAGUAAUUUAGUCUUUUUCUUAAAAACGACAUGUCAUCCCAUUUACUUAGUAAAAAACGACAUGUCAUAUGAUAUAUUUUGAUAAAAAUGACAUGUCAUCCCAUUUACUUUAUUUUGAGUUUAAAGGGUAAAAUAGUCAUUUUACUCAAAUUCUGUUAAGUUCUUAAUGUUAGUAAAUGGAAAGGUGGACGCUAGAACUCUUUUGUCAACUUAGGGUAUACGAGUGAUAUAAGUGAAAAGUAUUGUAAUAUGUUUGAUAAUUGUGACAUUUAAGGGUAUAUCGGUGAUAAUUUCCCAAUAUUUAAUGUUUAUGGAUUUGAAGAAGUUAAAAGGCACUAAACAAAAGAUUGAAUAAUUAAAUAUGAGAUUAUGACAUUAAAAUUAUGCUCUAAUGACAUUGUUGAGGGAAGAUGAAGGAACAUUCCUUCAUAUAUUAAUUAAUUGAUGUAUUUUAAGCCACUAAAAUUUAAUUAUUGGCAUAAUAAAAUAAAUGAAUGUUUCAAGACUUAUAAUUAAUUAUUAUUAAUGGGUACAUAUUGUUGAAUUUAAAUAGAAAGAGGAAAAGACAUGUAAUCAUUUAUAAUCUAAUACUUAUUUUUUAUUUUAAUAUUUUGUAAUGUAAUUAUUUUUUAAUUUCAACCAAUUUAUUAAGUAAUAGAGAAUAUGAGAUGAUGAGAAAUGGUGAUGUCACAUUACCUCUUAUAAUCCCAACUUUAUAUAUAUACCAGGAAAUAGAACCGCACUUCGUGCGGUUUUAAAAAAAGAAUUUAGUAUUUUCUUUUUUUAUUACUUUGCACUUGAUGAAACUAAUAAAAAAUAUGAAUUAUCUUUUUUAAAGAUGACGCAGCCUUAUAAAACUAAUGUUAUUUAUGAAAGUUAAUUAUUUUUUGUUAACAUUAAAAAUAUAUAUUAAUGUGUAUAGUUAAGUGUACACAACCUUUUCAUCAAUAAAAAUCAUGUUCACACUAAUCAACUCUCUAUUUUUCUUGGUAUUAACAGACUCCCACAUCUUACAAAGCCUAACCCUUAUCAUCCAACUAUCUUUAUCAUUAUUUAACUUAUGAAGAAAAGAGUACUCCAUGAAGCACACAAUACUAAAAAUUUAAAUAAGUCAAAAAAAUAAAAACACAAUAACAUUUCUAAAGAGGAUGUUGGCUAAAUAAUAAAAAAAAACCAAACAUAACAAAUCUUAAAUACUUAAUAUUUAUAGAGUUUGAAGAAGCCAAAAGACAUUAAAUAAAAAGUUGCAUAAUUAAAUAUGGGAUUGUGACAUUAAAAUUAGGUUCUAAUGGCAUUGGUGAGGGAAGAUGAAGGAACAUUCCUUCCUAUAUUAAUUAGUUGAUAUAUUUUAAACCACUAAAAAUUAGUUGUUGGCUUAAUAAAAUAAAUGAAUGUUUCAAGACUUAUAAUUAAUUAUUAUUAAUGGUUACAAUAUUGUUGAAUUUAAAUCGAAAGAGGAAGAGACAUGUAAUCUUUUGUAAUCUAUUAAUUAUUCUCUAUUUUUAAUAUUUUGUAAUGUAAUUAUUUUUUAAUUUCAACCAAUUUAUUAGAUAAUANNNNNNNNNNNNNNNNNNNNNNNNNNNNNNNNNNNNNNNNNNNNNNNNNNNNNNNNNNNNNNNNNNNNNNNNNNNNNNNNNNNNNNNNNNNNNNNNNNNNNNNNNNNNNNNNNNNNNNNNNNNNNNNNNNNNNNNNNNNNNNNNNNNNNNNNNNNNNNNNNNNNNNNNNNNNNNNNNNNNNNNNNNNNNNNNNNNNNNNNNNNNNNNNNNNNNNNNNNNNNNNNNNNNNNNNNNNNNNNNNNNNNNNNNNNNNNNNNNNNNNNNNNNNNNNNNNNNNNNNNNNNNNNNNNNNNNNNNNNNNNNNNNNNNNNNNNNNNNNNNNNNNNNNNNNNNNNNNNNNNNNNNNNNNNNNNNNNCCAAAAGGCACUAAACAAAAGAUUGAAUAAUUAAAUAUGAGAUUAUGACAUUAAAAUUAGGCUCUAAUGGCAUUGUUAAAAUAUUGAAUAAUUAAAUAUGAGAUUAUGAUAUUAAAAUUAGGCUCCAAUGGCAUUGUUGAGGGAAGACGAACCUUCCUUCUUAUAUUAAUUAAUUGAUGUAUUUUAAGCCACUAAAAUUUAAUUGUUUGCAUAAUAAAAUAAAUGAAUGUUUCAAAACUUAUAAUUGUAUAUUAUUAAUGAUUACAUAUUAUUGAAUUUAAAUAGAAAGAGAAAAAGACAUGUAAUCAUUUAUAAUCUAAUAAUUAUUUUCUAUUUUAAUAUUUUGUAAUGUAAUUAUUUUUUAAUUUCAACCAAUUUAUUAGAUAAUAUAAAAUAUGAAAUGAUGAGAAAUGGUGAUGUCACAUCACCUCUUGUAGUCUCAACUUUAUAUAGAUAUAUAGAUAGAUUCAUGUAUUUUAAGCCACUAAAGUUCAAUUGCUAGCAUAAUAAAAUAAAUGAAUGUUUCAAAAGACUUAUAAUUAAUUAUUAUUAAUGGUUACAGUUAAAUACAAUCAAAUUAAUUAUGAGAAGAUGAAAAGUCAAACCUAAAAAAAAAUCUCUAUUUAUUAGAUAAUAGAGAAUAUACAAAGAAGCAAAAUGGUGAUGCCACAUUACCUCCUCAAGUCCUAGCUUUAUAUAUAUAUACUAGGAAAUAGAACCGCACUUCGUGCGGCUUUAAAAAAAGAAUUUAGUAUUAUCUUUUUUUAUUACUUUGCACUUGAUGAAACUGAUAAAAAAUAUGAAUUUACUUUUUAAAAAUGACGCAGCCUUAUAAAACUAAUGUUAUUUAUGAAAGUUAAUUAUUUUUUUGUUAACAUUAAAAAUAUAUAUUAAUAUAUAUAGUUAAGUGUACACAACCUUUUCAUCAAUAAAAAUUAUGUUCACACUAAUCAACUCUCUAUUUUUCUUGGUAUUAACAGAUUCCCAUAUCUUACAAAGCCUAAUCCUUAUCAUCCAACUAUCUUUAUCAUUGUUUAACUCAUGAAGAAAAUAAUACUUAAUGAAGCACACAAUACAGAAAAUUUAAAUAAGUCAAAAAAAAAACACAAGAACAUUUCUAAAGAGGAUGUUGGUUAAAUAAUAAAAAAAAUCCAAACAUAACAAAUCUUAAAUACUUAAUAUUUAUAUAGUUUGAAGAAGCCAAAAGACACUAAAUAAAAGGUUGCAUAAUAAAAUAUGAAAUUAUGACAUUAAAAUUAGGUCCUAGUGGUAUUGGUGAGGGAAGAUGAAAGAACCUUCUUUCCUAUAUUAAUUAGUUGAUGUAUUUUAAACCACUAAAGUUUAGUUGUUGGCUUAAUAAAAUAAAUGAAUAUUUCAAAACUUAUAAUUAAUUUAUUAUUAAUAGUUACAUAUUGUUGAAUUUAAAUAGAAAGAGGAAGAGACAUGUAAUCUUUUGUAAUCUAUUAAUUAUUUUCUAUUUUUAAUAUUUUGUAAUGUAAUUGUUUUUUAAUCUCAAUCAAUAUAUUAGAUAAUAGAGAAUAUAAAAAGAUGAGAAAUAAUAAUGCCACAAAUCUUAACUACUUAAUAUUUAUAGAGUUUGAAGAAGCCAAAAGGCACUAAACAAAAGGUUGCAUAAUUAAAUAUGAGAUUAUAGCAUUAAAAUUAGACCCUAAUGAUAUUGUUGAGGGAAGAUGAAUGAACAUUCAUUCCUAUAUUAAUUAAUUGAUAUAUUUAAGCCACUAAAGUUUAAUUGUUGGCAUAAUAAAAUAAAUAAAUGUUACAAGAUUUAUAAUUAAUUAUUAUUAAUGGUUACAUAUUAUUGAAUUUAAAUAGAAAGAGGAAGAGACAUCUAAUCUUUUAUAAUCUAAUAAUUAUUGUUUAUUUUUAAUAUUUUGUAAUGUAAUUAUUUUUUUAAUAUCAACCAAUUUAUUAGAUAAUAGAAAAUACAAGAAGAUGAGAAAUAGUGAUACCACAUCACCUCCUCUAGUCCCAACUUUAUAUAUAUAUAUAUAUAUAUAUAUAUACACAUAGAUAUAGAUAUAGAUUUUUAAUAUUUUGUAAUGUAAUUAUUUUUUAAUCUCAACCAAUAUAUUAGAUUUUCUAAAGAAGAUGUUGGUUAAAUAAUUAAAAAAAAUCCAAACAUAACAAAUCUGAACUGCUUAAUAUUUAUAAAGUUUGAAGAAGCCAAAAGACACUAAACAAAAGGUUGCAUAAUUAAAUAUGAAAUUAUGACAUUAAAAUUAGGUCCUAGUGGUAUUGGUGAGGGAAGAUGAAAGAACCUUCUUUCCUAUAUUAAUUAGUUGAUGUAUUUUAAACCACUAAAGUUUAGUUAUUGGCUUAAUAAAAUAAAUGAAUGUUUCAAAACUGAAGACUUAUAAUUAUUUAUUAUUAAUCGUUACAUAUUAUUGAAUUUAAAUGGAAAGAGGAAGAGACAUAUAAUCUUUUAUAAUCUAAUAAUUAUUUUUUAUUUUUAAUAUAUUGUAAUGUAAUUAUUUUUUUAAUAUCAACCAAUUUAUUAGAUAAUAGAGAAUACAAGAAGAUGAGAAAUAGUGAUGCCACAUCACCUCCUCUAGUCCAUUAGGCUUUAAUGGCAUUGUUGAGGGAAGAUGAAGAAACCUUCCUUCAUAUAUUAAUAUUAAUUAAUUGAUGUAUUUUAAGCCACUAAAAUUUAAUUGUUGGCAUAAUAAAAUAAAUGAAUGUUUCAAGACUUAUAAUUAAUUAUUAUUAAUGGUUACAUAUUGUUGAAUUUAAAUAGAAAGAGGAAAAGACAUGUAAUCAUUUAUAAUAUAAUAAUUAUCUUCUAUUUUAAUAUUUUGUAAUGUAAUUAUUUUUUAAUUUCAACCAAUUUAUUAGAUAAUAGAGAAUAUGAGAUUAUGAGAAAUGGUGAUGCCACAUCACUUCCUCAAGUCCCAACUUUAUAUAUAUAUAUAGAUAUAUAGAUAGAUUUUAAUAUUUAAAUAAACAUAAAAGGAUUCAAAAUUAAUUCCAUCUUUAAUUCUUGAAUUUGAACAAAUUAAAAGGGUCAUUCACAUUUGAUUUGAUGGUCAGAGGCAAAUUGAAAGUUAAGCAGUGGUAAUAAUAAUUCAAAAGAUUUCCAGAGAAAAAAUAGAAAUGUCUUCUAUACGUUCAAAACAGUAAAAAAAAUCAAGAAGAUUUCUUUUUUACUUUCAUUAGAAUCAUUACAAAUAAAUAUGACUAAUAUUAAUUUCAAAUAUAAUAUUUAGAAUAGUAACACAUAAAAAGUUGAGAUGAUCAGUUGAUGAUCAAAUAAUAGAUGUUGACUUUUUGUUUUAAGAAAUUAAUUUUUUCUUUUUAAAUGAACUAGUGAAUUUAAUAAUUUUCUUUAUAGAGAAAGAAGUAAGAAUUUUUUUUUAUCUAUUGAUUUUUGAGAUUGUAAGAUUUUUAAUAAAAAUUAAAAGGAAUACUAAAAGUCAAUGAUUCUUACGUUAAAUAAUAAAUUUUUUUUAGGAAAUUGAAAAGGUGAAGAACCUAAUUUUUUUCCUUGGAAAGAAUAAUAAUGAAUUAAUUAAUAGUUAGACAACAUUAUUAAUCAUAUUUCUUAACACUAAGUUUACCAAAUAUUGAUUUUCUAUUAAAUAAUGAUUCUUAAUUGUAGGAUUAUUAUUAAUUAUAAAGAUGUUUAAUAGGCUUUCUUACAAUACAUAAUUAAAAAAAAAUCUUUAUUAAUUAGAAAAUUAUCAACCAACUACUAAAAACAGAGGCAUUCACAAAAUAUGGGGCUUUAAGCGACCACCUUAUUAGCUUAUAAUUAAACUACAGUGUGUUGCUUUGAUUUCUCGAUUUACUAACACAGAUAUAAUCUUUCGAGAGACAAAUGCCCAGUAAACAAUUUUGCUAGUCAGGAUCCAGAAAACAGAGGUCGAUUUCACCCAUGAAUGUUUGUGGAAAAAAUUUUGCGAGUUGACUCUAUUGAAAAGGCAAAUAGCAUCAGCUAGCCCCCAACCACGAAGCAUAGAGCAAUAUUUCAUUCAAAUUUGUGAUUUUUUCUUUUCUAACAAAAGAAUAAUGUAUGAAAGAAAGAGUACGUUUUCCAUCUUCAUAUAAACCAAAUGAUGAAAAACUUAAUAGAAUCUUUAGCAGGCAAAACAUCGUCCCGAAUACAGUUCCUUGACUUUUCCAAAAGAAUAAACUACAGUGACAAGUUCUGUCCCGAAAUUGAGCACUGCCUAAGUUUAAGAAUUGAUAGAAGAGUAAGGAUCUAACAAUAAAAUCAGCUACUUGUCCAUGAGUAAGUUCCAAAUCAGCUACUUAAACUAACUGGUCUACCUGAACACCUGAACCAGCUUCAAAUAAAAAUCUAACAAAUUAAGAUAUAUUCUUGUGAACAUUAAGCCCAAAAUUUUAGCUUAAUAAAUAUCAAAGGAUCAUGUGCUGUCAUCAUACAAAUUGUACAUUAACUAAGCUCUCCAGAUCAGUAUAGCAAAAAUUUUAAACUUUCAUUAAUUUGAAACAAGAUUAGGAGAAAAUUUAAAAAUUAUGCAAUAAUAAAACCAAAAACGAAAGAUUAAAAGAUUUGAAGUUUUACCCUCGUUCAUCUGUAUGAGAAAGGAGCAGAGACAAAUUGUCAAUGUAAUUAUUAUUGGCGAUGUCAUCGACUGAUAUGGCCUAUCGGAUAGGAUUCUUAUAAGUAAAUUGAUUGAUUUGUACCUUUGAUAUUAACCGAAUUUUUUUUUACCCCUUAAAUGUCAAAUAUUUUGAAUCGUAUAGAGAAGCUUGCCGAUCCAACCAUGAAUCUGAACUCGAGGAGAUAUCCCAGUUUUAGGAUUCAACACUUCACAUAGUGGCUUGGAAGGAUAAACUCAAUGCCCCAAUUCCACUUCCUAAUUUGACCAACUUAACUGUCUUGUAUUUUUAUAAAAAUUCACUUUUUGAUUUAAUUUCGAAUGAAAUAGAAUUUUUUUCAAAUAAUGAUAAAUAUUUUAAAUUUCAUCUUAAAUAAUGUGUUAUUCAUUAAAUAGUUAAUAAUUCUUUACAAGAAUCAAAUAAAUUAAUUGUAUUUCCUAUCAAUCAAUUGACAAAUACUACAUAAUUUAAGAUAAUUUUUAAAAUAAAAAAGUUAAAAUAUAUAGCACUACUCGGAUUUGUUUUUUUUACAUCACUCGCUUGUUACAAAAGAAUUAAUUUAACAUACGUAACCAGUAUUUAAUUUCUUCGUCAAUCCUCGUGCAUUGAUUUUUUAAAUCAACUGAGGUUGACAUUUGGAAUUUGAUACCGUGACGGUUCAUAAUCCUGGUAGGUAUCCGUCAAAGCUAAAAGAAGCAUAUAAUUAAAGGUCUGAUUAGACAGAAAGGCGUUAUUUAGUCCCAUUUAAUUAGUUAAGAUAUAUAAAAUCUAAAUGGCAACACAUAUGGUCCAAUUAAUGUAGCUGGCCAGCCUACUGUAGAAGUCUUAACACAUGAUGCCAUGCAUUGACUUUUCCACCUCCCGUGGAUAACUUGUUUGCCGUGCAUUACAGAAGAAGCAUAUACAUUCAAUUAAUGUGGCCUCAAUUGACAGAUCACCCACUAGUAGCUAGGGUCUUCCUACUAUGCACCCGGUGUAUGCAUGGUUCACUGUGACAUGACAUAAAGCCAAUUAAAUUUUGACAUGUGUGCAAUAAGCAUUGCAAAGUAACCGGUUAUUCCGGUUGAAUUCACAACUGCCUUUAUUCGUGUGUUUGUGUUCUAAGUUGCGUACACCAUGUCACAAGUUCUCUAGUUACUCUCUUAUUAUCACAACUGUUGCUCAAUAAUGUCACAGGUAAUCUACUACAUGUCACAAGUACUGUAAUUGUGUUUUUUCGUCUUAAGUGGCGAACUGAGGUACAAAUUUUGUAAGAAACGUUUCCAAUAAAAUAAAAUAUUUAAUUAAUUUAAUUAGAAUAAAAUUAUUUUGUGAAAGAAAUUAAAAUUUAAUUUUGAAUGAUUUUGACCAAAAUUUAAGUUAUUCUAUGUGUUUAAGAAAAUGAAUUGUAAUUGUUUUAAUUAAUUGGAAAUAAUUAAUAAAUUAUGCAACCAAAAAAAAAAAAAGCAAAACGGUUAGUUUUGGAUAGAUUCGAAUAUCUCCCUCCACCAAACUGCAAAAAAUUAUCAAAAAUCACUAAAUCAUUUAUUUUUUAACUUAAAAAAUCUGAAACUCGUAUUUUUAUAUUUGUGCCCUUAUAAAUUAUAAAUGUUAAAACAUAAAUAAGAUUAUAUAUUAUCAUAACCUAAAUUAUGUUUAAUAGAAUACAACCCUUUAAUAUUAUAAAUUAGUACAUGUUAAUUAAUUUUAUUGUAGUUUAUAAUUUUUUUUAUAAAACAAUAUUCAUAAAAAUUAUGAAAAUAAAUAAUUUUAAUUUAAAAAAUAAAAAGAUAAAAAUAAUAAUUGUCUAGAACUAUAUUAUCACAAGUUAUAGAAAUAGGUAAUAAUGUUAAUUAUUAAAUUUUAUUUAGGUAAAGAUAAAAAUUAAUUAAUUAGAUAUGGAUUUUUGGAGAAUAUCUUUUAAUGAUAUUAGCUAAAAAAUUAGCUUAAUAACUUAAUAAUGACUGAAAAUUUUUAUUAAGUUGAAAAAACAAAUGACUUAAUAAAUUAACUUAUUGAAAUUAGUCAAUUAAGUCAUUAAAUAAAAAAAUGACUCUUUACACUAAUAUAAUCCUAAUUCCAAUUAAAUUUUUUCCAAGUGAUAUUUUUUUUUCAAUGGAUGGCAGCUGAAUUGAAAUCAACGGAGAUAAACAAUUUGAAUCAUGUGGAGUAUAAGAUUGUAGAGCGAGAUUUGGAUGCAAGAGACUUCGAAAUUAUAUCAUGAAACCUGUUGAAGAAAAUCAAAGUAGUGUUAAUCAAGAUGCCUUAGAGGUGGUAUAAAAACUUUAUGCACUGUCUAAACAGUAGAGAUCCAAUAAUUUAUUAAUAUGUUUUAAAUUAUAAGACCUCUUUGUAGACUCAAAGUCAUUAGGGGAAGGUAAUGAACAAUAAAAUGGAGGACCCAAAACUUUAGAUUAGUGGAAACUUGGUUCAAUCUAGUAAUAUAAGAUAAUCUUGCAAAAAUGAUCAAAUAUAUUCUAAAAAUAAUAAAUGUGGUUGUUCAGAUUCAAACCAAGCUCUCCAUAAUUACUAUAUUAUAGCCAUCAUGUUUUAUUUCACAUAUUGUUACAUUUAUUUUAAUGUCUUUUUUAGAAGGACCUUGAGGUAUGCUUAAAAGGAAAAUUAAUGGCCUCGAAUGGGAAUUUGACCGUAUCUUUUCAGAUUUUAGAUAAAUUUAAAAAAAAAAACUGCCUAAAUAUUGUAUAUCACAUAUUCCAAAAUACAAUGUCCCAAAUCUUUCAUAAUUAAUAUUGAGAUGAAAACUAUGAAUAAGUUGGUGGCCGCGACAUGAGAGUCGGGAUGAUGACGAUGAUGGUAACAACAAUCUAUCAUCAUUAGAAUGAAAAUUUUGUAUAAAAAAACUAGGUAGGUAGUUUUGGCCGCAAAAGGAUGAUCAAUGGAACUUUUCAUAAGGGUUAAGACGGUAGAUUACCUGCCUAAAUGUUAAUUUUAGUGUUUCUAUAUGAAUAUUAUUAAAGAAAUAAUAUAAAUACAUAACAAAUAUGAUUUCAAAUGCAAUAAUAAUAUUAAAGUUAAAAUAAUAUUAACAUGGCUUAUGUACGUCAAUUUAAUUAGUCAAUGGUUAUAAUUAUGAUUGAAUUGAAAUUGAAAUUGUAAUGGCAAUCGUAAUUGUAGUUGGAAUUGAAAUUGAACUUAUAAUUGUAAUUGGAACUUGUAAUUAAAAUUGAAAUCAUAAUAAUAAUUAAAAUAAUUCUAUUUUGAAUUAAGGAUGGUAAAUAUUUAGAAUUAUCCAUAAUAUCCACAUUCAUCCAUAUCUAAUUUUAGCUGCUUAAUAUGGAUAUGGAUAACUAUGAAUAUUUGUAGAUAUUUAUUUAUUUUUCAAAUUCACAAAUCAUACAAGAUAUUAAUAAGUUAGUAACAUGAUUAUUAAUUUGUUUUAUAUUAUAAAAUUUUAAUUAUUUGUAUUUCCUAAACUCAUUAAUAUUAAAAGCUAAUUAAAUUUAUAUUUUAUAAACAAUAAUAAAUUAACAUCACCGGUGUUACUAUUCUACCACGAUUUGCUACAGUGGUCCCGUCAGAAACAGAGACAAAUGUAGUAACUGGUAAAAUAAUCUGAGUAUCUGACAACCCUUAUUAGAUAGGGCCCACGCUUACCUUCUCUCCCGUUGCCCGCUUCUUCUUUUUUGAUUAUCCAACCAUUGAUUUACUUUGAAUUAGCAUCGAACGGUGUGAAAUUUUUUUAUAAUUUUUUAUUCAUCCUGAUCUAUCGAUGCACCUGAACCAUUGUAGUCGUGGCCUGUGAUUUGUAAGUGAUUACGGUGUCCAAAAAAAUUAUUUAAAUUUACUAAUAAGAUAUAAAUUGAGAUUAAACAAAUCUUUAAUCCUCAAUUUUAUUAAAAUUAGAGGCCAUUUGGGCUUGCAGCCGAUAAUAGUUCGAGCCCAUUAAGGGGGCGUUUGGCACCCAAUAUUAUAUAGGAUUAUAACCAUGUAUUGUAUUAAACUAAUACGAUCUUGUGUUUGGUAAAAAAAUGACUUUGUAUUAAACCGCAUAAUAAUAUUGUUGCAAUACACCGAAUGCCGCAAAAAAUAAACCCCUGUGGGAGUCAUGAUUAGGCGUGAUUGCAUUGGAAAAGUGGGAGAAAUAUUUUCUUUUUCAAAACACGAUCCUAAGCCACAAAACAAAAUUUUUAUUCUCGAAACCCGAUUUUUCUUCUUCACCGAAAACAACACAGCCACCACUAGUCAACGCCGUUAAGUGUUCCGACGCAACACCACAACUAGGGGUGGCAAAAAAGCCCGGGCCGGCCCAUGCCCGCGGGCUUAGGCCCGACCCUCACCCAUGAGGCCUAGACAAGGGCCCAAGAAAAAAAGCCCGGACAAAGUCCAAGCCCACUGCUUUUUAAAAAAAUAAUUUUAUAAAUUAGAAUAAUAUAAUUAAAAUUGAAAAUUGAAAAGUAAUUUAAAAAUAAAAAAGAAAACUUAAAUUCUUAACUUAUAAAUCAAUUAUGAUUCAAAAAAACUAAAAUUAUGAUACUAAAUUCUUUUUUUUGUGUCAAUUAAUUAAGAGAGCAUUUGAAUUAGAAAAUCAAGUAUUAACGAAAAUUAAAGUUAUGAGUUUUUAUUUGCUUUAUUUAUUAUUUUAAUUUAAAAUAUUCAUUUUCUUUAAUUUAUUUAUGAUUGUAAUAACUUGUUGCUCAUUAAUUUAUUUCAAAUUUACAAUAAUUUAAAAUUUUUAAAAUAAAUAAAUAAAGCCCAAGCCCGACCUAGGCCCGUACACUUAACUGACAGAGGGCCUGGACAUGGGCUUGAAAAAGCCCGGCCUAGGCCCAUUGUUUGCCAUCCCUAACCACAGUUGUUGCUUCAUCGCCCCUGCAUCACGCCUUCACGGUUAUUGCUCCAAACUGCGCAAAAUCCCAAGAGCUACUCCAACACCACUAUGCCUUCUCUUCACCACAAAAGUCAUCAAGCAACAAGUUAGUAUGGUUUGAUUUUUAAAUUGAUUUAUGUUAGGGUUUGAUUUGACUUUUUAAAUUGGUUUUGGUUAUGGUUUGAUUUGAAUUGUUGAAUUGGGUUAAAUCUUAAUUAUUAAGUCCAAUUUAUGCUGGAAAUCUUGAUGCUUCUCUGUCGCUCAUGGAAUUCCAAUUAUUGAUAUUGGUCUCUUGACAUCCCCAUCAGCCAGCACACAAGAACUUGAGAAACUUCACUCAGCUCUCAACUUUUGGGGCUGUUUCUAGGUCAAUUUAAUUUUUCCACGUAUUUCUUUAAUAAUUUUGCAAUCGACUUGAUUUUGGAUUUUUCAAACAUGUUGAGAUCUUGCAAAACUUAUGAUGCUCAUAUAAUUGAUAGAAAGGUAAGAUCGAAAUUUCUAGUGAAUUUUGUUACUCUCAAUUGGUUACCAUUUUUUCCCUAAUAAACAAUUUUUGCAUAACAAGGUUCAAGAACUGAUAGGCAGAAAGCAAUGGUAUGCAUGGGUAGUUAUAUCCUUCUUCAAUGGCCGUAUACAGAUGCUUAACUUUCUUUUUAUUAUAGAGGUAAUUAACUAUGUUAUAUUAGCGAAAUUAAUAAUUUUAAAAUGCACUAAAAUCCAUAAGCAAAAGGUGACUGUUGAAUGAAGUUUUCAAUUAAAUUUUUUCAAAUAACCUUAUUUGUUUACAAACAUUUUAGUGGCUUUGAAUGUAAAACAAUUUGACAAGGAGGAAUAUCAAAUAACUUCAAACAUGGACUGGUUUAACAUGGAAAAAAAACUUUGAUGUUUUUCGUCCAACCUUUUCAUUUUCGUUUUUAUUUUAUUAUUUCAUAUGCUGAGUUUAUAGUUACAUGCUUGAGGAUUGAGUUUAGGUCGGUGUUGAAAUGAUGUUGACUUUCUAAAAUUUUAAUUAUUUAGUUUUUUUUGGAUAAAUAGAUGUUGAUUAGAAGGCAAAUUGGUAAUUGGACCAGUGAGAUUGAUAUUUGAAAAGAUUGAUUUAUAAUUGAGCAAUUUGAAGUUUUUUAGUUGGGUUGUUAUAAUCAUCUUCUCCCUCAUAAUUGGACUGGUGAGACUGGCAGCUAACUUGCUUGAAUUGAUUAUAAUCAUUGGCAUAUGCAUUUUAUGAUGAUAGAAAAUUGAAUUGCAUUGAAUAUAUGCAUGUAUCUAGGUUGUUAACAGAAAUUAUUAAGAAAAGGAUUCAUGUUUGCAUGUAGCAUGUUCAACCUUUGAGGUGUAUUGAGGAGUUCAAGCUGAGGAAGAAGAAGAACGACAAACUCAAGGCUGAAGCUAAGGCAAGAGGUGAAAGAAGCCACGAGGUUGCAUGGUGGAAGGUGCAGAAUUGGAAACUAUCACUCCUAUUACUUAUGAUGUCAUCAACCAUUUAAGAGUGGUUACUAGGUCAUUUUUUAAGUUUUAUCGUUGUUUUCUUAAUUUUUAUGAACUUUUGUAGACAUGGUCAACUUAUUUGGAUGUAUCUUCAUCUUCAAUAGUUUUGUUUUUGGAGAGGAAUUAUUAUAGCAGAAAUGUUCAUUUUUUAUUUGCAUUUCAUAUAAAAACAAGAGAUAUUUUUCAAUGCAAAGUUAUAUGCUUGUAAGGAUGUAUUAUGGAGAUCGGUUCAAAAUGCGUGUUCAGGAAUCAUGAAACAAGACGAUUUCUAGAAGCACAGGCUGGCUUUGCUGGGGGCAACAAACAAGUAUGACAUUGCAGACUUGGAAGAUGCUUGAGAGGAUAGCACUCUGAAACAUAUCAAUUCAGGGAAUAUCCUUGAGAGGUUGCAAGAGGCUUGGGUCUAUCAGUUGAACAAGUUAAAGAAAUGAUGCUUGAUGAAUUUGUUUGAUAUUUGCAAGGUAUAUGAUAUUAGAGAUGAAAUCAAUAACUUUUUCAGGCAAGCAGACCAAGAACUGAUGGUGAAUAUGUUUUGCGAAGUUCUGACGGUUUGGAAAUCGGUAUAAUUUUCUUAUGGAGGUCCUCUAAUUCAUAUUUGCUUGCUGUUGAAAUGGUUGUGUAUAGUAGUUAGAUUUUUUGUCAUAUACAAAUUCAAUGAUAUGAACUUUAUCUACAUGUAAUGAAUCUGUAACUAAUAAGAUGGUGUGAUUAUCAUUAUUUAUCGUUGAAUGAUCUGAUUCGAUCAUUAUUUCACAGGCUAUCUAUUUGGAAAAUGCUGAAAAAAUGAAUGUUGUGUUGCCGAAAUAUUUAGGGCCAUAAGCUUUAAUUUUUAUGAGGAAUUAUGAUAUUUUUUUAACAUUCAUACAAAAAAUAAUGUUAAAUUUCAAAAAUUUAAAACUUCAUAUAGUAUUCUUUUAGGUACUAAUAAAUAUUAUUUUUUAAAUAUAUACAUGUAAUGAAUCUAUAACUAAUAAGAUGGUGUGAUUAUCAUUAUUUAUCAUUGAAUGAUCUGAUUCGAUCAUUAUUUCACAUGUUAUACAUUUGGAAAAUGCUGAAAAAAUGAAUGUUUUGUUGUCCAAAAAUUUAGAGCCAUAAACUUUAAUUUUUAUGAGGAAUUAUGAUUUUUUUAACAUUCAUACAGAAAAUAAUGUUAAAUUUCUAAAAUUUAAGAUUUCAUAUAGUAUUUUUUUAGGUACUAAUAAAUAUUAUUUUUAAAUAUAUAAUUUAAGUUAAUUAUUAAAGAAAUUAAUACAGUACAGUGUAACACCAAACAUAAUAUAACUAAAAAUCAAUACAGUACAAUGUAGCACCAAACAUUGUACAACAUUAUUAUAAUACAUUAUUAAUGCAAUACAACAUAAUACAAUACACCUGCAUUAAAAUAAUGUAAUACAGUAUAAUACAAUACAGUGUACCAAACGCAACAUAAGUUUAUUAGAUAUUUAGCAGAUUUUUUUAACUACAUUAUAAGUGUCCCUAUAUUAGUGUCCAUGGCUAAAAAUUUAGUUGAUUUCAAAUACAUAAUUGUAGAUUGUACCAAUUUUUUUAAAAAAAUUACAAAUGUGAAAACUAAAACAUGCAAAAUGUGUUAUUGAGUUGUGUUCAUGUCGUAUCAGUUUCAUAUCGUGUCAAAUUUAGGUCGACCGAAAUAAGACUUAUUUAAUAAUUAUGGUAAAAUAUUAAGACCUUAACCUGAUAUGAAAAAUAAACGGAUUAUUUGAUAACUCACUUAAUACACACACACACACACACAUAAUUUAUCGAUAUUAUAAAAUAUAAAUGUCUACCAAUAUUUUACACGUUUAUAUUAUUGAAGUUCUAAAUUUAAAUAAAAUUUUACAAAUAAAAUAUUAUGUAUAUGUUUAUUCUAAAGAGAGAGGGAGAGAGAGAGAGAAUCAUAUCCAAUAUUUGAGUUUUGAUGACAAGAACUUAUAAAUUAAUUUCGAAUAGAAAAUAUAAUCGUGUUAUUGAUCAAAUAAAUAAAUUAAGAACUUCUACUUUAACUUUAACCCAAUACGAAAAAAAAUGUGUCAACUUGGACCCCACCCAUUUAAUAAUCUUAUUAAAUUUGACAACCGUACUCAUUUAUUCGUGUCGUGUUCUUGCCAAAUAAUUGGGUCAUGUCAAAUUUUAUCAACUUUAGUAAAAAUAUGUAACUAUCAAACAAAAAUGAUAACGAUGAAUUGACGAUGUGAGUAAUACUUUCGCACACGAUGAUUAGGUAACGAUGAUUUGAGAAUUAUGGUGAAAGCGGGUAAAUGCCAUGAAGGUUAAAAUAUAAAUUCUCUACUAUAAUGUAACAACAACACAACAUAUGUUAUUUUUAUGCGUUGUGUUCUUGCGUUAUAUGUUUCUCACAUUGUCCGAGACUAAUAAUUAUUACUGGUGCAUGAUUCAUUCUUGUAAAAUUUUUAACUAACUAAAUGAAAUAAGUUGGUUAACGUUAUAGCCAUUCAUUUAUUAUUUUCUCCCUAAUUUAUAAGAUUUUAUCACAAAUAAAUUCUGUUUUAAUGAUUGGGCCGGGCUAAAACGAUUAACGACUAGCCCACUUCAAUUCCGUUUAUCCAGCCAUCCAGGUAAAUGACACGUCGACGUAUGAAUGCACGUGUACAGCUGUGACCCACCAGUUUCAUUUUCUUUCUUUGUUCGUUUCAUUUUGUGAAAUAAAGCACAACGCGCUCACUCGCUCUCUUGUCCACGCGCGCUCUCAUUUCGACUUCGUCGGCUCCGCUACACAAGACUGAAGAAUCACACAAACGAAACUCUCUGAUCUCACUCUAGGGUUAGGGAUAUCCCUAAUCCGGACACCGUUAUCCCGAUUCGGUUUAGGAUUCGAGAAUCAAAGAUGGGCGCGAAUUCGUUAUCCACUGACACGACCACCGACCUCGACGAGCAGAUCUCGCAGCUCAUGCAGUGCAAGCCUCUCUCCGAACCACAGGUUCCUUCCAAUUAACGCUCGCAAUUUCAAUUAAUCUGAUCAGCCAAUAUUUGAUUGAUUAUCAGAAACUUGAAAAAUCUUUGUUGAGUAUCAGGAGUUAGAAAAUGAAAUUAUCCAUUUCUUGUACAAAAAUGGAAGUAUUAAGUAUAAAAAAAUACGAAUAAAGGUCCUUGCAAUUAGGUAUUAUUGGAUUUAGGGUUUAUAGCGGAUGGAUACUUCAGAUCUCAAUCAUUGAUCUGUUUUAGGUAUUUGUAUUGGCAAAAGAGAAGCUUUAUGAAGUUGUAUUGGCAAAAGAACAAGAUUUGUAUGAGUUGCUAUUUUUUGUCGUGAUAUAACAAUGAUGGCUUGAGGAUAAUUCGCAAAGAAGGAAACAGUGAAUCACAUCUUGUAAUUGCAGUGUUUUUGCUUAAUUCUGGAAGCUCGAAAACUAAAGUGUUUGUGAAAUAGCAACAUUUAAUUGGCAACUAAUAUUUACCAACAAUGUAUCCACUAUCCUUGCAAUGCUAUAAAGGGACCUAUCUUGUGUUAUGUUGUCAAAGUGUGUUGUCAGUCUCGCAAUUUAUAAUGCAACUGAGGUGGAUUAGUAAUCAUAUUUGAUUUGAUUUACUGUUCUGUAGGUUAAAGCAUUAUGCGAGAAGGCUAAGGAGAUAUUGAUGGAAGAAAGCAAUGUACAGGUUGAACCCUUUUAUUACUUUUGAACAUAACAUCUUUUUUUUUUUUUUUUUCACGUCUUUGGUUUCUAAGAAGCUUACCUGUGGUGGUAUUAUUCAUAAUCUUGGGAAAGAUAGGCAUCUUCUUUGGAACUAGAUACUCUACUGUUGGUUGCCUUCAGUUGGAAAUUUAUUAUCUUGGUUCUGAAAUCCCGGUCUCAGUGUAAUUGUUGUCCUCCUUUUCUUUUCUCGUAUUUCACCACUCUGUAGAUGUUAUACUCUUAUGUUGAAAUGCUGAAGCAUUGAUAUUUUCUCCCUUCUUUUGUAUCUCAGCCUGUGAAAAGUCCAGUGACAAUUUGUGGCGAUAUUCAUGGGCAGUUUCAUGAUCUUGCAGAACUUUUUCAAAUUGGCGGGAAGGUAUCAGUUUUGACUAUGACUAUUUUUGUAUUUAGUUUUCUGUUUUAGGGUUUCUGUGUGUAUUUUAUCAUCUUUUAUUUUGUUGGAAAGUGUCCUCAAGAGGUGAGUCAAAAUGGUACCAUUUUGGUUUGAUUUAUGUUAAUUGACUUUCUGAAAAUCCAUCAUGAAUAAUGCUUUUAAUGGAACUCUCACUACUUAAUAGCUGCUAUACAUCCUGAUUUAAAGACUGCUUUUUGGUUUUCUCCUUCAUGCUUUACUUGUCUGCUUUAGGAUAGGAUACUGUGUUGAUUUUUUCUUGAACUUCCUUCAUAUUGAUUUAAAUCUGAUCUUUAUUUUAAAUUGGCAGUGUCCAGAUACCAAUUACUUGUUUAUGGGAGAUUAUGUGGACCGUGGGUAUUAUUCUGUUGAAACAGUUACGGUACGUUACAUUUAAUGUCAGAGUAUCUUUUCCAUGUUAUUAUAAAUAUUAGUACUAUAUAACAUCUACAAGUGUCAAAAUUAGUACCACCAGCUGAUAAAAUUGGUUUAAUUAGCCUUUUAUCCGUUUGGAGUGGUAGUCUUCUACAAUCAAAAAACGCUGUGAUUGAUUUAUCAAACCUUAGUUCUUAUCCUUCCUCUCCUCACUUCCUCUUAGUCUUCGUGCUGUCUGCCUUGGGAUGAUGUAUUACUUGGCAUAAAAUGUUGCACUCAGGAAUGCUGACACCUUUAUAUUUUCAGUAUAGCAGCUUCAUUGGAUGUCAAUAUGGAGUGAUGUUUAUGAAUCUUAUUCGUGGCUUUUUAUAGAUACUGAAAUUCCUCAGUACUAUUUUGAAAAAUAUGUUUUCCACAGCUCUUAUCUGUGGACUUUGGUUUUGGAGAGAGAAUUUUGGAUUUAUUUGAUUGCUUUACUGGUAAUUUCCUUAGUGUUGCACCUGAAGUUACUUAUUGAUUCUGAGUUGGGUGUUCAUACAGCUCUUAGUGGCCUUGAAGGUGCGGUAUCCUCAGCGGAUCACUAUUCUUAGAGGAAACCAUGAGAGUCGUCAGGUUCACUCUCGCAACCUUUUCUUUCUGCUUUCAUUUUCUCUGUUAAAAGUCCUCUUUUUUUUUUUUUUUAAUUUGGGGUGAAUCUAUAAUCUCAGUAAAUCCUGUCUACUGUACUAUUCAUAGUGUAGAGAUAUGGUCUUUGAAAUUGAGCGGGAGUCUUAUUUUGUUCAUCGGAAUUUAUUCUACUUUAUUAAUUUUUAUUUUACAUAAUUGUGGAUUGGAUCUGUAGACUGUUCAAUGAAUAAACUAAAUAUUGCUUUCAUUUAAUCUGCUACAGAUUACUCAAGUUUAUGGAUUCUAUGAUGAAUGCCUACGGAAGUGAGUUCUCUACGCACAAACUUUAUUUAAGAGAUCAUAAUGAAAAUCAUGUCUUGAUUUUUGCUGCAAAGUUAUUUUCUGGAUAACUUCCAGUUCAUCAGUUUAUCAAAACGUAUUCUCUAUUCAAAUUAAGAUAACAUUAUACUUGCGAGUUGAAAACUCCUGUAAGAUGUCACUCAAGCUUGCUAUCAUUGAUGCAGUACUGCUUUUAUAACAGUAUACUUACAUCAACUUUUCUGCAGAGUGGCAGAAAGGGUAAUUUAUUUUUCAACUUUUCCUUUAUCACCCUUGGGAAUUCCAUUUGUAAUACAUUGCUGCAAAGAAUUUUAUUACUAAAGACUUCAUACUUAGUUUGUUAUUUCUUUGAUGCUGAGAUAUUGGCUCCUUCGUGUUGGAUUGAAUUCCUAUUGGAAUGCAUCAUCUCCAUGAUUAUAUGGACUUAAAUGUGCAACUAACAUAGUUUAUGCUGUUCAGCUGCAAAGAAUUAUCUCAUUACGGUUUAUUUACAGGUAUGGCAAUGCUAACAUUUGGAAGAUUUUUACUGACCUUUUUGACUACUUUCCGUUGACUGCCUUGGUAAGUGGAAGUAAAAUUUGAUGCUAGCCAUUUUGGUUGAAAGUUAUAAAUGAAGUAAAUACAAGGAAGCAACAGUUAGUGCACCUACCUUAGCCCUUAUGCAUUUUAAUUGUUUGAUCUAGAUGUUUGCUUAGCUUUAAUUCGUAUUGGAUGGGGCGGAUGUGGUUCUGAGUUUACCUUUGUCAUGACUCAGCUCACUUCUGCGCAAGUGUUUUUAUGUAUAGUGGUUGUAACUUCUGAAUUUCGUUAUGGAUUCCACUAGGACUUUUAUGUUAUCACAUUAUUUUCCGAUCAUAAGAAUUGGCAAAUUCCAGGAUUUAAUUUUAAGGAACACACUGCAAAUUCUCCAUUUCCAGUAGGGUAGGAAUCUUAAAUAUAUUGCUAUUAUGAUGCUGGGUGGCUGCUUAGCUUCCAAAAUUAAUUUUUUUAAUUUUAUAUUGGUGAAUAAAAAAUGUGAUUCUAAUCAGUUGUAAGGAACCCCUUUUUUUAUGCUGGUAGUCAAAAGGUUAUUUAACUGUUGCUAAAGUUCUAUGUUUUCAUGUGUAGGUAGAGUCAGAAAUAUUCUGUCUGCAUGGUGGGCUGUCCCCUUCAAUUGAAACUCUUGAUAAUAUCAGGAACUUUGAUCGUGUUCAAGAGGUUCCUCAUGAAGGGCCCAUGUGUGAUUUGUUAUGGUCUGACCCAGAUGAUAGAUGUGGUUGGGGUAUCUCACCUCGUGGUGCUGGAUAUACUUUUGGCCAGGUACUGUACUCUGAAUUUCUACCUUUUGUUAUUCAAAGUUAGCUCUCAUCGAUGUUUUUAAUGGUAAUUGCACUUAUUCUUCAAUUGUCUAUCUUAACUGUUGGAUUCUGUUUGCAGGACAUAUCUGAACAAUUCAAUCAUACAAACAACUUAAAAUUGAUUGCUAGAGCUCAUCAACUGGUCAUGGAUGGAUUUAAUUGGGCGCAUGUAAUAUUUGACUUUCAGAUACUUACCAGAUAAUAAUCUUUUUCCCUUUGAUAAAAGAAUAUUAUAUGUAUUAUCACAAUGAUUCCUUGGUGCAGGAACAAAAGGUUGUUACUAUAUUUAGCGCACCUAACUAUUGUUAUCGCUGUGGCAACAUGGCUUCUAUCUUGGAAGUUGAUGACUGUAGGAGCCACACGUUCAUUCAGGUAUUCCUCUCUUCUGUUUCCCCUAAAACUUGAAAGUGCAUCCCUUAUUGCUAUAUUCUGAUGAUGAAUUUGUACUUGCGUAAAACUUAAUAAACUUUGUCUUGUUACAGUUUGAGCCAGCUCCUAGGAGAGGAGAACCAGAUGUUACACGCAGAACACCUGAUUACUUCCUGUGAAGCUGCCUUUGUGUCAUACUGAUUCAUUUCUCUUGCUUCUCCUCCCCUCAUUGCGUAACAGUCGGGCAACUGUGGAUCCUCCAUUAAUCCUCUACGUGCUUUUUUUUUUUUUGGGUGGUAAUGUGUCCAAAAAAGAACGUGAGCUACGGGGUUAGAUGCCCUUCUAUCCGUUUUACACUUGAAAGCGUUUUCAGACCUCUGCUGGGGAUAUUGCCUAGGUGAUGACCAAUUGACGAUGUCAGAAAUGUACUAAUUAUGUAGAUAUUCGUUUUUAAUUUUCUUUUGCGUUCAACUGUUCCCCCCACCAUCCCUCUUCUUUUCUCUUAUUUUCCUAGCCUUAAUUCUCAUUUGAUUUUGGUUGGGAAAUACAAGAAUCCCAUAUCUAUUGAGUGCUUUAACCUUUUUUGUUCUUCCCUUUAUAUCAUUGACACGACACUAGUGCUUGAAAUUGUUCACUUUUCAGACAGUUUAUGUUGGUCGUUCCUUUUUUUUAUUUUUUAUUUUUAUUCUUUUGUUGACAUUAAACUAUUUUUCCUUUUUAUUUUUUAUUUACCGUUUAUUUUUUGGCUGUUGUCUAUUGAUCGUUCAAAUGCUGAAUUCUCGGGCUGGGGAGCUGAAUUAUUUGAAAAACUUGCAUUAAUUGUUCGUAUUCAAUCUUAAAAGGAAAAUUUAUUCAAAGAUUACACUUGUGAAUUUGGAAAUUUUUAGCCCACAAAGGAAUCAAAAUAGUCAAUAACCACUGCUUUUUCGAAUAUUUUGCGCAAUUUCUAAUUAAUAUUCUACAACACAGACAGCUCUAAUAGAUACAGCCUCUGGUCUCACCGUAGCAAAUGAUAACUAUUUAUUAAAACAAUAAUAGUAACUACAAAUAGCAAAAGAAUAUGACCAGUAAAAAUGGAUUACUCUAACUAAACGUUUGAAUGUGAUUUACAGAAUUAACAGGUAUAUAGAUUACCUGCCAGGGACUUAGUAAAUUUAUACUCAUCAUGUCGUGGAACCACCGUCCACAAGCAUGCAUUAUAAUCUCAAGUGAGCGAAAACUGAUGGAGCAAGGUCUACCACUGACCAUGCAAGGCCUGCAUAUUGAAGGAACCUAAUGCCGGUAUCAACAUCAAAAAUGUCCUGUCCGGAGAAAAAGAAUAAUUUUUGGGCAUAACUUGAUUGCUUAAUCUUAUCCGAUUCCUUUCCCUUGACUGGUGCAUUAAGCAUGGGGAUGUAGCUGGUUGACUUUAUUGGGAUGCCCAAGGUGUUUGAUAUUACAGGAACAAUCCAUUUUGCAAGAGCCUUGCUACAGAACUUCACAAGAAGUAUUGUUGGCAUUCCCACAAGAAUUCUUCCUACAAAGGCAGGGAUUGACAGUUGUGGGCUAAAGAUGACUGGAGCCGCUUCAUGGUGGAACUGGUAGUACGUAAGGUGGACUCCAGCCACCUGCACAAAAUUGCCACUUUAGUUUAUGAAACUUAAUCAUGAAUGCAUGUAUGCACAAGUUCUUCCCCUUUCUUUAUUAGAUAACAUGACAUAUAUAAUAAACAAAUGCAAAAAUAAAACUUAGCAAACAUUAAUGGAUGGUAUUUAAAGUAAUAUGCAUAAAAGACCAACUGUUAGUACUAUGUAUGAGUUUAGAUAAAAUAUUUCCUGGAAUUAAAGGAAAUGUUCUAGGAAGCCAGGACUUGAGAAAAGUUUUUGGCACCAAGAACUAAAUUGAACAUUCAAUGAUUCCAUCAAUUUUGCUGGUUCUAGAAGAUGGCCUUCCACCAACAACUGACAUUGGGCUCAUAGUUAAUUCAAGAUCAGUAAGUAAUAAAAUUUGAAGAGAUGAGAAUGAACAGAAACAUCACCAUGUACCAUUUCUUCUAAUGUUUCAGAUGAAUUAUGAAGAGAGUAAAAUUAGAGUUCAGCUAAGCAUGAUUUCAAAGGCAAAUGAGUGAACAAGUGCUUACAAUUCCCAAUGCGACUCCAUUAAAGGCUGUAUGGAACUCAAAGCUUGGAGUCGGAAGCUCUGGAGUUGGAUAAGCAAAGAGCAACAGGAAGCUGAGGGCAGACCAAAAAGAUAAAACUGCAAGAGAAAUAAUGUUGCAGAAUAAGAAGACACACUAAAACAAGAUGAACUGCAGCUUUGAUUUCUGGAUGCAAUUAAUGACAUUUCAGUUCAAAUAUGACCAAAUUCCACAGAUAAUCAUAAUUUGAAAUCAAGAGCGUUCUAACCAAAACUACGCCUACCAUUUUGUCCUGAGAUAAUGAAGUUGUCAACAUAUUCGUGGACAGUAAGCCAAAAUGCAAGGACCGCCAAUCCUAAAGCCAGCCCGGCAAUGAUGUCAACCAAACUGUGCAUGCCAAGGUAAAUUCUUCCUACCAAGAAAACACUAUUUCAGUAAAGGAAUUUCCAAUAAGAAAAUUAACAAUGCUGCUGAUUUCUUAAACAAAGUUAAACCUACCUACAGCAAUGAGGCCCACAAGCAAGCAAAAAAGGGCAACUCCAGCAAACUGAGUAACGGCAUAAUUAUUUUGGGAAUAAGAUAGGACAUAGUGCAAAAGAUAUCUGGAAUACAAGCCCGAAAAGAAACAAUUAGUGCAAAGCAUAAACUCUAGAAUGCUAAAGUGGAAGGAAAGUCAUUUAACUAGCGUCCUCCAAAUUGAUGCACAUACUUUCAGAACAAUUUACUACUGAUAUUCAAUAAAGAAUAUCUACCAACUGACAACUUAUCAAUUAAAUAUAUAUGCUCAGCUUUGUAUCCUCACAACUUGGAAUUCCUUGGAGGCAACUACUUUAGCAACUUGGAAAACAUGAGCUAUGUUAAUGUGUAAGAAUUAGGAACUUGGUGAAAGAUGCAUACACCAUAUGCUUUAAACUGCCGAGGAAUACGACUUCAUUUUCAUUUUAACAUAUUCUGAAACCAGCUUGAAUAACUAUAACUACUUUACUUUCUAUUAAGCCUUUUUCACAACAUCUCAUUUCGAGACUGCUCUAGAACUCAAUACCUCAAAUUCCUGCGGCACUCAUGGCAUUGCCCAGUAAAUUUCAGUAUAUAGUAUGAAGGAAAAGCAAAGAAUUGCACAGGAAAAAGUGAACACGAGAAGGAAUCAUGAGUACCCUGCUAAGCAAACUGUAUUGAGAGUGUGAGAAGAAGGCAAUCCAUAUUCCAAGGCAUUCUCUUUCUCAUCUUUUGUGGCAGUUACUCUCCUCACAGGAGGGCAACUUGGUCUAGGAGCUGAUACUGUAUCCUAUAUAAAACACAACACCAAACAAAAACAAAAGAACUAGCUUCAUGACUUCAAUUUCAGUCUUACAAUCAAAAUUGAAAAACUGUGAACAUCACGUAACUAAUAAAUUAAAUACCUUUAUAGUGUUCCCUAAAUAAUCACAAAAGGCCAUCAAAAGAGUCAUGUGCCGAGCCAAUUUCACAUGCCCACUCUACAAUAAAACAAAAAAAAAAAAGAAUUUACAUCACAACAUGAACAUAAAUCAAGCCUUAGCACAAAUAGAUGAAAAAGAAAACAUACCCAGAAGACCAAAGGCAAAAAUCCAGUGUAAAAUGGCACUGAAACAACGCAAGACAAGCCAGAAAACAGAGAAUCCAAAAACUUAUGCUGGUAUUUCUGCACAAACCCACAAAAGCAAAACUCUAUUAAAGUCAACAUACAAUGAAAAAAAAUCAAAUUUUGGAAUAUGGGUAUUGUUCAAUUUGGUGGAAAGAAUCUUGAGACCUGGAUCUGGAGAAUGAAAGCGGUGCCAAUGAUGACAUAGUGAGUCACCCAAGGCUGCAGCAAAGAUCUGAGCUUUUGAGUCACAUUUAGACAUGAAGAUAUCAUAAUCCACGACACAAUCCCACCUAAGGUCGCCACUUGCCACGCUGCUAAUACGCUCUCCAUUUUAUCUUCUUCCCUCUUCAAUGAGAGAGGGAUCAAAAAUCAAAAGGAAGAAGACUUUAGAGAGAGUGAAUUUGAAUAUAAAGAGAAAAACUAGAAAUCUUUGUUUGAAUUGUCUUGGCCGAACAUCCAAGGUCCACUACGAGGAAGAAGAACGAAUUUCAGUUCGGUAUUUAAUCAAUAGGUACCCUCAGUUUUAUGUUUUAUCGAAUCAAGACUUAUAUUUACAAUUUUUGUUAUAUAAAUCCCUUGUCCCGUUAUCCUGUGGCCCCUGCUUCUGGCUUUUCUGCGAUGAUCAAACUUACUGUAUGUGUAAUUGCGUAUGAUAUCAAGUUUUUUCCUUUUUUCUUUUUUUAUAUACAUUGUAUGAUAUCAACUUUAAAAUAUCAUAUGUUGGUGUCAUUUAAAAAAAAAAAAAGAUUUGUUGAUGUCACUUAAUAUUGCAUAGAGGUCUCCCCACUUGUUGGGUAGAAUUUAUCAUGUUAAAGUUUGCAUUUAGUUAAAUUUAAUAUUGAAAAUAUAAAAUUCAUUAACAAUCCAAAUAUAUUGUUACUACAACUAAAAAAAAUCCUCUGAGAUUAGUUUAUAAUUAUGUUCUCACUAAUAUUUUAAAAAAAAAUCUAUCUCCAUCAAUAUUUGUGAAAAAGAAAAUAUUAAAUAAUUUAAAUUUUCAUGAGAACUCGAGUAUGUGCCAUUAAUAAAAUUGAGAAUCAAAACCUUAAUUAGAGUUACCUUACGUGAAUUUUUCUUUAAAAAAUUUUUUAAGUGAAUUUCAUUAUACUAACUAUCAAUUUAUUAAACUACUUGAGUUUAGCCCAAGUGGCUAGAGUUCGAGUCCCCGCAGACGCAUUACAGGGGUUUAAUUUAAAUUUCAUUUCUUGGAGUCUCAGAGCUUAAGUGAAGGCAAUAUUUCUUUCAGAAUGGGAGUUGGGCGUCCCUCGAAUAUUUGAGAGGGUUAAAAAAAUCUGAGCGGUGCCAUAUUAAAAUUGAUGUAAACUGGUUUCAGUAAUUUGUAUGGUGUAAAUAUCAUUAGCAAUAGUUCUCCUAAAAAAAAUAUCAAUUUAUUAUAUUUAUAUAUAAUUUUGAUGGAUGAUAUCACAGAUGAACAUCACAUACUAAAAAUAGUAGAGUAAGGAAAUGAUUAACAAAAAUACAUAAGAUAGUUCUAAUCCGUAAAAGGUAAACAUUUAAGGACCUAUACGGCAUAGUCUCAUUUUUUAUUUUAUUGUCCGUUACUCGUUAUUAAUAUUGUUUUUCAAUAAUGAGAUGCGUGAGCCAGGGGCUGGGCUUCCGCUGGAUUUAGGUGGCAAAGUAAAGUCAGCCAGCGACGCGUAAAUAAAAAGGACAACCAUUUAAAUACUUUGAUCCCAAUUGUUUUUUUUUUUUUUUUCCUUGAGAAAAAAAAAAUUCCCUUUGAUCCAUUCAUUCACAAAUACCUAUUUUAUCCAGUUUCAUUAUAAAAUAUUAUUACUUACUUGGUUUAUGAACUUAAUAUCUCAUAUUAAAAUGUGAUAUAUAUAUAUAUAUAUACAUAAUUUGUACAUUUAGACUUAUAAAGGGUUUUACUUGUACAUAUACUUCCAAAUGAUCACAUGACACGAUAUUUCGAGGAAGGAUGGUAGCUCUCCCAAAACAUGCCCGUGACACAAAGUUGACCAUUGACCAAAUAUGAGCACAUCAAAGAUUUUCGAUUAAUUAUUAUUAUUAUUAUUUUUUAUUUUGGCUACUAGAAGAAGGUUGACCAAUCUAAUCUAACACCUAAAUAUGAAAUUAAUAAUUUAAUCAUAAUAAUUGUUUGACAGAUUUUUUUUUUUUAAAGAGAACUAUUGCUCAUGCAUCAACUCUGAUAUAGCACCGUUCAAAUUUUUUAACUCUCUCAAAUAUUCGAGGGACGUUCAACUCCACUCCUAGGAGAAAGAUUGUCUCAAAUAUUCAAGAGAUGUCCAAUUAUACUCUUAGGAGAAAGAUUAUCUUAGGAUUGUCUUAAAUAUUCGAGAGAUGUCCAAUUAUACUCCUAGGAGAAAGAUUAUCUUUACUUAAACUCCGUAGCUAUAAAAAAAAUAUUUAAUUAAAUUACUGCAAUACACCUGUGGGAGCUCGAACCUCUUCCUUCACAAUUAUGAAGGAGUGGUUUUAGCUAUUUGAGCUAAGCCCAAGUGGUUAUUGUUCGACAGAUUCUAAUUUAAAGAAUUUUGCGGUGUGGCCGUGGCGGUCAUUUGGAUCGUGCCAAACAUGUCGUUUUCAAUUAUUCACUUUGGCAAAUCCGACGAUUAUCACUAUGUUUAAUUGGACGGCUGUGAUUUGUUUGUCUUCAACAACUUUACAGGCACUUAUUUGUUCUUUGAGUAGGUUCUUUUACACCACUCAAAAUUCCACGUAAAACUUAUCUUUGGUGGAAAUUAUCUAAAUAAUUAAAGAUAAAUUAAUUAAUUUUUUUAUUUCGAAUAGGAAUUCAAUUAAAUACUUAAAUAAUUUAUUCUUUUAACAAAUUAUUAACAACCAUCCUAUUUCAUAAUUUAUGUUUACAUCUUAAACUUUAAUUGAAAAAAUUAUAAGAGGCUAGAGUUAUGAAGAUAAAAUAUACGUUAUUAAAAAAAUAAUUAAGAUUUCAGGAUUUGUAUGUAUUUUAUAAAUAAAAAUUUUAAAAAUACUUUUUAAGGAUAAAAUUUUAUGAGAAAAUAAUUUUUAAUAUAUAAAUUUGUAUUUUAUAAAUUAAACUGCGAAUUUUAGAAAAUACAAUUUAAAAGGAGGGUUAUAAAGAUUUUAGAGGGGAGUUAUUUAAAAGCUCCACUCUUGUUUUGUGUGUAUGUUUAAGAGACCAACCCAAAUGUAUUUAUGGUCAAUUCAAAUGGAGUCCGAAUAUUCCAAUGCAGUCCGAAUUUUCUCCUAACUCUUUUUUUAUUAAAUGGUAAAAUAGAAUAACAAAUAAUGCUAUGAAUUAUAAAAUUGAUCAACCAAUAAAUUAGCCUCACAACACAACAUUACUCGAGAGUUGAGAUGAAAUUAUUGGUAUAUUACUUUAGAACAUAAAUACACUCACGCUAGUAAUCAUCAAAUAAAAAAUAAGAAAAGAAAAUAGUAUAUUCUUAUUAUUAGUAACAAGGAACUAAAAAGAAUACGAGGAGCAUAUUUUGAUUUUCCAAAAAGAAUAAUUUAAUUUCCGAGGAUGUUGGUCAGCAGUUACUCUCAUUGCUGAAAACACGCAAAUCGUAUUUAUGAGAUUGGUUUGGUUUUCUAUUAUAAGUAGUUUAAUAUCAUAAUCCCGUUGGUUAGUGUGGUACUUGUUGGGCAGCACCGACUGCAGGUCUCAAGAGAAUUUUCUUUACUAAUAAGGUCAGUUUCAGAUUAUAAAUAAUAAUUCCAUAUAUGUACAAAAAGUUGGACUGGGGAGAAUAAAGUAAUGGGAGACCUUUAUGCUUACUUUAUACUGUUAUUUGUCAACUUUUUUAUUUAAAAAAAAAGGAUAAUUAGAUACUCUUAUUUCAGUUGAGGCUGCAGGUUUAAACAAAUUAUGGAACGUAAAAUAUUUCUAAAAUCGAUCACCAACAAGAGUAAAUUAGUAAUAGUAACACUUGUGUCUUUAGUUGCGAUACUUCAUAUCGUCCAAUCUAGAUUAGAAUUUGAUUUAUUUUAUUUCAAGGAAUUUAAAUACAAGACUUUAUGUUAAAUUCUGCUGUACGGCCAAGGCGGAUGUACGGUACAGCAGUAAUUAAAAUUGAAAAAAUUUUUUUAAUUAGUCAUACUUGCCAUCACAAACACCGAAUGGAUUAACGAGGUUAAGAGCUGAAGAACUUAACAAUUUGCAAGGCGAUGGACAAGGAGAGCGUAAAAUACACGAAAGAAUAUAUGAUUAUGAUUAAAACUAAACUAAAAGAUAAGAAAAAAUAAAUAUUCCUAAAGGAAAUCUUAUUAUUAUAUCUUUAUAACAUAGCUAGUUUACAGAUACUGAUCUUUAAUUUGGGAAUACAAGUCCUUAAAAUUAGGAAUGACAAUAAAUGGGGUAUGGUGGAAAGGCCUUCACCGUAAGGAUGGGCCAAAAUCCAAAAACCUGAAUUUAAAAAUUGAGCCGAACCAAUUAACGAUUAUUAUAUUUUGAAAAAAUCGAUUAGUUUAAUCUAAAAAAUCAAAAAUUAAAAAAAUUAGAAAAUAAAAUUGUAAUUUUUAAAAAAAUAAUUAAAAAUUAAAAAAUAGAAUCAAAUUGCAAAAACUAAACCGAACUAAAUUUGUGCCCCACCGUUGCUUCAUGUCCCAACCUUACUUCGUCAUCCGAUAACUUGGGUUCUAUUUAAACCCCAUUAGGUGUCAGUCUUGCCAACGGCGGAACCACAUGCAUGUCUAAGGGCUAAGGACACCCCAAAUUUUAAAUAAUUUUUAGAGUUGGGUGAAAUGCAAAUACAUUGAGAAAUUACCAAUAUCGGCUUUGCAAUGUUUUGAGAACACAUGUAUGUAUGUGACAAUUUAAUCUAUUAAAUGAAUGAUGAUUUCCUUACAAGAAUGAAUGAUAGAUGAUUUUCUAGAGAUGAAAAAAAUCGUAAAAUUCUCUUUUAAUGUAUAAUUGACUAGAUGAUAUAAGAUAUCAAUUAUUUUAAAAAUUAUUUUCAUAUAUUUAAAGAUUUAAAACACAUUGAUGUUAUUUUUGCUGCAACAGCUUCUUCUUUUUUUAAUUUUUUAUUUUUGGAGUUGCAAAUUUGUCCUACAAAUUAACUCUCAACCAAAAAUCUCAACUCAUCAUAAUACAUGUCAGCCACACCGAACAAAAAUUUUGAUUCUGACUUCUCCCGCAGAACCCCCGUCGAAAUUAAAUUGGGCCAAACUCGACCUGCAUUUAAGAAGUCGGUUCAUUCGCACCUACAUCCAUUUAUUGUUAUUGAAGAGAAGGAGAUUGCUUUAGUAUUUAUAUGUGUACGCUAAAACCUCUCUCUUAAUUUGUACGUUACCAACAUGGAAAUUGGCAUUGUCUCAAGAGAAGUUGUGAGGCCAUCUUCACUCAAUGUUCAUCUUUUAAAGCCAUUCAAAAUUUCUCUUUUAGAUCAACUCACUCCCACAACUUUUGCUCCACUCGUCCUCUUUUACCCCAUGAAAAGUACACAUCUAAAGGGUACCCAAAUCUCAACGCAGCUCAAGGAGUCACUCUCAAAAACCCUAGAACACUUUUACCCUUUGGCCGGAAGAGUGAGAGACAAUCUCAUCAUCAACGAUUAUGAUGAGGGAGUUCCAUACAUUGAAACCCGCGUGAACACUCACUUGUUUGAGUUUCUUCAAAACCCUCCAAUGGAACUAUUGAACCAAUGUCUCCCAUACCCUCCAUUUAGUUACCAACCAAAUCCCGAUCGAGUUCCCCAAGUUGCUGUACAAUUGAACACAUUUGAUUGUGGUGGCAUAGCACUUGGCUUGUGCUUCUCACAUAAGAUCAAUGAUGGCGCCACAACAAGUGCUUUCCUCAGAAGUUGGGCUGCAUUUUCUCGUGGAGCUUACCAUAAAGCAGUAAAGUACAAAAACAUAUCUGAGGCAUCAAUGAUUUUCCCUCCUCAAAACCCUUCGCCGAAUCACCGUUUAUCCGUAAUGGAAAAGAUUUGGUUCAGAGAAGCCAAGUACAAGACAAGAAGAUUCGUGUUUGACGCGAAGGCCAUAGCAACCCUAAGGUCUGAAUGCAAAGGCGAACGUGUUCCCAAUCCAACGCGCAUUGAAGCAUUGUCAGCAUUCAUUCUGAAGUCGGCCAUGCUAGCUUCAAGAUCAACAGCAAGUUCACGAUUUGUAUUGCAUCAAGCGGUGAACCUUCGAAGACUAACAGAACCAAGGUUAUCGCCCUGCUCUGUUGGGAACCUGUUUCUGUGGGCAACCGCCGCUUAUAAUAUGGAGCAUGCAGCUGAAAUGGAGCUGCAUGGAUUGGUGGCACGUAUGAAGCAAGCUGUGGGGAAAAUCAAUAGUGAGUACUUAAAAACAUUACAUGGUGAUGAAGGGUUUCCAAAAGUGUGUGAGUAUAUAAAGAGAAUCGAAGAGGUCUCUGCCCACAAAAAUUUAGAAGCCUUCACAUUUUCCAGUUGGGUCAAAUUUGGUUUCAAUGAAGUUGAUUUUGGGUGGGGGAAUCCAAUUUGGAGCGGCAUUUUUGGAGAAGUCGGUUCUAAUUCUUUCCGAAAUUUGACAUUUUUUAAGGAAACAAGAAGUGCUAAUUAUGAUAAUGCAGUGGAGGCAUGGGUGACAUUAGAUGAAAAAAUAAUGUCUGUAUUGGAGCAUGAUCCUCAGUUUUUGGCCUUUGCUUCGCCGAAUCCGAGCAUAUUAUUGUUUGAUGUUUGUGGAUUCUGAAAGUUUUUUUGUUCGUGAUGAAUGACACUGGCUAGCUAGCGAGUGGCUACUACUAAGCAAUUGAUGGUGGUGAUAGAUUUUGAAGAUGGCAAGUAGCUGAGUUAUUCGAAAUGCAUGCAUGUACUGCGACAAAAUAAAGGUUGAUAUUGUAAAAAUAAAUGAAUAAAUAAAUAAAUAAAUAAAUAAAAGCGAUAAUAUAUAACCUCCGGAUCCCUGUUUUUUUUUUUUUUUUUUUUUUUAUUGAUUUUACAAGUUACGGCAUAAAUUUAUGUAUUUGUUUUCCAGCCAACAGAUGCACUAAAAAAAGAAAAGAAAAAAAAAACAUGAAUUUUGAUGGAUAAAUUCUCAAGUCUCAACUAUAUGAUGGGUACUUGCAUCAUUUUCAUAGGUUUUACUAAAAGAAACAAUUAGUUUGAACUGGCACGAAAGUAGCAGGCCGAUAAAAAGCAUAUAUAACUAAGUCAGCCCCCAAGAUUGUGGUCGGUGGUUUCAACCAUAUGAUGGGUACUUGGAUCAUAUUCAUAGGUAAUAGUAGUAUUAAUCAAUCAAAUUUUUAUUACUAUUCUAUGGGCAUCUGUCUUACCAAUCACAUUCCAAAUUACUGAAGAUGGAUAGUGUUUUCAACUGAUUUUGGGGUAGGAAAAUCCAAAAUCAAUCUUCAACAAUGAAUUUAUAUUUUUGGGGGAGAUGGGGUACCUCACUAGUUUAUUGUGUGCGGUGCGGUGUAUCUGAAAUGCGGGGAGGUGAGAAAGGGAGAGAGAGUGGUAACAAUGGUGGAAGAUCAGAAACAAGAGAGGUAUCCUUCAAAAUGAGCUUCACGCCUGCAAAACAAUGAAAUAGAGGUUAGAGGUGAAGCCAGGGGUACCCCGGCGUUCACACUCCGACGCUCAAGUUAGCAAACUCAAGCUUUUAUUGCAAAGAGAGCUAGCUAGCCCUCUGUAAAUUAGGGUUUAAGGUUGAAGAAAACCUUUUUUUUUUUGGAGUGUGAGUGUUUUUGGGCGAAUGAGAGCAUGAUGGAGAAUGAAACCUAGGCGCCUUUAUAUAUGGAGUACCUUAGCUGCCACGUGGCAUACCCUUUUUGGCUAACGUCCUUUUACCGCUUUUAUGAUUCUUGGGGCCGUUAUGUGCAUGUUCGCGGCGUAUCUCAUCUUUUGGAAACGUGGCGUGCGCUGGAGAGUGGUCCAGGGUACCUCUGCAGUAGCUGUCGGGUAGGCGGCUAGGGACCACUGUCCUUGGGACAGUGUCCUUCACUUUUGGCAGAGGUAGCAGACGGCUGUCCCUCCUUUUAGCACGUCGCUUUUGAUUCUUAAUUCUGACAAAAUCAAAUGAUAUCUUUUAGGAGGCGGAGACGUUUCUCAUGGCGGAUAUUUUCGGUGGAUUCUCUUGCAUCCGCUUUGCCGGGUACCUCGAAUUACAUGGGGUACCCCCUAUUACGCAGGGUACCCCUAUCUGUAUGGGAUACCUCUAUUUGUAUGGGGUACCUCUAUUUGUGUGGGAUACCUCUAAUUGUGCAGGGUACCUCUAUUUAUACGGGGUACCUCAAGUCAUGUCGGGCACCUCGGAUUAUGUAGGGUACCUCCGAUUGUGCUGAUAUCAUUCCAUUGGCUGACACGUGGCGCUCUAUUACCUUUCCCAUCUUUCCCUCAAACAGAUAGAAUAAAUUAAUCAAAGGAAAAUGAUAAUUAGCGGGCGGGACUAUAUUUACAUGAUGAAAUAUGCAUUGCACACCUUUCCACGCACUCAUUUGAUAAAUUAAAAAUAUAUACUAGUACUCCACGCACAAAUAGGCCCGUCUGAUAUUAAAAUUAAAAUUUAAUAAAUUACUUAUUUCAUAAUUUUAACGAAAAUAGUGUUGGUUAAAUUUUGUAAAAUUAAACUACUUAAUAAUUUUUAUUAUAAUCUUAAAAGCAGGUAGGGAGUUGCUUUUCAUAAGCAGUUUAUUAAAUAAGUUACCACACAUUUUUUAAAUUUCUACUAUAAUCUUCAUAUUUUAAAAAAUUAUGUCUUAUUUUUUCAUGCACCCUAAUAUAUUAGUUAUUAGAUAUCAUAUUACUACCACAGUUAAAGUACCUCUACAACUAUUGUAAUACUAUUUAACAAUAAAAACUAAACUAGAAGAUAAGAAAAAUAAAUAUUCUCAUAGGAAUUCUUAUUUUUCUAUCUUUAUAACAUAGCUAAUUUAUAAAUAUUGAUCUUUAAAUUGGGAAUACAAGUCCUUAAAAUUAGGAAUGAUACCAAAUGGGGUAGGGUAGGAAGGCCUUCACCAUACAAGUGGUCAAAAUCUAAAGCCCUGAAUCUAAAAAUUGAACCGAACUAGUGACCGAUUAUAAUAUUUUAGAAAAUCGAUUAGUUUAAUUAAAAAAUUAAAAUAAAAAAUGAAAGAACGAAUCGAACCGAAAUCGAAUCCAAUUCUGUUUGGUUCAAUUUAUACUUUUUGAUAAGUUAAUUCAGUUUAUGUCAAUUCCACAAAAGCUAAACCAAAUUGAAUCGUGCCCCACCCUUACUUCAUCAUCUCAUAACCUAAUUCCUAUUUAAACCCCAUUAGAGGUCCGUCCUACUAGCAGUGAACCCACUUGCAUGUCUAAGGACUAAGGUCACCCCAAAUUUUAAAUAAUUUUUAAAAUGUUAUUUUAGAAUUGGGUGAAAUGUAAAUACAUAGAGAAAUUACCAACAUCGACAUUGCAAUAUUUUGAGAACACGUGUAUAUGUAUGACAAGUAAUCUAAUCUAUUAAGGAUGCGUUUGGCACACUGCAUUGUAUUAUGCUGUAUUGCAUUAUUUUAAUGCUGAUGUAUUGUAUUAUGCUGUAUUGCAUUAGCACUGUAUUAUAAUAAUGUUGUACAAUGUUUGGUGCUACACUGUAUUGUAUUUUUUUUAAUUAAUUUAAAUUAAAUAUUAUAUUAUAUUAAUGUUUUAUAUUAUAUUAAUAUAUUUAAAUUGCAUUAAUAUUUUAUGUUAUCAAAAAAAAAAACAAACAAACAAACAAAGCUAAUGCGUCAACUAACGCAUUAGCCCCCCACCCCAAUCCCUUGCAAUUUUGUUCCAAACAUGGGUUUGGUAUUAUUUUAAUAUGAACAGUGUAAUAAUACACCAUAAUCACAUGCACCAAACACACCCUAAAGGGAUGAUGGUUUCCUCACAAGAAUAAAUGGCAGGAGAUUUUGGAAAGGUGAAAGAAUCGUAAAAUUUCCUUUUAACAUAUAAUUGAAUUAGAUGAUAUAAGAUAUCAAUUACUUUAUAUAUAUUUUCAUAUAUUUUAAGAUUUGAAUCAUAUUUAUGUUUUUUUUUUAUUGCAAUAUUUUUUUAAAAAAAAUUUGGAGUUCAAAUUUGUCCUACCAAUUAACCCUCAACCAAAAAUCCGAACUCAUAAAUACAUAUCGACCUCGCCAAACAAAAGUUUUUAUUCUGAUUGCUCACUAAAACCCCUCUCUUAAUUUGUACAUUACAAAAUGGAACUUGGUAUUGUCUCAAGAGAAGUUGUGAGGCCAUCUUCACCCCAUGUCCAUCUUUUAAAACCAUUCAAAAUUUCCUCUUUUAGAUCAACUCACUCCCACAACUUUUACUUCACUCGUCCUCUUUUACCGCAUGAGAAAUACGCAUCUAAUGGUUAUCCCAAUCUCAACUCGACUCAGAGAGUCAUUCUCAAAAACCCUAGUCCAUGUUCACCCUUUUGCAUGGAAGAUUGAGAGACAAUCUCAUCAUCAACGAUUAAGAUGAGGGAGUUCCAUAUAUAUAUUGAAGCCCCAGUGAACACUCAUUGGUUUGAGUUUCUUCAAAAUCCUCCAAUGGAACUAUUGAACCAAUGAGCUAUUUCAACUAUUAAAGUAAAAAAAAAAAAAUAUUAAAAUUAAAAUUUGAAAAAUUGAAUCGAACUGGAGCAGAGUCCAAUUUGUUUGGUUCGAUUUAUAUUCUUUGAUAAGUUAAUUAAGUUCAUGUCGAUUCCGCAAAAGCUAAACCGAACUGAAUCGUGCCCCACCCUUACUUCAUCAUCUCAUAAACUAGUUCCUAUUAAACCCCAUUAGAGGUCAGUCAUGCCAGCGGCCACUAUAAGAAAAGUAGUCGUUUUCGACUAUAGUUAAAUAUGGUUGCUAAUAGGGCAAUUUUCAACAGUAAAAAUUAAGAUAGCUACAAAAAAUAAAACAGUCACAUAGUUUUUCUAAUGAAAAGAACACUGUUGAAAAUAACUUCAAAGUCGGUUGAUAAUAAGUUUAUUUUAGAGAGAAAUUUUAGUGCCAUUGGCAUUUAUAACCACUAUAAGAGUAUAAGUAACACAUUGGGAAUGUAUAAUUAAUUCCUACUGUUUCAAAAACAUAGUAAAAAAUAAAAUAAUAAUUUCAAUUAUUAUUUUGAAUUAUUAUUAGAGGUCAGUCAUGUAUUAUUAUGAAUAAUUCAUAGUGGCCGCUGGCAUGGCUUAAUUAUGAAUUAUUAAAACUAAUACAGCUUCAUAGUUUUGGUGUCAAUAUCUAUUUUUAUCUUUUGUUUACCUUACUAAUCUGUCAUUUAAAUUUAAAAGCCAUGUUAAAGAUGUUUAAUCAAUCAAUUUAGGCUAGAGAGUGAUUAAACAAUCUAGUAAUUAAUCACAUAAUUGAUAUGAUAUAUAAUUGUUCAAUUAUAACAAAAUGUCAAUUUACAUUAAUAUGAUAAGAAGUUUCGUUUUGCAAUUAAUCAAAUCAUAUGCGCUAACAAUUUUCAAUAUUUAUCUAUAUAAAAUAAGUAAUGUAGGAUAAGUAAAUUAAUUGAUUUUUUUAAUUUGAAUAUCUUUUAUUAUCUCUAGUAAUUGUUUGGUUCGUUUAAUUGCUAUAUAUAAUGCCACCUAACUAAAGAUUUUGGUACAAAUGAUAUGUUUACGCUAACUCACGUUCUCCAUUCUCUUUAACAAAUUUCUCAAUCAGCUACUGAAUCCUAUCACUUAAUAGAAUAAAAAAAAAUAUUAAAUAAAUAAAUAAAAGCCACCGAUAUUAAGCGCAAUGGAUGAAUUCAUUACCUCUUCUUUUGUAUUAUCCAUCUCUCCAAAGCUUUCAACUCCCUUUUUGGGAUUGGGACAUUUUCUUAAUUCUUUUAAAUUAAUUUUUAUAAAAUUUGGGGAGAUGUUUUUAAAUAUUUAUUAUUUUUUUUUCAAUCACUUUUAAUUUAUUAAGUUUGACAUCAAUUAUUGUUGGCUUCAACCUUACAAGGCUGGUUUGAAGCUUUUUCUGUCAGAUUGUUCGGUGAGAAUUAUUUGAUUAAUUGUGGCUUGCAGGUAAGAAUUUUUAUUAUUAUUUUUGUUCAUGUUUUUAAUUUAUUAGAUUUUAAUUCACAAUUUAUUAUAUAACAAGCGAAAAAGAGACGUCAAUUAGGAUAGAUUAAUUUUCUUGUUUAGUAUAUCGGCUUUCUGCUUUAAUUUAAUUGUAUUUUUUUUUAUUGAUAUGCGGGAAUCAAGAGCUUAGAAAGAAAAAAAAACUAUGAUAUUCAGCUUUCACAAGGAUUCAGUUGUUCAAUCCACAUUGAUUCUAUCUUUUAUCAACACCAAAAUAUCAUUAUCCUAGUGUGGUGUAACUCUGGGUGUAUUAUAUUUUAUUUAAGUAUUUGUCAGUGAUUCAUUGAUUGAUCCAUGUUGAUUUUAUCUUUUAGCCACACUAAAUCAUUGUAGUGGUGUCCUAUUGCUUUUGGUAUAUCAUUGGUAUUUGUAUAAAGUGCACAUGUAUUUGUUGAAAUUAUUUGUAAAAGAAUAUUAAUUUGUCAUUGAUUCAUUGAUUACUAAGUCAUUCUAUUAGUUGCACAUGUAUUUGUUGAAAUUAUCUAUAAAAGAAUAUUUGUCAUUAAUUCAUUGAUUACUAAGUCAUUGUGGUAGCACUGUGUAGCUUUUGGUGUAUUAUUUUGUAUUUGUUUAAGCUGCACAUGCAUUUGUUGAAAUUAUUUGUAAAAUAAUAUUUGUCAUUGAUUCAUUGGUUAUUAAGUCUUAGUAGUAGCUGCACAUGUAUUUGUUGAAAUUAUUUAUAAAAGAAUUAAUAUUUGUCGUUGAUUCAUUGAUUAUUAAGUCAUUGUAGUAGAAUUGUGUAACUUUUGGUGUAUUAUUUGUAUUUGUUUAAGCUGCACAUGUAUUUAUUGAAAUUAUUUGUGAAAGAAUAUUUGUCAUUGAUUCAUUCAUUACUAAGUCAUUGUAGUUGCAUUGUGUAGCUUUUGGUGAAUUAUUUGUAUUUGUUUAAGCUGCACAUGCAUUUGUUGAAAUUAUUUGUAAAAUAAUAUUUGUCAUUGAUUCAUUGGUUAUUAAGUCUUAGUAGUAGCUGCACAUGUAUUUGUUGAAAUUAUUUAUAAAAGAAUUAAUAUUUGUCGUUGAUUCAUUGAUUAUUAAGUCAUUGUAGUAGAAUUGUGUAACUUUUGGUGUAUUAUUUGUAUUUGUUUAAGCUGCACAUGUAUUUAUUGAAAUUAUUUGUGAAAGAAUAUUUGUCAUUGAUUCAUUCAUUACUAAGUCAUUGUAGUUGCAUUGUGUAGCUUUUGGUGAAUUAUUUGUAUUUGUUUAAGCUGCACAUGCAUUUGUUGAAAUUAUUUGUAAAAUAAUAUUUAUCAUUGAUUAUUAAGUCAUUGUAGUAGCACAUGUAUUUGUUGAAAAUAUUUAUAAAAGAAUAUUUGACCAUUGAUUCAUUGACUUUUUUUUUCUUAGAAGCUAUUAAAAAAUCAGCUUUAACUAUAUAUUUGUCUAUUAGUUCAUUAUUUUUUUGAGACAAUUAAUAAAAUGAUCAUUUUAACUACGAAGUCGAAUAAAAUGAAUUUCAACAAUCAUCAUUUUAGAAAUACUAAAAUUCAAUUAGAAAUAUAAUUUAUUCCAACUAAUACGACAUAUUUUCGAUUGCAUAAUCAAUUAGAACUAAUAUUUUUUCUAUUGUAAUUUAUUUUUUUUCGAUUGUGUUUGCCCCUGAAAAAUAGUGUAUUUUAACGAUAAUUAAUUAGUUGAAAUUGAUAUUGCAAAUACAACCACUAGAGAAAAUCGAAAACGAUAAAGUGGUUAUAAAUAUCAGUCGUUAGUCGCAUGUUCAUAUUAAUUUUCAAUCUAUAUUUAUAUAUUUAUUAUGGUUAAUUUCGCUCGAAAUAAGCAUAUUUACGACUGCUGUUUGAAAAAAGUAUAUUUUUAACCUGGGUAUUAGCGACUGCCAGCGAUUGUCUGUGGCCAUUGUAAAAAUACAUUUUUCAACAGCAUGACACUUAUUUCAACAGCAGUCAUAAAAAAACAUGCUUUUCUUGUAAUGGGCGGAACCACAUGCAUGUCUAAGGACUAAGGCCACCCCAAAUUUUAAAUAACUUUUAAAAUGUCAUUUUGGAAUGGGGUGAGAUGUAAAUACGUUGAGAAAUUACCAAUAUCGACUAUACAAUAUUUUGAGAACACAUGUACACGUAUGACUAUUUAAUUUAAUCUAUUAAAUGGAUAUGAUUUCCUCACAAAAUUAAAUGGUGGAUGAUUUUGGAGAGAUGAAAGAAUCGUAAAAUUCCCUUUUAAUGUAUAAUUGAGUUACAUGAUAUAAGAUAUCAAUUAUUUUAUAUAUUUUUUCAUAUAUUUUAACAUUCAAUAUAUUUAUGUUAUUUUGGUUGCAAUAUUUUUAUUUUUAUUUUUGGAGUUUAAAUUGUUGGAUCUUUAAUCUAGCAUUAUUGGAUUAUUAAUCCAACGUUGAACUUAAUCUAGUAUAAGGGUCAGUCUAAUGAAAAGUGAUCUAUUAAGAUUUUCGGUAAUAUAGACUUUAAUGUAUCUGAUAUGGUGUGAGACUUUAAUGUGUAGAGACUUACGGGUAAUUUUUAUUCUUAUGAUGAGCUAAAAUAAAAAUAACUAAAGACAACAAGAAAAAUGAUCUAUAUAAGUGGUCAUGGUCUCCAGGUGUCACGUAUAAUUCCAUUCUUUCUGACAUCCCAUCAUCAGAGAGAGAGUAUAGAAAAAUUUAAAGAAUUCUAUAGGAGAACAUAUUCAUCUGAAAGAUAAACCACAUAACUCUAGAGAGCAAUUAUUCAUUAUGGAUUCAUGUACACUUCCACAUAUUUUGUUAUUGAUUCGUGAACCUUUAAUGUGUGGAGACUUACAGGUAAUUUUUAUUCUUAUGAUGAGCUAAAAUAAAAAUAACUAAAGACAACAAGAAAAAUGAUCUAUAUAAGUGGUCAUGGUCUCCAGGUGUCACGUAUAAUUCCAUUCUUUCUGACAUCCCAUCAUCAGAGAGAGAGUAUAGAAAAAUUUAAAGAAUUCUAUAGGAGAACAUAUUCAUCUGAAAGAUAAACCACAUAACUCUAGAGAGCAAUUAUUCAUUAUGGAUUCAUGUACACUUCCACAUAUUUUGUUAUUGAUUCGUGAACCUUUAAUGUGUGGAGACUUACAGGUAAUUUUUAUUCUUAUGAUGAGCUAAAAUAAAAAUAACUAAAGACAACAAGAAAAAUGAUCUAUAUAAGUGGUCCCAUUUAUUGUUAUUAUUGAAGCAAAGAAGACUCAAACACAGGUACUUUUCUAUUUAUAUGUGUACACUAAAACCUCUCUCAUAAUUUGUACGUUACCAACAUGGAAAUUGGCAUUGUCUCAAGAGAAGUUGUGAGGCCAUCUUCACUCCAUGUUCAUCUUUUAAAACCAUUCAAAAUUUCUCUUUUAGAUCAACUCACUCCCACAACUUUUGCUCCACUCGUCCUCUUUUACCCCACAUGAAAAGUACACAUCUAAAGGGUACCCAAAUCUCAACUCAGCUCAAGGAGUCACUCUCAAAAACCCUAGAACACUUUUACCCUUUGGCCGGAAGAGUGAGAGACAAUCUCAUAAUCAACGAUUAUGAUGAGGGAGUUCUAUACAUUGAAACCCGAGUGAACACUCACUUGUUUGAGUUUCUUCAAAACCGUCCAAUGGAACUACUGAACCAAUGUCUCCCAUACCCUCCAUUUAGUCACCAACCAAAUCCACAUCAAGUUCCCCAAGUAGCUGUGCAAUUGAACACAUUUGAUUGUGGUGGCAUAGCACUUGGCUUGUGCUUCUCACAUAAGAUCAUUGAUGGUGGCAGGCACAGCAAGUGCUUUCCUCAGAAGUUGGGCUGCAAAUACUCGUGGAGGUUACCAUAAAGCAGUGAAGUACGAAAACUUAUCUCAGGCAUCAAUGAUUUUCCCUCCUCAAAACCCUUCGCCGAAUCAUCAGUUAUCCGUAAUGGAAAAGAAUUGGUUCAGAGAAGCCAAGUACAAGACAAGAAGAUUCGUGUUUGACGCGAAGGCCAUAGCAACCCUAAGGUCUGAAUGCAAAGGCGAACGUGUCCCUAAUCCAACGCGCACUGAAGCAUUGUCAGCAUUCAUACUGAAGUCGACCAUGCUAGCUUUAAGACCGACAGCAAGUUCACGAUUUGUAUUGCAUCAAGCGGUGAACCUUCGAAGACUAACAGAACCAAGGUUAUCGACCUGUUCUGUUGGGAACCUGUUUCUGUGGGCAACCGCAGCUUAUGACAUGGAGCAUGCAGCGGAAAUGGGGCUGCAUGGAUUGGUGGCACGUAUGAGGCAAGGUGUGGGGAAAAUCAAUAGUGAGUACUUGAAAACAUUACAUGGUGAUGAAGGGUUUCCAAAAGUGUGUGAGUAUAUAAAGAGAAUGGAAGAGGUUUCUGCCCACGAAAAUUUAGAAGCCUUGAAAUUUUCCAGUUGGGUCAAAUUUGGUUUAAAUGAAGUUGAUUUUGGAUGGGGGAAUCCAAUUUGGAGCGGCAUUUUUGGAGAAGUUGGCUCUAAUUCUUUCCAAAAUUUGACAUUUUUUAAGGAAACAGGAAGUGUUAUUUAUGAUAAUGCAGUGGAGGCAUGGGUGACGUUAGAUGAAAAAAUAAUGUCUGUAUUGGAGCAUGAUCCUCAGUUUUUGGCCUUGGCUUCGCCUAAUCCGAGCAUUAUUGUUUGACGUUUGUCGAUUCUGAAUUUUUUAUGUUCCUGAUGAAUCAUGAUGGAUGAUACUGGCUAGCUAGUGGCAACUACUAAGCAAUUGAUGUCGAUGGUAGAUCUUGAAGAUGGAAUGAAGUGCAUGCAUGUGCUGCGAUAAAAUAAAGGUCGAUCUUGUGAAAAAAUUAAAAAAAGGAUGAUCCCUGUUUUUUUAUUGAUUUUAAAAGUUACGGUAUAAAUUUAUGUAUUUGUUUUUCAGUAAAUAGAUCCAUAAGAAAAUUAAAAAAAAAAAAAAAAAGCUCGUGAAAUGUGAUGGUUUAAUUUUCAAAUAAAAAAAAAAAUUGGUUUGACCAGGCGCGAAAAUAGUAGGCCAACACAAAAGCAUAUAUAAAUAAUUCAACCCCAAGCUUGUGGUUGGUGGUUUUCAAGUAUAUGACAGGUACUUGGAUAAUGUUCAUAGGUACUAGUAGUUAAAAAUAAAAUAAAAUAAAAUAAAAUAAAAGGGUUGAACUGGCCUAAGCAUAUAUAAAUAAUUCAGCACCAAAGGUUGUGGUUGAGUGGCUUUCAAAUAUUGGGGAGAUGACGGAUAAAAAAAAUAAAUUUAGGCAUUGUUUAUGACUUAUGUGUGUGUAUAAGUAAUGAAUGGACAUUUGUUUUACCAAUCACUUUCAAAAUUACUAAAUACGGAUAGAAUAAAUUAAUAAAAGGAAAACCAUAAUCGGUGGACGGGACUAUUUUUAUACCAUGAAAUGUGCAUUGACAUCUUCCUAUACAAUCAUUUGAUAAGUUAAAAAAAAAAAUUUGUAAUCGACGCACACUUUAGCAUAUUAAAAUAUGCAUGCUUCAAUUAGAUCUCAUUAAAUCCCUAUUGUUACACAUUUAUUAUUUUAGAUUCAUGCACACAUAUGAAAAUAGUCAUGCCCACAUGUUUCCUCAUUGCAUUUAAAAAUUAGUGACUCUUCUACUACGAAAUGAGGACUUAUAUAGAUGAUGCUUAGAGCUCAAACCCUCACUAAAAUUCCCAGUUAAGUUAAAACAAAAUUUUAAGUGUGAGCAUAAGGGAAAUUGGGGGUUAGCAAGUUUUAACAUAUAACGUGUUCUUGUACCAUACAUUAAUGUUGUAGCAUAUGCUUUUGACAGUAAUUUUAGAAGUGAGAUAGAUAGAAUUGAGUUGUUUCUUAUUUUCAAUAGUAAGUAGCAGCAACGUCGUAAAAUUUUAUUCGAUUUAUAGUAAUCUCUCUUCCCACACAGUAUAAUGUUGUCUAUUUAAAAACUUUGAUCAUCCGUACGAUUUUAUUUUCGGAUCCAUCCAUCUGAAAUAUCAUAGAAGAAAGUACUCUACACGUAUACUAUUUAAUUAACUAGCAAUCAUUUGAUUCUAACUAGAGAUUGUUAGAUUCUAUCACCUCACUGUUGCAUGUUACAGCAUCAAAGCCCAACCCAACGUCAUCCCUGUCCCAUAUCCCACACCCUUUCGUCCCACACCCUUUCUUUAAAAGCUAUGCAAAUUCAUGCAAAAAUUAUAUCACACAAAAUUAUUAAUCAAAAGAGAAGCAAGAAAAACUUCCUCCAUCUUAGCCGCCGGUGCCAAGCAAAAAGAGAGCGCCUCUUGCAACUCCAAAACCUUCUCUCUUUUCCUUAGUAAUUUUAAAUUGAUUUUACCUAACUCUCAUCUCCUUUUAGCUUAAAAACCACACCCCAGUACUUCAUUUUAUUUGUCUUCACAAAUCUGCUCUUUUGAUCAAGAAACCUAACCUAACCUAACCAAACCCUCUUCUUAUGUUUUUAUAGAGAUCAGUUAGUUUACUUGUUUAUUUUUAUUUUUAUUUUUUUGGCUUUCAGGAAGGUAUUAGCUAAGUUUUUAAGCCACCAAUUUCCUUAACUGCAAAAUCUUUUCGGUUCAUUGGCUUUAUGCUUUGCUUUUUGAUCUUUCAUCUAAAGCAUCUCUACUUUAUUAUUUUCUUGGCAGUGUGGCGGUGGAGAUGAUGGGGGCUUUGUUCCUUAACUCCCUCUCAGUUGCACCAAAUAAAUUUGUCAAAGCCUUUGAGAACAAUUGUGACCUGUGCUUGCUGAGGAAGAAAAGAAGCAUAAUGCAUUGCCAAGGUGGUGGCAAAACGACACGGUCCAGCGGCGUUUCUCCGGCUUUGAAAGAGAGAUCAACGGUAACGGAUACAGCUGCUGGAAGCUUAGUUUUAUCUCCGAAUGGGAAAGGCCAUGCUGAGAUUGUUGUUCAAGAUUUGGUGCCUUUUGGUGGACAAGCCACUUCUUUGGUAGAGUUGCAAGAUGGAAUUGGCAUUGUCAAAUUUCUCAAAGCCAAAAAUUUUUUCGUUACUGGGGCAACUGGGUUUCUAGCAAAGGGUAUCAUUUUUUUUUUUUUCCGGAAACCUUGAUAGUACGAGAAAGUUUUAUUAUAAUUUACAUUUAUUUCUUUUUUUAAAAAAAAUUUUGCAGUGCUUAUAGAGAAGAUUUUACGAACGGUACCUGAUGUGGGCAAGAUCUUUGUGCUGAUCAAGGCAAAAAAUGAAGAGGCUGCAAUGGAGAGAUUGAAAAAUGAAGUAUUAUCUACCCUCUGAAUUAGCAUUUUGUAAUUAAUUAGGUUUUGCUAUGUGAUUAAUUAAUUUGUGCUGCAAAUUUAACUUAUGGUAGUGUUUAUAGAUUAUUAAUGCAGAGCUUUUCAAGUGUCUGAAGCAAACUUAUGGAAAAUCCUACCAAGCUUUCAUGUUAAGCAAGCUGGUUCCUGCGGUAGGAAACGUUUGUGAAAAUAAUCUUGGAUUAGAAGAAGAUUUAGCUGAUGUGAUUGCGAAAGAAGUUGACGUAAUUGUAAAUUCCGCGGCUAAUACAACUUUUGAUGAAAGGUGAUGGCCUUCAAUAUUAAUUUAUAACUAUCAUUAAGGCCAAUUUCAAGUAGUUAUAAAACUUUAUAGUGAUAGCAUGUCUGAUGAGUUUUUGAAAAUGCAUGCAGAUACGAUAUUGCUAUUGAUAUAAACACAAGGGGACCUUGCCGGCUAAUGGAGUUUGCAAAGCAAUGCAAUAAACUUAAGCUCUUUGUGCAAGUAUCAACAGGCAAGUACCAAAAUUAAAGCCAGUUUUGGAAAUUGGAAGCUUUUGAAAAUUGAAAAACUUUGGCUUGUUUAAUUUCUUCUUGAUAAAUUUUCUUGUCUUGUUAAGGUUGCUUAAAAAUUAAAAGUAAAAUUACAUAAUAAAAGCUAGAUUUGUCUUCUUUCGUGAACAGCAUACGUAAAUGGACAAAGACGAGGCAAAGUUAUGGAAAAGCCAUUUUGCAUGGGAGAUAGCAUAGCAAAAGAAAAUUUUGUCUCCAACUCUCGAAGGCUUAUACCAACUUUGGAUGUUGAAAAUGAAAUGAAGUUGGCUUUGGAAUCAAAAGAAUUCUCCACAGAUGGUGAAGUGGCUCAGAAAAUGAAAGAAUUGGGUUUAGAAAGGUGAAGUGAUCUACUUUUAUUUUAUUUUUCCUCUGUUUUGUCUUGUAAAACGGACUUUUUGUUUAAGCUUGCUCAAAUACCACGUGUAACGGGUGGAUAAAUCACUUGAUUAGGGCAAGAAAAUAUGGAUGGCAAGACACUUAUGUGUUCACGAAGGCUAUGGGAGAAAUGGUGAUUGAUAACAUGAGGGGAGACAUACCGGUUGUGAUAAUUCGACCAAGUGUUAUUGAGAGCACUUGCAAAGAACCAUUUUCCGGUUGGAUGGAAGGAAACAGGUGCAUUUAAUUUUAUCAACCAUUUUAAUUAAUUUAGAUUAAUUGCAUUUGGUCUGCCCAAAAAAAUGAAUAAAUAAAAGUAAUUAAUCCUCUCUCUGACUUUUAAAGGAUGAUGGAUCCAAUAAUUUUAUACUAUGGGAAAGGGCAGCUGACAGGAUUUUUGGUAGACCCAAAUGGGAUUCUUGACGUAGUAAGUAAAAUUUUAAUUAACCAUUGAUUAAUUAAUCUCUUGCUACGGUUUGGCUGUGUAGCAAUUAUUUUGCAAAUACAAGAAAACUUUGUGCUUUCAUGACAAAAUUAGCUGCUGCAGGUCCCGGCUGACAUGGUUGUUAACGCAACAUUGGCAGCAAUAGCACAGCACGGAAUGAUUCAAAAACCUGAUAUAAAUGUCUACCAAAUUGCUUCAUCUGUUGUGAAUCCACUAGUGUUUCAAGAUCUUGCAAGGCUGCUUCAUGAACACUACAGUGCUUCGCCGUGUGUGGACACGAAGGGCAGGCCAAUCCGUGUGCCAUCAAUGAAGCUCUUCAGCUCCAUGGAAGAUUUUUCAGCUCACCUCUGGAGAGAUGCUAUUCAGCGAAGUGGGCUGACAUCCACGGCUAAUUUGAACGGGAAGCUGCCUCAGAAACUUGAAACUAUUUGCAGAAAGUCAGUAGAGCAAGCGAAGCACUUGGCUGAUAUAUAUGAGCCAUACACCUUUUAUGGAGGAAGGUAAUUAGGCUCUCUCUAUUAGCAUGCACAAUGCAAUAUGUAUCGACCCCUUUUGACACUACUAGCUCCAGAUUCCUCCUUAAUUAGACUCGUCGUAAACUUUAAAACUACAUAUUAUUAUACGUCUAAAUCUAAAUUUAUAAACUAAGUUACGUAAAUUUGAAGCCAAUCUACUCACCGCAGCCUACAUCAGCCACAUUUUUCUUACUAACCAAGAAGUCAAGAAACCCAAAGAAAACAAAAAAUCAAUCUCUAUCUGAUGUUAAAUUGUAUUUAUGUUAUGAACCAAUAUUAAUUUAAAUGCAUGAUCAUCAAUAUUUUGGCAGAUUUGAUAACAGCAAUACAGAGAGAUUGAUGGAGAAAAUGUCCGAAGAAGAGAAGAGAAAGUUUGGAUUUGACGUGGGGAGCAUUGACUGGAAAGAAUACAUCACAAAUGUUCAUAUACCAGGCUUAAGGAGGCAUGUCAUGAAGGGAAGAGGAAUACACGUGUAGCUAAUAAAAUUAUAUGUGCUUCUUUGUUAAUUUUAAUUAUAUCCCGUGUUAGGGCUUUCAAGUAAUUAUAAUAAGUGAAUACUUUUUCUUUUUCUUUUUUUCUGUCUUGACUUUGUAAUAACUGAAUGCUUAAUCCUGCGUUUUCUUUUUUCUGUUCCAAAAUUAUAUAUAAAGGUAGGCAAGAAUUUGGGUGAAUUCAUGGUUAAUUAGAUGGACUAUGUUGCGUGGAAUUUAAGUUCCUUUCCUACGAUAAUUUCGGUGAUUGAUGGUUAUAUUUUUCGAUAAAUUUUCAGUCAUUUGUUUAGACCAUAUAUUUACAAUAGGAUCUUAUGUUCAGUUAAAUUUCUGAUCGUUCGUUUAAACCAUAUGUUUAUGAUUAACACAGACAAAUAGUAAAUAAUUAACAAAUAUUAAAACUAUUUAGUACUUUGGACGACAAUUAUUAUUUCAUGAAGUAAAAAGAAAAUCGAAAUGAGUCUAGCUUUGUGGCUAAUCUUCUAAUAAGACAAUUUUCUUUUUUUGGGAUAAUUUUAUUUAUGACUCUACAUAUCUAUGAAAUUGAUAUACAUGUAUAAUGAGAACUUGAUAUCUUUAAAAUUUUCUUAGUUUUUAUGGAAAUUAAAUGAACAGGUUUAGGUUGUUAAAUGAAAAGCACCUAUUCCAAAUAAUAUGCAAAAUCUAAAAGAAAUUUGUGACAGGGAAGAAAGAUUUCGUGAUCAAAGAGUGAACAAAAUUUUUAUUUUUCUUUUCCCCUAUUUAUAACGAUUUAUCAUUUAUCACUGCUAGCAGAUCAAUAACAUUACUGGUAUGUCGACAAGAGAUCGUUUCGGUUACCAAAGUGCUAAAACCAGAGGAAAACACGAGAAAACGCUUCUCAGUCACCAGAUGAACACCGCAAGCAGUUGCACUGAAAACCGAACCCUUGCGUUAAGAUAGCUUGACGAGCAUCACGAGCCAUACUUGCAUCGAUGUAGCAUAUCCGAAGUUCUUCCCCUGUGAAAUAAACAUAAAAUUAAGAUUAUGGCAUUGUUAUUAUUAUGUUGAAUAUUUUUGCAUGGUGGGAUUUGAGGAAUGAAAACGUUAAUCUUGAAUGCAUGCAUCUUCAUAGCUCUGCCUGCUAAUUUCCCUCGUUUUCUUUAACAAUGCUGUGAAAUUUUUAAUGUGAAAGCAACCUAUUCUUUUUCUUCAUUCUCAUUGGCUACUCAACAGAUGAAAAUUCAUUUCCCUAACAUGCAUGCUAUAGAAGUGACCUACAAGAGAUUUUAAUAUUGGGUAAGAAACCGGAAAAACAAAGAAACAUGAAAGCUGUGCGAUUGCUGGACAAACCUUCCUCAACAUCACGAAGGGCCAUCAAUCUUGCAUCUGCAUUGUCUAUCCACAUAAUAUGUGCAUUCGGAUCUGCAAUCCAAAUUCAGCUCAUUCAGUUCCUUUCUUAUUUUCUCUCUUCUUUUGGCACAAAAAUUCUGUUUGGCUUAUCCUAGCAUGUCAUCUAUUUCUAUGAACAUUUUAACAAUCACUAGAUCUGCACUUGAACCAGUUUUGGGCGAUCAUUGAAUUGUUAUUUCGCCAAUCCCCAUAGAUUCUUCCUUCCCCAAUAAUCUUAUAUUCUAUCUCCCUUUAAUUCUUUUUCUUCUCUUCCAAUUGUCCUAAUUUUUCUUCUAUUUUGUAGUCUACAUCAAUUGAUAUCUGAUCAUGCACUAUGUAAAUAAGGUUAAAUUGCACCUAGAACCUCAGAAGAGGAAAAAUAAAGUAAAACAGUUAAAAAGAAGAAGAGGAAAAACUAACCACAAUCGUGGUUAUAGAAGGAUGGAAGCAUAUAAAUUGCAUUCCCAACUGCAAUUUCAGAUUCUAUGGAGGCUGCAGCUGAUGAAAGAAGAUCUUCAUACAAUCCUCCAGCCAAUUCAAUACGAAACGCAUUGAUACGAAUUUGAGCCAGUACAUUAGUGUACCAUUGCUUGUUUAGAACUUGUAAUGUCAAAGAUCACUGUUCUCCCAAAAAACACUGGCAUAGAGCUAGAAAAAAGUAUAAGAUAACAAAAAAUAAUGAUAAUUGAUGUGGAGGAUACAUUUCAUCUGUUCAUCAUCUAUACCUGCCUUUUUAAAGGCACUCCUUAGCAUAACAAAACCCUCUUCCAUCUGAAAAUUCUCAUAAAAGUAAGAUGGCAUGCCGCAAAUUUAAAAUUUCACCAAAAGAAGAACAUAUAUGCACAAAAAUAAUGGCAAGGGAUGCUAAACCCCUAAUCAUCAUGGUCAUUAAUAGAUCAGCUCACUGAAUAUUUAUUAUCUAAUUAUUGCUUCUAUAACUAUGAAUAAUGCAUUUCCUUUGGUAGACAAGCAACAAUUAUUGUUUCUGUGAUCAAAUCACAUGCAGAAAUAAUAGGUUCUCAAGCUCCAAUUACUUGGUGCAACAAAGUAAUGAAUUGAUUUGAAUAGAAUUCAUGAUCUAACAGCUCUACCAACAAUUCUUUCUUAUUUCAAAAAUUUCUACAUCGGUCAUGAUCAAUAUUAAUAUAAGAUUCUUACCGCCAAAAUCAAUUCAGGGGAUAAACUAGCAGGUUGAAGUAUGUCAAUACAGUCAGCAGAUUCAGCUCCUGAUAUAAUCAUACAAGCCAACCGCUUCACCAGAAGAGGGUAUUUCAAUCCUUGACUCCUUUAUAGAAAAUGUAUUUAAAAUGAAAAAUUAAAGAAAUACAAUAUGAAAAUGAGAACAGACACUGAAAAGUGUUAAAAAUUACAACAAAUUUAGGAAAAUUUAGGAAAUCAUGUUGACAUGAAAACAUAAACUGCUGUUGGACUUCAGGAGACCACAUGUGUUGGUAAAUCAAUAGUCCCACAGAAAACUAAAAAUAGAAACACCACUAUCAUGUUCAAAAUAUUUCUAAUAGCAUUACUGCUCUUGCUGGCAAUAAACCCAUAAUAACUAUGAAAGGUAAUUCAAAUGGCUUAAAGGAAAAUCCUGCGUGUUUGCCCCUAACAAAAAAAACUUGAUGAGCUGCCAUCUAUUUAAAAUUUGCACCAUGUUAACAUGAUGCAUGAUACUAUAUACUCAAAAAUGCCAAUUAUUUUUAAGAAUUUAUCAUACUGUGUUAUUUUAUUCGUUUCAUUCCAUGUAGUGAUACCAACAGUUACUCAGGGAAAGCGAAUGAAGAAAAUACAAAUUCUGCUGUAACAAGUCUUAAUUAAUACCUUUAGAUGCACUGAACAUUGCUAAAAGAAUCUCAAAGUAGGACAAAAAGGAUAUGUACAAAUCUAAUAUGACACAAAUAUGAAAUGUAACUGAAUGCAAAAAAAGAAGAUAAAUCCCAUAAAAAAAUGAUGUAGACAAAAUGUAAUUGGGAAAAUCUAUCAACCUUCAAGCAAGUGAAAUUAAAAGAAUUUCAGAAACUCACAUACCGGCAAUAGUCAUUGAAAACAGACCAAUCCGCUCUCCUCUCAACAUCAUAAAAUGCCUGAGAAUAUGAGAAUAAAACAGAGAUUCUUUAAAAGGCAAAAAGGACUUAAAGUUCAAACCAAUUCAACUCACUGAAAGUAAGAGCUCUUAUAGCCAGCUUGUAUUCUUAAGCAAAUAAACUAUUGAAAUACUAAGGGGGACUUCAGCUACUACAACCUGCUGUAAAAUGGAAUCACUAACUAUCAAGUAUUAGUGCUUCGUCGUUGGUAAACAUUAGCUUUCACAGUUAAACAUAAGCAGAGGCGGAUGUAGUGUAGGACUAGUGGGGGCUCAAGCCCCCACUGAAAAAAAAAACUAUUUUUGUUUGAAAGAAAAAUUAAUAAAUUUUUAAAUAAUCCCUGUCAUAUUUUUAAAUAGUCCAAGUUUUUUCAGUUUUUACAACCACAGUAGAGAGAACAUUUUCAACAACGAAAUUUGUGAAGAAUGAACUUCAGAAUCGGAUGGGAGAUGAAUGGACAAAUAAUAAUUUGAUUGUUUAUGUAGAAAGAUGUAUUUAAUAGUAUUGAUAAUGAAUUUAUUGCACAACGUUUUCAGAAUAUGAAAUCGCGUAGAGAAUAAUUGUAACUGUGUUAUCAAAAAUUUUAUAUAUUCAAGUUUCAGUUUUUAUAUUUUAUUAUCAUUUAAUUUAGCCCCCGGUAAAUUAUUUUUCUAGAUCCGCCAUUGAACAAUAAGCACAACAAUUAUAAACAUACCCCAAUGAGCAACAAAAACUAAUAUGCACACUAGUAGUGUUGUCAUGAACAUAACUUGGAUUAUAUGACACUAUGUAUUCUGAGAAGUUCAUGCAAAAUGUUCAAGCUCUUCUCCUACUACCUUAGAUACUCUGUAAAGACAUACACUACCCUUGCAUAAAUUACAACACAGUAAAGCUUAGAUAAGGGUUUCACGCUAAUGAAUAAUGCCUUGACUCUACCAAAGCAUAAAGGAUUCACAAAUUGUAAUCUCAGCUAGCAACAGAUGGCAUUAAUAGCUAAAAGGGAAGAACUCUGUUCAUCCUUAUAAACAAUCUGUCAAAAAUCCCUCCACCAUUAUUUAUUUCUCAAAGCUUCACAACAUAAAUGUUAACAUUCUAUGGCACAAACUCUCCUUAGGCAAAACAUUACAGGGUUUAAUAGCAUAUGGGUCCCCGAUUUUUUAUGAAAUAGCAAUUAAGAACACAGAUUACAUUUUUUCCCAUGUAGUCCCUUGCCUUCAUACAAUGAUAAAAAUCCUAUAAUACAAUCAAGGCAUGUUUGGUUAUAGUAUUAAAGGGGUAUUAAAAUAUUGUUCACAUUAUCUUAAUAUCAAUAUCAUGUUUGGCAAAUUUUACAAGGGAUUAAGGGGUAUACUAAUACAGCAAACUGCCGCAUUAGGUAAACCUGACCGGGAGUCGAGAAAAGCUAGCAAACUGCCGCAUUAGCUUUUGUGCUUUUGCAUUUGCUGCUUCUUUUUUUUUUAUUACUUUUGCUUUUGCUUUUUUUUCAAUACUAAUAAAUAAUAUAACUUUUUAAUAUAAUAUAAUAUUUUCUUUUCUUUUAUUUUUAUAAUUUAUUGCACAACGUUUUCAGAAUAUGAAAUCGCGUAGAGAAUAAUUGUAACUGUGUUAUCAAAAAUUUUAUAUAUUCAAGUUUCAGUUUUUAUAUUUUAUUGUCAUUUAAUUUAGCCCCCGGUAAAUUAUUUUUCUAGAUCCGCCAUUGAACAAUAAGCACAACAAUUAUAAACAUACCCCAAUGAGCAACAAAAACUAAUAUGCACACUAGUAGUGUUGUCAUGAACAUAACUUGGAUUAUAUGACACUAUGUAUUCUGAGAAGUUCAUGCAAAAUGUUCAAGCUCUUCUCCUACUACCUUAGAUACUCUGUAAAGACAUACACUACCCUUGCAUAAAUUACAACACAGUAAAGCUUAGAUAAGGGUUUCACGCUAAUGAAUAAUGCCUUGACUCUACCAAAGCAUAAAGGAUUCACAAAUUGUAAUCUCAGCUAGCAACAGAUGGCAUUAAUAGCUAAAAGGGAAGAACUCUGUUCAUCCUUAUAAACAAUCUGUCAAAAAUCCCUCCACCAUUAUUUAUUUCUCAAAGCUUCACAACAUAAAUGUUAACAUUCUAUGGCACAAACUCUCCUUAGGCAAAACAUUACAGGGUUUAAUAGCAUAUGGGUCCCCGAUUUUUUAUGAAAUAGCAAUUAAGAACACAGAUUACAUUUUUUCCCAUGUAGUCCCUUGCCUUCAUACAAUGAUAAAAAUCCUAUAAUACAAUCAAGGCAUGUUUGGUUAUAGUAUUAAAGGGGUAUUAAAAUAUUGUUCACAUUAUCUUAAUAUCAAUAUCAUGUUUGGCAAAUUUUACAAGGGAUUAAGGGGUAUACUAAUACAGCAAACUGCCGCAUUAGGUAAACCUGACCGGGAGUCGAGAAAAGCUAGCAAACUGCCGCAUUAGCUUUUGUGCUUUUGCAUUUGCUGCUUCUUUUUUUUUUAUUACUUUUGCUUUUGCUUUUUUUUCAAUACUAAUAAAUAAUAUAACUUUUUAAUAUAAUAUAAUAUUUUCUUUUCUUUUAUUUUUAUAUCAUAAUUGUUAAUAUAAAUUAAUAAUUUAUUAUUCAUAUUUUAAUUUUUAUUAUAUUAAAAAUAUUACUAAAUAAUGUAUUAUUUAAUUAUAUAAUAAUUAAUAUAUCAAAUUGAUUAAUAAGUACUUAAAUAAUAUAUAAAAAUAAGAAUAUAACUUGAUAUUACAUUAUUUAAUUAUAUUAUAGUAAUUAAUAUAUAAAAAUUUAAUAUAACUAAUAAAAAUAUUUAUAUAUGAAUAAAUUUAAAUAAUAUUAAUUUAAAAUAAAUGUUAUGUUGUCGAUUAUAAGGCUAUAAGCUUCAAUCUUUAUGGAAAUUUUUUUAAUAUUUAUACUAAAAAAUAAUGUUAAAUUUCUAAAAUUUAAGACUUCUAUAUUUUGUAUUUUUUUAGGUACUAAUAAAUAUUAUUUUCUAAAUAUAUAAUUUAAGUUAAUCACAAAAAAAUUAAUACAGUACAGUGUAGCACCAAACAUUGUACAACAUUAUUAUAAUACAGUGCUAAUGCAAUACACCAUAAUACAAUACACAAAUAUUAAAAUAAUACAAUACAGCAUAAUACACUAUAGUGUGCCAAACGCACCCUCAGUGAUUUAACAUUAUACUCAUCAAAAUUUUGAAAAAGAAUUAAGUCCCCUUAAUAAACUCAUUUCAAGGUGUGACUGAAAAGCCAAUGAUGUUAAUCAGCCAGCAAAGACCCACAAGAAAAUUUUUCAAGUAAUGUCCUUACCUGUGACUUUGUCAAAACUUAGGGACCCAAACCUAAAACUUAAAAUCCAGUUAGUCAUAGAAGCAUAACUGCAAACAGGUGAUAGGUACAUCGUAAACCUCAAAAUCCAUGAAGAAUUUUUUUUAUUUUUUUUCCCCUGAAAGAAAGCCCAUUUUACCUUAGCGUUAUCUUUGCACACUUCACUGCAAAAGCGAGCAUUAUGAUGUUGAAAAUGCUGCGAACUCGAAGUAAUCUUUCUGAGACAAAAGUAACACACGCUGUUUAGUGUGGAAAGAGUCGGGUGAGUUAUGAUGGGCUUGGCGGUGUGGAUGAGAUCGCCGGCCCCGAUUCUCCGAGUGGCGAAGACGCCGCGACCGGCGGACUCGGUGAGCGCGACUUGGAUUGGCGGCGGCGAGGGUUGACUGGGUUUCCCAUUGUGCGUUGCGGCGGAGCAAAGCUGCCUCUUUUCUAAAUGAAGACUUUCGAGGCGGGAAAUCAGGCAACGGCUAUAACGGCGUAAGCACAUCUUCCAAAAGUAACAGACUUGUGGGAGAAAUGGAAUAAAUAAGAUCACAAAAUUAUGACCAAUAAAAUCAUACUGAGCGAGUCUGGGGGUUAGCAGUUGUACAUACUCAUUCAUGGAUUCAUGCUCCUCUUGAGGAAAAAAGUUACGUAAACAUGGCCAAAUGUAUCAAAAAAAUGCAAAGCAAAGGCUUAAAAAGUACCAAGGACUAACCAUUUUUCUAGUCUUUGGUAAUACCAAAAUCUUUGGUGCCAAAACAAAUAACAACUAGAAAGUAAUUACAGUAUAGAUUAUAUAUACACACAUAUAAAAAGAGCAAUCACCUAUCAAGUUAAUAAAAGGUAAAUGCCGUAACAAUUAGCGUCGUCAUCAAUUUGAUUCAAAUUCAUCGCCUUAUUAACACAUUUAAUAAUUUUCAUCAAUGUAAUGGUGAUCUCCAAUCAAGAUUUUCAUCAACCGGGUAACUAUCUUUCUGCACUUCUUUAGGAGGAAUGAAGCAAUCAAGUGACAAUCCGGCCACGUUAAAUGCAAGAUCAUCAAUGGUCCAAAUCUCCUCCAUCCUCGUGAUUGAAAGGCCUGCUUUCAGAUUAUCUCCAAAGCGUGUGAUGAUUACACUUGAUUGGCCCGAAUGAGCAAUCAUCACACCCUCGAUUGCCCUAUAAUCUUCAAUUUUAGUAGCCAUUGUGGUUUCCCAGUAAGUAGGCAGAGAUCCAGGUGAUUGAAUUCUUGUUAAGUACGAGUCCUCUAAGUACACUAGCAGCCCACUUCUUUGGCUGAAGUAACCAAAGAUUACAUGCUUGAUCAUCUCUGCCGUGCUGUCACUUCGAUCAGCUAAGUCCGUUUGAUUAGCAGCCAAUUUCAAGACAAAACAAUCAAUGUCGGAAAUUCGUUUCUCUCCCAUGUACUGUGCUGUAGAGAAUACAGAUGCUACUGCAAUAGGAUCCAGUCCCUACACACAUAAAUUAUUGUAUCUUCAGCACAACAUAGGGCCAUCUCAUAUCAGUAUUUGAAGUGAUGGGGGGGCCAGAAUUCGAACUAAUUGAUUCCAAGUUUGACAAAACAUAUAUGAAACAAGAUCUGGUGUCUUCGGAGAUUGGAUCUAGUUUCCAAUUAAAUUUGUGUGUGAGAAGAACAGAGGCAGCAAGUUGACAUCAGGAUGUAUAUAACUCUCAAGUGAAAUCCUUCUCAAUAUCCCACAUAAAAAAGAUAAAUAAACACUACUGAAAUUAUUUUGGGAUGCUAAAUUUAGAAUUUUUAUUGCACGACAACAUCCCAAAAAUGUUCGGUAUAAUCCCACAUCUACAAUCCGCAAAUGUUUCUAUCUAAAUCCUAGGUGGGCUAAAAAUAAAUUUAAGUGGCAAUAUAAUCUCAUAGCACUCUCCUGUCCAAGUCCAUUUUUAAGGGCGAGUUCUACAAGUAGGUAGGUAAACAAUCGGGCGUGUGGACUGUUCCAAUCCUGAAUCUCACAUGAACUAAAGUAGAAAUCUGAAUGGGUAUAUAAUCUCAUUGACAAUUCUUCAUACAAGCCUUCAUAAAUGAAAAAAUAAAAUAAAAAUAAAAAUCCAGAUCACAUUACUAUAUCUCACUCACAUGCCAAGAUCUGAGUUCGCCUGCAUGAUUCAUGUUACUCUAGAAAGUAGCUAAACGUGCUAUUGGUAAUUAUUUAUCCCAAGUGACAAGAAUUAAAAAAUGCAGAAGUACAAUUGUUCUAUCAAAAAACAAAAACCUGACAAAGAUACUUCAAAAAAAUAAUAAUUAACAUUUUAGAAAUAAACUAUCAAAGACUUGCCUGAAGAGCACGACGGAGAGGGCGGACGCUGCCUUUGGCAGCAUGUGAGCCGAGCCAUGGUGUGUGGCGCCAAGCAAAAUUACCAUCACUACCAGCUACGACUUUGUGGCCACCAACAACAAGCUCAAUGAGCCACUUGUUAGGAACCAUUUGCCACAUUACAAAGCAACCCUUUUCUGAAACCCCUCCGAGGGAGGCGCUGGCUCCGGCACCGGCAACGGGAACUGAGCCAGCUGAGCCGCCAAAAUCAUCCCCCAUGCCCAUUGUCACUUUCCCAGUGGCAAAAAUGUUCUUCACUCUCCCUUCUAAUUUCCUGCAACCCGUUGCUGCUGUGAAGUGUUGUAUGAUAUAUUGUGCUGAUGAACAUACCUGCGGUUACAACAAAUUAUUAAAUCUCUAAAAUUUAAGUGAUAAUGAAUUAUUGGAGCUCAUUUACUGUAACAUUACAAUUAAUAAUAUGUCGAAACUAAUAAUACUCAAAAUCUGAUCGAAUAGAAAGAAAUUUACCCACAAUGUGAAAUUAUUAAAUGCACAUAAUCAUUUAAUUUACCUCCACCCAAGAGUUGUUCUCAAUAAGUUGAGUGUUUGACAACUAAACAAAAUUUAUCAUCGAGAAUAAUUCUGGUGGAACUGUAAGUUAUAUUAUUGUGUAACUCAAUAAAAUCCAUUAAUUAAUUUUUUUUAUGAGUUACAUGAUUAUCUUUUUUAUUUGUAGGAAAGUAGCUUUUCAUUCAUUCAACGCUUUAAAUAAAUUCAGAAUUUCUGCUUGACAUUGAAUCCAGCCAAACAGUAAAUGUACUUCUUCCUAAAACAAAUUUAUCUAAGGAAUGGUCAUCAGCAUACAAAAUCCCGGGGUGUAUUGAACUUUAACAAUGAAUAAGUGAUACGAAGCUAUAAAGUUGGUUAAGUCAUUUAAUAAUGAAUAAGAGAUGCAAUUUUAACUAUUAUUUUUGGGGGGAUUUUAGGUAAAUACGAAGCUAUAAAGUUGGUAUAGUCAUUUAAUUUGAGUGAAACGAGAAUGAUGUAUAUAGUAAAUGACUUAAUCUACUUUCUAAAAAAACCUGAUCAAUAAAUACAACAAACUGACCCACAAAAGUUCUGGGCUUCGGUCUUUCCUUUUUUCAGUGGGAUACUGAUGGGGAUUUCAGAGCAUGUGCACAAAGUGGAAAAAAGCACUAGUUGAAUCAAGAAUAAUAAAGAUAAUAACAAUAUCUUUUUAGGUAUGAAAACACCCGCAUUUUUUUUUAUUAAUCUCUUUACCAAUAAUAAUAAGUAAAAAUAAAUAAUAAGCUCAAUGUAAAAUAAGAUCAAAAGAAUCCAUAACGUCGCACACGUUAAUGACCUCAAAAUGAUAAAAUCUGUGAUCCAUUUACACAACUAAUAAACAAUCAGUUUUUUUGCAGGAUGAUAUACGUACUUUGCAUAUCAAAUCGAAAAAUGCAAAUGUAUGUAUGUAUGUAUAGAUAUAUACGUACCUGGUUAAGGGGUUGCUUCGGAAGAAGGGGAACUGGGAAAAGAGGGCAACCAAGAACGCUUAAGAGGGUCUUGAGGUCAGAUUUCUUGUUGAUGAAAAAAACAAGAGACAAGUGAUUCUUGAGCCAGUGCUUCCACGAAAGUCCUUUCUUGGAAGAGUACUUCGUGUUGUUACUGCCGUUGCUGCUGUUGCUGUGUUGUUCUUCUUCAUUAAUGGGCUCUUCCGAUAAUGGAGCAAGCCGACUCAUUAUCAAAGAGCAGAACGAAAAAUACUACAGAGGCCGCAGGAUCAGCAGCAACAAAACGAGAGGAACGUUUACUUGCUCUCGCUCUACUUCUUAAAAUAGGGGAGUUUCUUUCUUUUUCUGUCUUUGGUUCGGUGCACUUCUUGUACACGCAGUUUUUGGGGCGCGUGAUUGGGCAAUGAUACCCUAGAGAAGUUCUUUUUAAUUUUAUUUUUUUUUAUUUUUUUACCACGAGGUAUCCUGGGGAGGGUCUCAACUGUGGGAGGCACUUUUAAGUCCGUAUUACAAUCCAGACUAGAAAGUCUCUGCUCGAACCGAGAAGCACAGGUUCUCCCAACAAAGGCGAUUUCCCUGCGACUCGAACUGGGAAGCAAAUCCAGUCAAAUCACUUAAGAGGACUCUAUUACCAAUGGAGUUAACACUUUAUUGGUACAUUAUUUAUAUUUAAAUAAGAAAAAAGGACCUAAGGUUUCCAUCUUACCAGGAAAAGUCAAAUGUAUAAUUCAUCUAUGGUUGUUUGUAAAGUAACUUAAAUGUUAAAUAUUUCUGUUUCAACACUAUGAAGUGAAUAAAGACUUUUACAGCAUUGUUAAGAGUAAGUCUACUGUUAAGGGUACGUUUGGAAUUGAGAUUUUAUAAUUUUUAAGUUACAGUUAUUAUAGAGAAAAAAUUUUAAUUAUAAAAUAAAAUUUUGUAAUAUAUAGUAAAUAUAAAUUUUAAAUAAUAAUUUUGAUAAAAUUAUUAAAGAUAUAAUAGAUUUUUUAUUAUACAAGUGAACAAUCAUAUCAACAUAUCUUCCAAAUUACAGCAGCUAAUGUUUAUCAAACACUUUAGUGUUAUAACUAAAAAAUAUAAUUGUCCAAUCUCAAUUCUAAACGCACCUUAAUUCACCUCUCUUUUAAUAAUCUUUUUUAUUAUUUUAAAUUUUCAAUCGACAAAAUUUUUAUUUAAUUCUAACGAGUAUGUUAGAAAUUAACAUAUAAGAUUAAUGAUGCAUGUGUGUAGUAGUAUUGAGUUCGAUGGACCACAAGAUGAUAUGAGACUGACAUAUCACAUCCAAACUCUUACUAAUUUUUCUAAUGGAAUAGAAGGCAUUAAGGAGAUAGGUUACCUAACACACGAACAUUAAAUUUAGGUUUAUGAUGUCUAAUAAUAAUAGUGAGAACUCAAGAAGAUUGCAAUUUAUUGAAAAAUAAUUACUUACUCAAAAGUCUAAAAAUUAAUUGAUUAAUUUUACAUAAAGAACUCAUCCGUGAGAUGGUCAAUGAGCAAAAAUAAAAUGUAGAGGAACUCAUAAAAUGUUCUCCCUUGUUUUCUUUUUAACUUAUUUUGGUGAAAGAAAAAGAUUUAGUUGGUUAACAAACAAGUCCAAUGAGAGAUCUUCCAGCAAAGCUAAAGAAAAUUACCAUAAUCAUUUAUUAGAUUAGAAAGGUGGGUGUGGUCCUUUCUACAUUCUAAACUAAUCAUCACAAUUUAGCAAACAAAAAUUAUGAUGUAAUGAAAAGUGAUCUACGCACCUAAUCUUUUUAAAUUUUAUAUUACAAAUUAACUUAAGAAUUUAUUAUAUCAAUUUUAGCUAUUCACAUGUUUUACUAGACGGGUCAUAUUUCUUUUCAAAUAUUUUUUUUAAAAAAAUCUUAUUUAAAAAGAUAAGCCUAACUUCAUGAUUUAUCAUCUUGACUAAUGAAUGGAUCUCUGAAAUAUGAUAAAAGGCGAAAAAGAGAGGUGGAAAAAUUAACAUGAAAAUGGCGCGUGAGGGGCAAUCAUAUCAACAUAUCUUCCAAAUUACAGCAGCUAAUGUUUAUCAAACACUUUAGUGUUAUAACUAAAAAAUAUAAUUGUCCAAUCUCAAUUCUAAACGCACCUUAAUUCACCUCUCUUUUAAUAAUCUUUUUUAUUAUUUUAAAUUUUCAAUCGACAAAAUUUUUAUUUAAUUCUAACGAGUAUGUUAGAAAUUAACAUAUAAGAUUAAUGAUGCAUGUGUGUAGUAGUAUUGAGUUCGAUGGACCACAAGAUGAUAUGAGACUGACAUAUCACAUCCAAACUCUUACUAAUUUUUCUAAUGGAAUAGAAGGCAUUAAGGAGAUAGGUUACCUAACACACGAACAUUAAAUUUAGGUUUAUGAUGUCUAAUAAUAAUAGUGAGAACUCAAGAAGAUUGCAAUUUAUUGAAAAAUAAUUACUUACUCAAAAGUCUAAAAAUUAAUUGAUUAAUUUUACAUAAAGAACUCAUCCGUGAGAUGGUCAAUGAGCAAAAAUAAAAUGUAGAGGAACUCAUAAAAUGUUCUCCCUUGUUUUCUUUUUAACUUAUUUUGGUGAAAGAAAAAGAUUUAGUUGGUUAACAAACAAGUCCAAUGAGAGAUCUUCCAGCAAAGCUAAAGAAAAUUACCAUAAUCAUUUAUUAGAUUAGAAAGGUGGGUGUGGUCCUUUCUACAUUCUAAACUAAUCAUCACAAUUUAGCAAACAAAAAUUAUGAUGUAAUGAAAAGUGAUCUACGCACCUAAUCUUUUUAAAUUUUAUAUUACAAAUUAACUUAAGAAUUUAUUAUAUCAAUUUUAGCUAUUCACAUGUUUUACUAGACGGGUCAUAUUUCUUUUCAAAUAUUUUUUUUAAAAAAAUCUUAUUUAAAAAGAUAAGCCUAACUUCAUGAUUUAUCAUCUUGACUAAUGAAUGGAUCUCUGAAAUAUGAUAAAAGGCGAAAAAGAGAGGUGGAAAAAUUAACAUGAAAAUGGCGCGUGAGGGGCAAACAAAGAAGAAAUUGUGGGUUUUACAAAGAGAGGGAGCUUUUAAGGAAGGCAAUGCUGGUGACGUGUCCGCAUCGUUUUCCUAUUCGCAAUUAUGAUUUUACUGGUAAGUCUGGUACGAAUUUACAAACUUUUGUUUGUUGCUUUCAAUUGCUUUAGCCACUUCUUUUGAAAAUGCAGCUAUGAAUUCUAUAAAUCAUAAAUGGUAUUUGUGUAAAACAAAAAGGCCAAAAAAACAACAACAAAAUUAUUUAGGGAAAUUUACACAAAUAGCCAUUAAAAUUUUACAUUUUUCACUUAUAACCCUACUAACUUAUUUCUAUCAAUAUUAGCCAAAACUAAAAUUUCAAGACCAAAGUGCCCUCUCCAUCUCUCCCCCAACUCCACCUCUUUCACGUGAGAUCUCCAAGAGGCAAAACGGCGGCAGCUUCAACCAUCACCGGCGACGGCUUCACACACCAUCAACAUAAGUAAGCCAUUUUAUUUAUAUUUGAUUAAUUAAGAAUGAAAUUUGAGAAUAACAAUGGUGGUGGUAGUGCUUGUAAUGGUGGUUGUGGAUUUUGGGAGUGUGUUGUUUUGUAACGGAGAUUUUUUGUGCGAAGGGUGCGUGAUUGUGCAGUGGGAUUGGGCUGCAACGCCAUGGGUGCAGCACCCAUCGCGCGAGCUGCAGCAAGCAUCGCGAUGGUUGCUGCAGCUCGUGCAAUGCUUGCUGCACCCAUUCCCAUUGCGCGAGUUUGUCCGUCGCACAAAAGUGCCUAUCGCAAAAAAUUUUGUGCGACAGUGUGCCCGUCGUACAAAAACUCACAACACACGUUCUGAAUUUUUGUGCAACGGGUGCCCGUCGCAAACAUUUUUGUGCGACAGUGUGCCCGUCGCACAAAAACUCACAACACAUGUUCUAAGUUUUUGUGCGACGGGUGCCCGUCGCAAAAAUAUUUGUGCGACAGUGUGCCCAUCGCACAAAAAAUUUUGUGCGACGGGUGCCGGUCGCACAAAUUUUUGUGCGACGGCCACCCGUUGCACCNNNNNNNNNNNNNNNNNNNNNNNNNNNNNNNNNNNNNNNNNNNNNNNNNNNNNNNUUUGUGCGACAGUGUGCCCAUCGCACAAAAAUUCAGAUUUUUUUUCAAGAGUAUUUGAUCUUAAUUUUUGUACAACCGGUGCCCCUUGCACCAAAGUUUGUGCGACGGGUGGCCGUCGGCUUUAAAUUCAAGCAUGUUGCUGAAAGAAAAGACUAUUUUUUUGUGCGAUAAGUGGCCGUCGCAAAAAUAUUUGUGCGACGGGCACUCAUCGCACAAAAAUUCAGAUUGUGUGUGAUAAAAAAAUGCAGCAAUAGAUUGUCGUAUAAAAAUAUAGAUUACACCCAAGGCCGUUUUUACUUUGUAGAUACCUUAUUUAUUUUAAAUUAUUAAUAUUAUUAUUCUAUAAAUAACACAAUAAUGAAUAAAAUUUCAAUUGUCUCAGGUAGAUGGCGAAAACUAAGUUGGCAAAGCGCAAUCCGCCUGAACCUGGGAAGGAGUCGGGCGUGAUGAAGUUAUAUUUUGAUGAUCAUUUCCCGGGUCGUAUUUCAGAGACGUCAAAACAGAGACAAUAUCCAAAUGCCAUGUCUCAACGUGUCACGCAUACAGAUACGUUUUUUUGGGUAAUGAUCUUACAGAACUUGUAAUUAACCUCUCAAUUUCUUAUCUUGUAAUAGCAUGUUGAUAUUGAUACUCUCCUGUUAUUUUUCUUUGAAUAUAUCUUCUAGGUCUUUUUGAAGCAAUUAUGGAACGAUGGUGACUGUGACCUUAAUUCAUUACAAUAUAGCUACAACUUUAAUAGUUAUAUUGAUGGACGAGAAGAAAUCAUGUCGAAACGUUUCACAGACGUCGAUAUGGUUAGAAUAGCUACGCAAUUCAAGAUGGUUUAUAUUUUUUUUAAUAUCUUAAACAUAACAAUUAACUUGCAUUAAUUAAUGUAUGUAGGUUUUCAUUCCCGUGAAUCUGGGCGGCGAUCAUUGGAUAGUAGCUUGAGUCGACCUUCGCAAGAAAAAUGUGUGGAUUUAUGACUCGUUGGUGGCAAUUCGUGAUGAUAAAACGUACAAGGAUAAGUUCAAGCCACUUGAAGUCGUCUUCCCUCGAUGGUUAGAAGAUGUCGGAUUUUACAACGUCCGACAUGACUUGCGGAAUGCCAACCCUUGGAAUGUCAAAAUAUGUAAGGGUGUGCCGCAACAAGAGCCUGGUAGUGGCGAUUGUGUCGUUUUUAUGUUGAUGAUCACGAUGUAUUUAAUGUUUGGGCUAAGACUUAAUUUUACUAGUGGCCACGGGCAAUACUUUAGGAAGAAAAUUGCUGUAGACAUAUUUAAUGGUGAUAUCGGCCUUUAGGAUAUUGUGGCGGUGAUAUAUAAUGAUGAAAUUGGAUUUUAGACGAUUGUAUUUAUAAUUAUUAUUGGUGUGUACAAAACUUUUUUUUUUACAUAUAAUUGAAAUAAAAAAUUUGCAAUAUAAUAGAAAUUAAAUAGGUUGUUAUAUAUAAUGGUGCAAUAAAUAAAAAUCAGAUCUCAAAAUACAUAACAAUUUAAAACGAUACAAUUAGCUUCGUGUCGACGCAAUGAGAGUUUUGCACUUUUUUCGGUUAUGACCCAUUUCGUUGCACCGGCCACAUCUUAUAGUUCUCCUGUCAACAUCCUCACCAACAGAGGGUAUUCUGAGCUCUGGACGAUGGCCGGGCAGUGGUGCUUCUAUUGGUGGGUUAACUUUCAUUGCUGGAAUUUCCUCAGGAACCUCCCAAUCUGCCAUGNNNNNNNNNNNNNNNNNNNNNNNNNNNNNNNNNNNNNNNNNNNNNNNNNNNNNNNNNNNNNNNNNNNNNNNNNNNNNNNNNNNNNNNNNNNNNNNNNNNNNNNNNNNNNNNNNNNNNNNNNNNNNNNNNNNNNNNNNNNNNNNNNNNNNNNNNNNNNNNNNNNNNNNNNNNNNNNNNNNNNNNNNNNNNNNNNNNNNNNNNNNNNNNNNNNNNNNNNNNNNNNNNNNNNNNNNNNNNNNNNNNNNNNNNNNNNNACUCAGCCGUAAUUUUCCUAUCAUAAAACCAUUGCUGCAAUGUUUUCCUAAAGUGAUCAACAAGAUGAGUUAUAGGAAAUUUCCUCGGUUCCCUCAGUAAUGAAUUCACGCUCUCUGCAAUGUUGGUGGUUAGAAUACUGUACCUUCUACCUUCGAACUCAGACCUUGCCCAAUUACAUGUGCCAACAUUAUUCUCUAAGUAGUCAGCUGCACCUGCGUGGAGUUGCCACAACCCCUCUAGUUGUUUUUUAAAUUCUUCGUGUCCAUAUGUUUUCGCUGCGUUUAUGAAGGCAGGCUCAAAUUCAUCCCAAAGAGCUUUCGACAUCUUGAAUUUUGACUUAACGUUACCUUUGACAUGGUAAAAACAAACGCCAUGGACAGCUGAGCGAAAUACUUUUAAAACGGCUCUAUUGAUCGCGGUGCAUCGGUCUGAGAUAAAUACCAACUCCGGCAUAGAAAUUAAAUAGGUUGUUAUAUAUAAUGUUGCAAUAAAUAAAAAUCAGAUCUCAAAAUACAUAACAAUUUAAAACGAUACAAUUAGCUUCGUGUCGACGCAAUGGGAUUUUUGCACUUUUUUCGGUUAUGACCCACUUCGUUGCACCGGCCACAUCUUAUAGUUCUCCUGUCAACAUCCUCACCAACAGAGGGUAUUCUGAGCUCUGGACGAUGGCCGGGCAGUGGUGCUUCUAUUGGUGGGUUAACUUUCAUUGCUGGAAUUUCCUCAGGAACCUCCCAAUCUGCCAUGUCGCCAACAGGCUCUACUGGUUGUGCAUAAGCCGUCACUAAUGAUUCCUGAGUGUAAAAUUCGGAACAAAGACUUAUGUAAUCCACGCGCACGGUUAUGCAAGCAGCAAUUGCAUGUGCACAAACAAGCUGAUCAAGUUGGAACACUCUACAGGAGCAAGUCUUCUCACGAAUGUCAACUAUCCCUUCUUUAAUACCACCACCAAAAACAUGAAAUCGAUACUGAGCCAUAGGACGAACGGUCAUUCUUUCAGCCAAAGUUCUCCUAUCAGAGACUAUUUCGUCUGCCCACGUUGUUAGACGAGUACUCAUCAACUCAGCCGUAAUUUUCCUAUCAUAAAACCAUUGCUGCAAUGUUUUCCUAAAGUGAUCAACAAGAUGAGUUAUAGGAAAUUUCCUCGGUUCCCUCAGUAAUGAAUUCACGCUCUCUGCAAUGUUGGUGGUUAGAAUACUGUACCUUCUACCUUCGAACUCAGACNNNNNNNNNNNNNNNNNNNNNNNNNNNNNNNNNNNNNNNNNNNNNNNNNNNNNNNNNNNNNNNNNNNNNNNNNNNNNNNNNNNNNNNNNNNNNNNNNNNNNNNNNNNNNNNNNNNNNNNNNNNNNNNNNNNNNNNNNNNNNNNNNNNNNNNNNNNNNNNNNNNNNNNNNNNNNNNNNNNNNNNNNNNNNNNNNNNNNNNNNNNNNNNNNNNNNNNNNNNNNNNNNNNNNNNNNNNNNNNNNNNNNNNNNNNNNNNNNNNNNNNNNNNNNNNNNNNNNNNNNNNNNNNNNNNNNNNNNNNNNNNNNNNNNNNNNNNNNNNNNNNNNNNNNNNNNNNNNNNNNNNNNNNNNNNNNNNNNNNNNNNNNNNNNNNNNNNNNNNNNNNNNNNNNNNNNNNNNNNNNNNNNNNNNNNNNNNNNNNNNNNNNNNNNNNNNNNNNNNNNNNNNNNNNNNNNNNNNNNNNNNNNNNNNNNNNNNNNNNNNNNNNNNNNNNNNNNNNNNNNNNNNNNNNNNNNNNNNNNNNNNNNNNNNNNNNNNNNNNNNNNNNNNNNNNNNNNNNNNNNNNNNNNNNNNNNNNNNNNNNNNNNNNNNNNNNNNNNNNNNNNNNNNNNNNNNNNNNNNNNNNNNNNNNNNNNNNNNNNNNNNNNNNNNNNNNNNNNNNNNNNNNNNNNNNNNNNNNNNNNNNNNNNNNNNNNNNNNNNNNNNNNNNNNNNNNNNNNNNNNNNNNNNNNNNNNNNNNNNNNNNNNNNNNNNNNNNNNNNNNNNNNNNNNNNNNNNNNNNNNNNNNNNNNNNNNNNNNNNNNNNNNNNNNNNNNNNNNNNNNNNNNNNNNNNNNNNNNNNNNNNNNNNNNNNNNNNNNNNNNNNNNNNNNNNNNNNNNNNNNNNNNNNNNNNNNNNNNNNNNNNNNNNNNNNNNNNNNNNNNNNNNNNNNNNNNNNNNNNNNNNNNNNNNNNNNNNNNNNNNNNNNNNNNNNNNNNNNNNNNNNNNNNNNNNNNNNNNNNNNNNNNNNNNNNNNNNNNNNNNNNNNNNNNNNNNNNNNNNNNNNNNNNNNNNNNNNNNNNNNNNNNNNNNNNNNNNNNNNNNNNNNNNNNNNNNNNNNNNNNNNNNNNNNNNNNNNNNNNNNNNNNNNNNNNNNNNNNNNNNNNNNNNNNNNNNNNNNNNNNNNNNNNNNNNNNNNNNNNNNNNNNNNNNNNNNNNNNNNNNNNNNNNNNNNNNNNNNNNNNNNNNNNNNNNNNNNNNNNNNNNNNNNNNNNNNNNNNNNNNNNNNNNNNNNNNNNNNNNNNNNNNNNNNNNNNNNNNNNNNNNNNNNNNNNNNNNNNNNNNNNNNNNNNNNNNNNNNNNNNNNNNNNNNNNNNNNNNNNNNNNNNNNNNNNNNNNNNNNNNNNNNNNNNNNNNNNNNNNNNNNNNNNNNNNNNNNNNNNNNNNNNNNNNNNNNNNNNNNNNNNNNNNNNNNNNNNNNNNNNNNNNNNNNNNNNNNNNNNNNNNNNNNNNNNNNNNNNNNNNNNNNNNNNNNNNNNNNNNNNNNNNNNNNNNNNNNNNNNNNNNNNNNNNNNNNNNNNNNNNNNNNNNNNNNNNNNNNNNNNNNNNNNNNNNNNNNNNNNNNNNNNNNNNNNNNNNNNNNNNNNNNNNNNNNNNNNNNNNNNNNNNNNNNNNNNNNNNNNNNNNNNNNNNNNNNNNNNNNNNNNNNNNNNNNNNNNNNNNNNNNNNNNNNNNNNNNNNNNNNNNNNNNNNNNNNNNNNNNNNNNNNNNNNNNNNNNNNNNNNNNNNNNNNNNNNNNNNNNNNNNNNNNNNNNNNNNNNNNNNNNNNNNNNNNNNNNNNNNNNNNNNNNNNNNNNNNNNNNNNNNNNNNNNNNNNNNNNNNNNNNNNNNNNNNNNNNNNNNNNNNNNNNNNNNNNNNNNNNNNNNNNNNNNNNNNNNNNNNNNNNNNNNNNNNNNNNNNNNNNNNNNNNNNNNNNNNNNNNNNNNNNNNNNNNNNNNNNNNNNNNNNNNNNNNNNNNNNNNNNNNNNNNNNNNNNNNNNNNNNNNNNNNNNNNNNNNNNNNNNNNNNNNNNNNNNNNNNNNNNNNNNNNNNNNNNNNNNNNNNNNNNNNNNNNNNNNNNNNNNNNNNNNNNNNNNNNNNNNNNNNNNNNNNNNNNNNNNNNNNNNNNNNNNNNNNNNNNNNNNNNNNNNNNNNNNNNNNNNNNNNNNNNNNNNNNNNNNNNNNNNNNNNNNNNNNNNNNNNNNNNNNNNNNNNNNNNNNNNNNNNNNNNNNNNNNNNNNNNNNNNNNNNNNNNNNNNNNNNNNNNNNNNNNNNNNNNNNNNNNNNNNNNNNNNNNNNNNNNNNNNNNNNNNNNNNNNNNNNNNNNNNNNNNNNNNNNNNNNNNNNNNNNNNNNNNNNNNNNNNNNNNNNNNNNNNNNNNNNNNNNNNNNNNNNNNNNNNNNNNNNNNNNNNNNNNNNNNNNNNNNNNNNNNNNNNNNNNNNNNNNNNNNNNNNNNNNNNNNNNNNNNNNNNNNNNNNNNNNNNNNNNNNNNNNNNNNNNNNNNNNNNNNNNNNNNNNNNNNNNNNNNNNNNNNNNNNNNNNNNNNNNNNNNNNNNNNNNNNNNNNNNNNNNNNNNNNNNNNNNNNNNNNNNNNNNNNNNNNNNNNNNNNNNNNNNNNNNNNNNNNNNNNNNNNNNNNNNNNNNNNNNNNNNNNNNNNNNNNNNNNNNNNNNNNNNNNNNNNNNNNNAUAGGAAUGCAUCCGUAAUUUACCACAUCAGAGGCCAUAUGUAACACAACCUUGACUAUUUCAUCGUUAAAUAUGUCCAUAGGCAGUGAACAUGUACGAUACAUUGUAUUACUAGACCUCAAAGUUGUCUUCAUAGUGAUAUUGUAUUCAUUACGAUUUAUCUGUAACACAUCAUAAACUCUUGCCAGAAACUGAUCAAAUGUACAGUCUUUUCGAAUUAGAAAGGCUGUAUUAUUGCCAUUCACGUACUCCAUACUCCCAUCCGCCAACGUCUCCCACCAACCGUCAUAACACAGUUGAAGCACAACUGAAUCCAUUAAAUCUACAAAAUAUACAAAAAAUAUAACAAAUGUGGUUACACAUUGUGGGUUUGAUUUGUUUCGUUGCAAGCGUUGAAAUGAUAUAUUAUACACAAAAAAUGAAUUUAUUUAGCUGUAAUUAUGACCUCCAAAAAAUAACCUAAAUUUUGUGUAAUAUGAUUUUUUUGUACGACAGCAUCUGUUGCACAAAAUUUGGUGCGACGGGAACCUGUCGCACAAAAUUUCAGAUAGUGUAAUCAGAUUUUUUUGUGCGACAGAAAGGCAGUCGCACAAAAUUUGGUGCGACGGGAACCUGUCGCACAAAAUUUCAGAUUCUGUAAACCUGUUGCACAAAAUUUCAGAUUGUGUAAUAAGAUUUUUUGUGCGACAGAAAGGCAGUCGCACAAAAUUUGGUGCGACGGAAACCUGUUGCACAAAAUUUCAGAUUGUGUAAUAAGAUUUUUUGUGCGACAGAAAGGCAGUCGCACAAAAUUUGGUGCGACGGAAACCUGUUGCACAAAAUUUCAGAUUGUGUAAUAAGAUUUUUUGUGCGACAGAAAGGCAGUCGCACAAAAUUUGGUGCGACGGAAACCUGUUGCACAAAAUUUCAGAUUGUGUAAUAAGAUUUUUUGUGCGACAGAAAGGCAGUCGCACAAAAUUUGGUGCGACGGGAACCUGUCGCACAAAACUUUGUGCGACGGGACCCUGUCGCACAAAAAAUUUGAAUUUUCACAAAUUGGUCAACAGCCAUUGCAACGUAUUGCCUCCAACACAGUCCGACAAUAGACCACCAACCACCACAAACAUCAUCACAACAACACACAAUCACAACACAACACAAGAACAAUAUAAAGCAUGUGUUUGAAAUUGCUAACCUAGGGUUUUUGAACUUCAACUGUUAUCUUGUAGAUUUUGAUUGCUAUUAUACGUGAUUUUGGUGGAAUUAGUGUUGCUGAACGGGAUUCCGGUGAGAUUGCUGCCGAUGAUGGUCUCCGAUUUGGCUCUCUAUGGUGCUUCCGUUUGGUGAGAAGUGUAGGUGAGUUCAAGCUUUGGUGAGCUUUGGGUGAGAUUGCAAGGGUAUUAUGGUCCAAAAGUUUGUUGUUUGGCUAAUAUUGAUAGAAAUAAGUUAGUGGGGUUAAAAGUGAAAAAUACAAAAUUUUAAUGGCUAAUUUGUAAAAUUUCCCCCAUUAAAUCUAGAUGAGUAAUUACAUGAAUCAAUUGUGAUUAAUUGCACUUGAGGAGCCAUGAAUUUCAACAAUAGAUGUAAUUUGCGCUGUUAUUUUUCAAUAUCAUAUUAUAAUUUAUUGAUGUUUAUAAUUUAAAAUUAGUUAGAACCUUUACUUACUUAGAUAAUUACUAGCACUUAUAAAUUAAAAUCGAAAUUCAAGAAUUUGUUGGGACUUCCCCUAGUUAGCUCAAAAUGGACCAAACAUGGCUUCUAAAUGAUUGAAUGAAAAUUUUCUCCCUGAAUAUACAAACGGGACUUGAACCUCUUCAUAAAAGGUCUCGUAAUUUAAUCUUAUAUUUAUCUUUUUAUUUUUUUUAAUAUGAUAUAAACUACCAAGUAUAAAGAAAAUAAAGAAAUUAUCAACCAUAUAUCCUUAAAUGACACAAGUAUCAAACGUGCUACAACAUUUUUCGAGUGUAUCACUUGUAUACCCUAAGUUAACAAAACACUUCUGUCGUCCACCGAUCUGUUAACUACCGUUUGCGAGCAUUGACAUCAUAAGGGUAAUUUAGUCUUUUUUUUAAAAACGACAUGUCAUCCCAUUUAUCGGAUAAUUGUUAAUAAUUACUAAAAAAAACUACUUUACAACCGAAUCUACUCCUCCAAAUUUAACCUAAAUUAUUGAAGAUCUACUCCUCCAAGCAUCAUUAUUUUUUUAUGGUAUAAUAUGUAUAAUUAUAAAUAAUAUGUUGUUAAUAAUUUUUUAUGGUAUAAGAUGGAUAUUUUUUAUGGAUAAUUGUUAAUAAUAUAUACCAUUAAUAAUUCAUUUUUAAAAAAUUUAUUGUUAAUAACAAAAUAAAAAAAAAUUAUGUAUUGAAAAUUUACAUUAAUUUUCAAGGCAAAUUUAUUUUUUUACCUCAUUUUGAGUUUAAAGGGUAAAAUAGUUAUUUUGUUCAAAUUCUGUUAAGUUCUUAACAGUAGUAAACGGAAAGGUAGACGAUUAUAGUACAUUUGAUACCGGUGCAAUUAAGGGUAUACCGGUGAUAAUUUCCCAAGAAAAUAAACUUGUGGUAUAUUGACAUAUGAACGACCAUCUCGUCCUUCCAGAUCUAAGAUUCUCCAUUUUUCAGCAAGCAUAGACAUAAAAGGUCAAUUUUUGGUUAGACAAAAAUUGUCAGCAUUUACAGACUUGGGAAAGAAAAGAAGUAGUUCUUUAUAUGAAAAUUUCCAAGUAAAUUAAAUUAUGUUUUUCGAUAACGGUUUUCACAAAUAAAAACAUCUUAUUUUUAUCAGAACGUUAAAAUAAAUAUUGUAUGUCAAACGAAAAUAAUCUAUUAAUCUUCUUACACUAAAUUGUACAAAAAAAUUAUGCUAAUUUUUGUUUUAAAAAAAGAUUUUGCCGAUUAGGUGUAGUCAAAGAGUAGUAAUAUUCGAACAAUUAAAUUUUAUCUGAUUAUCUCCAUUUUUGAAUAAACUUCAUUUAUUCCCAAAAUCACCCUUUAUUGAAAAUUAAAUUUUAAACUUUUUUUUUCUCUCUCCAAGCAUCAUCAUACUUAUCUUCAUGACCUUAAAGCUUUUUUUUUUCCCGCUUUUACAUCGAAAACUAAUAAUCUCAAACAUUUUAAUCAGAAAAUACCCAUUAGAGUGGCUUUAAGAAUGUGAUUGACCUUAAGAAUCUGGCCUAUUGGUUUGUUAAAUCUCGUUUUCUAUAAAAUAAAAAAAAAUUAUUUCCUUUUCGGGUUGUUAAAGUUUGAUUUUUAAGAGUCUUCAUUGAUAAUGUUACACUGAAAUAUACUUUAAUCGGAAUUUAUGAAGUGAGUCCAAUCAAGAAUUUUGAGCACAUCUCUUCCAUCACCGGCCUCAUUUAAUUAAUGAACCAAGACUUUGUUUUGAUGUAAAGUAUACUUUCAAUUCAUAAUUGUCAUCUAAAUACUCUUCGAUUUCUAUAGCAAAAUAAAUUUGCUAGAUCAACAAAGUCAACUACAAGGGCUCAAGUUGCUGCUAAAUUUUAAUUAAAGAGAAAUUUCAAAACCAUUUACAAGGUAAUCGGUUAAAAUUCACAAUUUAGAGAAAAAAAAAAGAUAAAAAAUAAUAUUUUAAUUAUAAUUUUUAUUCUAUAAUAAGGUUAGUUUCAUAAAUGACUAUGAUUAAUUGAGAAAUGAGUGUUGGUAAGAUAAAUUAAGGCGAUCAAGUAUCAUUAUUCUUAGUCAAAUCCAAUAACAAGCUCACUAAAGUUUCAUUGGCCCACCUCAAAUGCUUUUAACACCGGUCAAGUGACUUUUAUCACGUUCACAUUCUGUGACAAAAAUAUCAAAAAUAUGGAAAGGACUAUCAAAUCCCACAUACAUUCAAUCCAUUCUUCUUCUUUUUUUUUUUUCUUUCAAAAUGCUUGUUAGCAACUAUUGUUUGUGCCAUGAGUGGUGAUCUUAAUAUGAAUAUGCAUAUGAUAAAACUUUCUAAUUUAAAGCUCUCUCGUGGUGUGAUAUACUUUUUACUCCUAAUACUCGACACAAGUGAAAUGUGAUGCGAGUCGUGAGAGGUAUGUUUGACUUGCAUUUAAUCUAAUUAUAGCACAAUUAGGGUAUGGUUUAAGUAUACUCUCACAAAUGUCGUAAGGAGAUUUUAACCUUUAGGUGAGAACCACCCCUUCAAAGAAUAAUUUUGAAACUUGCUAAUUUUAAUUGAACCGAAUUUUCUUUGGAAUUAGUAAGUACACUGAAAUUUACCACACAUUGAUUAUGAAACUAUGUAUAGAAACAUUUUCAAAAACUUCUUACGAACAUUUCACAUGCAGGGCUCUAAGCUUCACAUCUAAAUGGGUACAUUUUCCCAUGACAAUGCCAUAUGAAUUUUUUUUUUAAUACUGUUAUACAGGACUGUAUGUAUUACAAUUAAUAUUUACAAACAGAUUCUACAAUUGGGACCUUUUUCGUGGCAUGUACUCCUCUAAAGCGCUGUCUAAAUUCUUUAAACACUCUCAAAUAUUCGAGAGUUGUCCACUCUACUCACGAAAUCCUCUAAAGCGUUGUCUAAAUUCUUUAAACCCUCUCAAAUAUUUGAGGGUUGUCCACUUACUCACAUUUCAUGAGGAAUAGACUGGCUCCACUCAAUUAUUUGAUAAUUGAAGAAAGAUUGUAAAUAAGCCUCAUAAAUAUUUUUAUGGAGGCUCGAACCCUUACACUCAUUAUUCUAAGUGUAAGAAUUCUCCAACUGAACCAAAGGCUCAUUGGUCAAUGCCAUAUGAAGUUGAAUAACUUAGGAUGGUCCCGAAAGCAACCCCAUUUAAAAGGAAAGGAACAGAAACAUAGUCUAAUCUAAUGUCAAAGUUUAAUAAAAUGGACCCAUACCGAAGCCCAUAAAAACUGACCAAAAGAGUGUCAACAUUCCUGUGCUCAGAAUAAGCUUUCUCUUUCUCUUGUGCAUGCGUCGCGUUCUAUUUUCCUUUAAAACACAUUGAAUCUUUUGUGGGAAUGCACAUGCAAGCAAAUCACAUUUUUGUUUAAUAGGGAGAGGCUUGUAAUGUAAUGGACCACUUCAAUCCCAGGUCCAAAUUGCGAUAGCCCAGCAACAUUUACACCCAAGGCCACAAUUGUCGAGUGGCAUCAAGAAACAUUUUCAAUAAAGAUGUGGUUUCUGUUUCUUUCAUAUAACAUGAAAUUCUCGAAUGUUAUUUCUUAUUAUACAUCCGUGUCGUACUCAAACAUUAAAAAAAAAAUGAUUAUAAAUAUUCAUGUGGCUCUAUACCUUUACCAAUGCUGUUUGGCCUUAUUGCAUGAAUCUCGACCCCCACUAAAUUUCUUUUUAUCUUUUUCUUUAUGUCACGAUGUGAUCCACCUCGCACGGUCACACUACACGUACGCAAUCUUAUCCUCAUCCCAUGGAGAAAAAAAGAAAAAGAAAAAAAAAAACAAUCAUUCACUCAACCUGUCUAUUUAUUUCUCGUCAUUGAUUGAAUUUGAUUGGUUAGUAGUAAUAUUAUAUUAUAUUAUAUAAAACCAAAUGAUGCUAUGUCAGUGUCACGCAUAUAUUAUUAAUUCUUAGUAGUAAUCUUUGUUGUUUUCCACGGUGACUAGCUCAGUAUGAGUCGUCGUUUCUUGUACACUUUGUCAUGAUUGAAAUUUACAACAUUUGAUAAACCCAAACGGAAAAAAAGAAAAAGAUUUCUAGAAGAAAAUACAAACUUCAUUCACAUCCCACAAAAUACAAAAUUAAUAUAUAACCCCACAUUUAAUAUUUAUUUUUUUUUGAAAAAUAUAUGAUGGUUUAGAAAUGUAUUGAAGUCACUGUUUUUUCUACUAGCAAUAUCUGUGUUUUUAAAUUUUGAGAACAGUCGCGUACGACUUUGACUACGUUACUAUGUAACCAAAAUAAAUCCAACCUCCUGAUUAUAUAGUUAGAUAAGUAUGGACAUCUCGUUCAUAAAUCUAGCUGUGAAUAAUUAGAGGUGACAAAAUGAGUUAUGAUGCGAAUACACGAUAAGGAUACAACACGAAUUUUUGUUUUAUAUUAACAAAUAUUAACAUGAUUAAUAAAUAGAUUGACAUAAAUAACCAUGUCAUUUUUGUAUUGGAUCAUUUCAAUAUACUUACGUGUUUAGAACACAAAUAUUAAUUAAUAUGUGGUAAUAUUAUCGAAAGAUAUUAUUUGUAACAUAUUAUAAAUAUAUUCGUAUCAUAAACUUAUUUAUUGUCUAUUUUUGAGAAUCUGUCGAUAUAUUUAUUAUUAUUUAAUUUAAUUUAUAUUAAAUAUGUUAAACAAGUCGUUGACACCGACACCACUAAUAAACAUGAAGUCUCUAUAUUUUAAUAAUUAACACAAUUAAUAUAUGAAUUAAUGGAUAAGGCAUUGUACAAAUUGACGCCCCCCCUAUGGUGCAUAGCAUAUUGACUCGCCUUUUUUUAACAUUGUGUUGUUUGCGAUAUUUUGGUGCAAAAUUUUCCAAUUGGUGUUCACUUCGGAACCCAACUUGUCUACAACUGGAUAUAUAUUAACAUAUGCAAUGCAAGUGUAGCCAACGGUAAACAGGUAAACUGAGACCCCACGUGACGAAAGCAUCGACUUCAAUGAAUGGAUCAAUGAAGUAUGAACCUCUCACUUUCGAGCUUCCUGUCCGCCUCUUACAUUAUUUUCAUGCAAUUUGCACAUCAAUUAUCAUCAGUCAUAUCAGUCUCUUGAUUACCUCAGAAUAAUCAGCUUUCAGUCUGGAGAUAGACAUAAGCCGAUAGCGCUCCAAAAGUGCAAAGUCAAUGACGCUUUUGUGGCCCCAACUUGGCGCUCGUUAUUUGGCUUUUGUAUAAAUGAAUGGAUAAACAGCAGCCCAAAACACAAUUCGCUUCAAACACUGAUCAAAGCAGUACAAUGGCUGAGUUUGGAGAGUUGGUUCCCGGCUUGCCUGAAGAAAUUUCACUCGAGUGCUUGACUCGGUUGCACUACUCGACCCAUCGAGUUGCCACUCGAGUUUCUCGGCGCUGGCGACAGCUUAUUCAAAGCAGAGAUUUUUAUUAUCAGAGAAAGCAAUCGGGGAAGACCCACAAGGUCGCUUGCUUAGUUCAAUCGUUUCCCGUUCAUUCGGGAUCCGGCGAGCUGAAGCCGAUGGGUCUAAGCUACGGGGUAACGGUUUUUGACCCCGUGAGUCUAACCUGGGACCGACUCGGCCCGGUUCCCGAGUACCCAGCUGGGCUUCCUUUGUUUUGUCAAGUGGCGAGCUCGCAAGGGAAGCUUGUGGUGAUGGGUGGGUGGGACCCGGCGAGUUACAGCCCGGUGAGUCACGUGUUCGUUUACGAUUUCACGACUCGGAGGUGGACUCGGGGGAAGAACAUGCCUGAUAAUAGGUCCUUUUUUGCAGCUGGUGAAUUGAAUGGCCGAGUUAUUAUUGCUGGCGGCCAUGAUGAGAACAAAACCGCUUUGAGCUCGGCUUGGGCUUAUGAUUUAAUCAACGACGAGUGGACUGAGUUGGCCCGGAUGACGCAGGAGCGAGACGAGUGUGAGGCCGUCGUUAUUGGGUCCGAGUUUUGGGUGGUGAGUGGGUACAAAACGGAGAGGCAGGGGAUAUUUGAUGAAAGUGCUGAGUCGUAUCAUCUCGGGACGGGUGAGUGGACGCGAGCUGAGAACGCCUGGAAGCUGAGUCAGUGUCCGAGAUCGAAUGUUGGAGUGGGAAGAGAAGGGAAGUUGUUUUGUUGGGCCGAGACGGAGGCGGCGGUCCAGUUUGGGACUUGUAGGGUUGAGUUGGGUGGGUGCACUUUGGUUACUGGAUCGGGUUACCAAGGUGGGCCGCAGGAAUUUUAUGCGGUGGAAGGGCGAAAUGGUAAAUUCAGGAAGUUUGAUGUUCCUGCCGAGUACAAGGGUUUAGUUCAAUCUGGUUGCUGCGUGGAGAUAUAAUCUAGCAUUGAGUUUGAGUGCUUGAUUUUGUGUAAAAUACACUUUUUAAAGUUCUUAGGAUAAAGAGACUUGCUGAUUUUGUAAUUCGAAACAGUAUAUAUAUUCAAAUAUAGUUUUGAGUAUCGGCUCAAUACAGACUAAUACUCCCAUGCACUCAUUAACUAGUAACCUAGAGAUGGUAAUGGAGAGGUAAAAGGAGGGAUUUACAUUCCCGUACUCAUCUACCUAAAUAUUUUCUUAUUCCUAAAUAUUUUCCGAUUCCAAUUAGAAUUGUUGAGAGAAAGAAAUGAAGAUUUCUGAAUAACUGACAUGUUUUUUUUUUUUUAAAUUUAAUAAAAUUAAAUUAAUCUAAAAAAUAUAUAAAAUAAAAUAAAAAUGAUCAUGAAUAGAUCUUAUUUAAUUCUACUCCAUCAAAUUUUUAGAAUGUAUAAUAUUCAAAUAAUAUUUUUCAAACCAAAAUUUAAAUAAUGUAAUUUUUUUUAUACAACAUUAAAUGAGCGAUGCCCAUGCUUUUUGGGCACUAACUAAUUAACUAUGGCUUGACGAAUGCCCCGAGCCGAGUUUUAAUAGCCAACAAAGCAACUUGGCAAGUAUUUUGAAAAAAUAAGUGAAAACUGUAAAAAAAUAAACUUUAGAUUGUACUAUAUUAUGUUAAGGUCUUUAUAUUAACUAGUAUUUAUAUAAUUUGUAUAACUGUUGUACUGUUUGUUAUUUGCAGCACUAUUUAAAUUUUAUUUUUCAUUAGUAAUUUUUUAAAAAUAAAAAUAAUUUUUUUAUAAGAAAUAAAAUUAAAAUCAGAGAAAUAGAGAGAAAAUGAGAACUAUACCUCAUCCCUAUCACCGAAUAAAAAUUUAAGUAAAAAAACAUCUCUACCUCUUUCCCAAAUAAAAAAUCAGACAUAAAGUAAUCCUCAUACUCUCUCCGACUGGAAAAAUCCCCCAAAGGCUCCUCUCUUUGUAAGGAAUUAUGCCAUCCCUAAUAGCAACAUUCUGUCAUAUUUAAUUCAUAAUUAUUGGGUAGAGAAGCAUUUACUAUAUCUUAACACAUUUAAGUAUGUACCAUGUCCAACAUUAUGCAGAAGCACGAACUAUAAACGAACCCUAGAUCAAAUACUUUCAAAAUCUUGGCUACAAUUGAUAUGUCCUGCAAAUAAAUUUUGCAAUAAUGCUCAUGUAAAAUAUAGUACUUGACUGGCUAAAAUCCCGAAUGGGCCAUUUAUAAGCCAGAGAAACUUUCAUGUAGCAGUCAUUUAAAACUCCGCCAACACUUAUAAGGAUUUCCAGGAUCAAACAGUAAUUCCAUAACAAAGUCAUAAACAGGAAAAGGUCUUAGUUUAUUAUCAUCACUAAAGCAACAUAAACUAAUCAUAUCCCAACCCUCAAGCAUAGAGAUGUCAUAUCAGCUCAUCUUGAGUAGUCCAGGCUACGACUCCUGCUUCUGCUCGGACUAUAGCUCCUAGACCCAUAAGGAGACCUUGAGUAAGAUCGCUCUCUGUACCUUCUGUAUCUAGGUGAAAUUGACCUGCAUUACCACAAGACAUCAUAAACAUUAACAGGUUCUUUCCAUCGCUUUAAUCCUACAUAACAGCUGAUAUGAAUUAGAAAUGCUACAUUAAAACAAUAUCAUAGGGGGACACGAAGUAACAACCUUGAGUCUCGCCCUCGCCUGGGAGGAGGAGAAUAAUAAUCUGGACUACGAGAAUAACCACGUGCAUAGUGUGGUGAUCGAGAAUAACGAGGUGGAGAUUGCCUCCGAUCGUAUGAUCGACUCCUAAGAGCAAUAAAUUCAAACAAUGCAUCUCAGCAAUUAAAAAAAAAAAAAAAAACACUGAUGUAUUCUGAGUUCUUGGCCUAGAAGUAACAACAUUCACAAAAAUAGUUCACAACUAAAAAUGAAGCAUUCACCUCUUGAACAAAAAAAAUAUAUAAGCAAGAAUUGCAGCUAAUCCAGCCAAAAACCACACUUACCUAAAACGUUCUCUUGCCCUCAUUUCUGAAGGUUUCUUCCUGUUUUCCUCGGCAAAUACAACAGUCAGUUCUCGGCCUAAAAGUAAAUAACCAUCCAUGUGGUAUUUGGCAUCUGCAGCAUCAGCUGGGUCUAUAUACUGGACAAACCCAAAACCACGUGGCUCCCUGAAGCAUUAAUAUUUAAGUUUCACAAAAAUGACAUGAAAUGCAUAAACAUCCUGUAAAGAAUGUAUUACUGAGUGCAACAAAUCAUUACAAGAUCCUUACUCCUAUUUCACAAUGGAAGUUUAGGAGAAUCACAAACCCAUACUUCAUAUAAUUCAAGUGAAAACAUAUGCGGCCGCUAACCUUGUGGGAGCCAAAAUUUUAACUGUUGAUAUUCUUCAAGACUUGAACUUCUUCACAAUGUAUUCAAACCCAACUCCCUUCUCAUCUUGAUGUACACUAAACCCAUCUUGAACAGUACUCUUAUUACUUGAAGGUGUCUUCAAAAGAGUACUCUUACUACUUCAUUGUUCUCUUCAACACAGUUCUCUAAUUACUUCAUUGGUGUCUUCAAAACUUUCAAUAAAAACAACCAAAUUCCCACAAACCAAUUAUAGUUCGUAAAGAAAAAACCCCACACAAAACACUCAGACUGGAUGUAGAAAGACAAGUCUGCAUUUCUAUUCAAUUGACUCAGUUAUAGGCAGAAAACUAGCACAUGCAUGAAAGCAGAGAUAAUUACCCAGUAUAAUAGUCUCGAGGCAAGUAGAUGUCCUUUAAACGACCAAAUUGCCCAAAGGGUCCACGAAGAUCUUCUGGUCUGCAAAUACUCUUAUAAGUUUUGGUGGAAAAAGCUAUACCAAAAAGAAGUAACAGGUAGAACAUCAAUUUCUAAAGAGUUUAAAUGAUUAAUAGUGAAAAGUUAAGCAAUAAUCUGGCCUUAUGUGCAAAGACACAUACAAACAUGUUAAGAAAAUAAAAAUUUAAAGAAAAAAAACCUCAACAACCUGCACAAUAAACUCAGCAAAUAGCACAUUACAAGCCCAACUACCAAUAUCAUCAGCUAGUUUUUGGUUUUGAAAGCACCAAAGUGACCCAAAAAAAAAAUUGUAUACAAAACAUAACAAAAAUGCCACGCCCAUCCCUGAAAAGCACACCAAUACUAGAAGCAUCUAAUGUUACUUAUGCUGCUGAAAAAUUUACAUUUCAGAAAAGCAACCAAGCACUAACCAUAUUAGAUAAUUAACUGAAUCAAUAAGGACAUACAGACCUACAAUCAUGGCGAAGGUUGCGAACCAGAAGACUAGUCGGGAGAUCUCUUCCACGACCGCCAUAGUGACCUCGAGGGCUGGGGCUGCGAUAUCGCCGGCCAUAGUCUCUUGGCGGCGAGGGACUGUAACUGUAGCUUCGACCCCUCAUUGGCACUCUAUGUCACAACCUACAAUCAGCCCAACAAAUUAACAUAACAAAUUCCUAAUUGCAGCAACCUCUGUGCUGGUGCAAGUAAGGCAACACCCACAAUUCAGAUGACAAGCAAUUAGAAUAAUUCCUUCACUCACAUCGACCAAAUGAUCCCACAAAUUAUUCAGUAAAAGUAAUUUCACAUACAACACACACACACACAUAUAUAUAUGUAUAUGUAUACAUAUAUAUGUGUGCGUGUGUUAUCAAGUUCACAAGCAAUAACAAUCACAUCAUAUAUAUAUGUAUAUGUAUACAUAUAUAAUGAUCCCACAAAUUAUUCAGUAAAAGUAAUUUCACAUACAACACACACACACACAUAUAUAUAUGUAUAUGUAUACAUAUAUAUGUGUGCGUGUGUUAUCAAGUUCACAAGCAAUAACAAUCACAUGGCACCACCAAAGGUAAAUGUAUAUAUUUCUUAUCUUCUUUCUUCCUUCCAAGGUCAUUAUAACUCCACAUUAAAGUUGAAACCCAAUGUUAUAACUUCUAGCAAAAAACCCAAAACUUUCACAAUCUCUACUAAAUAGCCCUAUUAUGCAAAUAUUAUUUCUAAUUUAUAUCACAAACUUAUCCUUAGGCUUUGGAUGAUCCCCAAUGCAUAAUCACAAGGAACUCCUAGAAAACUUCAUACUAUGCUGGAAAAUUAACCAUUAGGUGCAAAAGCAAUAAUCUACAAUCUAUAUUAUAAAGGGGAGAAAAAAAGGGCAUAAUGAUCAUCAAAACUUCCCAUUGCAUAAAAAUUAAAAAAAAAAAAUCAAAGCCCGUUAGUAUAAGUAUAUUACUGCAAAUCCAGAGAAAAAAGCAUCAAACUAAACCAAAUAAUAUGUAAUAAAUGAAAACAAAAUAUAGUAUCAGAUAUAAGUUUUCAAUUAAAAUUAACGAGUGUACAAAAUUUUAAUAAGUACAAAUAAAUCACAGAAUCGUCCAAACAGAUCGUCUUAUAGACAAGCAUAUAAAUUAAUCUCUAAAAAUUUUGAAUUUUCCACCGAUAAGAUCUCAAAACUAAAUAAUCAACGAAAUAUUAAAAUUAAGCAUUAAAAAAAACAAAAACAGAAAAGGCGAUAGAUAGCAAACCUCGGAAGGACGAAUCAGCGAAUCUGCUCCGAAAAUUUUUUGUGCUUCGCUUUUCUAAUUUCCUCGGUUAUUUAUUCGUCUCUCGAGCCUUCUAUACCUUCCAAUAUUCGAGAAGCUUCACUCCUUACACGCUUUUUCAAAAGAGUUCUUUUAUUUCACCGUGGAUGUGAAGUUUCGGAACUGAACUAACGGUCACGAUUUGCUUUUAUGGGCCCACGAACUUUAGUUUUUGACAAGGAAAGACUAUCGAAUUACCAACCCACUCCUCUUAUUCUAUGAGGCCCAUCAUCCAAGCCUGCAAUAUACAUUGGCCCACCAAUUUUAGUUGCUGAUGAGGAAAGACCAUAGAAUUACUGGCCCACUUCCUUUAUUCCAUGGAGGCCCAUCAUCCAAGCCUGCAAUAUACAUCGGGAUUUUAUCAUAGAGUUCCCUGAAAAUUUAUGUUUUAUUAAAAUAAAUGCAUAAGUUAAACAAAGUUUAAAACAAGUACAUUUGGCUCCCUUAAUUUAUACUAUUUUACGGGUCCUUGCUAAAAAAUUUAUGUCAAUGGAUACUAAUAAGAUCGUCUAAAUAUAUUUACGGAGAACUCUUAUAGUGAUUGCUUAAAAAAAACUAUAAAACUAAUAAAGAAAAAGCAAGGGAUCCAUACCCCCCCCUCCCAAAAAAAAAAGGUCAACAUUAAGGAUUGAUGUGGAAGAAAAAAAAAAAAGAACAUAAAGAAUAUCAUAAAAGUUAUGUCAACGGAUGGUAAUAAGAUUGUCUGCAUAUUUUUACAAAAAAACUUUUUCAGUGGUUCCUUAAAAGAUAAUUAACAAAGAAAAAGGGACCCACACGAAAAAACCAAAAUCAAGGAUCCAAAAAAAAGAGAGAGAGAUAAAUAAUAAUAUCAUAAAAAUGAUGUCCACACAAACUUUUUGAACAAAUUGACUAUCAUUUGAGUUUAUAUUAAUUGAGUGUAACAUACAGACUUCAACGUAAUUAAUGAAAAAUAAAUCACCAACUAAGGCUUGAAUUUCACAUCAACUAGUAUAAAUGGAAUAGUGUAUUCCUACGAGUCUUACUUACUAGGUCAAUUUUAAUUCUUUUUCCAGAUAGGUGAAAUUGAUGGAGCAUUCCUAAAAUAUAAAGUGAGGAGAUGCUUAUUAUUUACCACUCAACCAAUGGGUAGGGUUGGUAAUUUCGCCUUUUAUGUAUGACGUGUCGUAUAUUAUUUCAUCACAUUGUUGACACGUUGUCAAAGUCUAUAGAAUGUGAAUGACAAGCCGUUUAAAUAUUCAAAACAAAGAUGACAUGGCAUAAUAGUUUUCUUUCGGAAUAAAAAUUGUAUGAAAUGCGGUUAAAAAUUUAUAAUAUAGCUAAAUUCUUGUACGAGUAACAAUAUAGUUACAAACUCUUAUACAAUUUUUUUUUUCAAACUGAUGUUGAGUGAUUUAAUUGGUUGGAUUAUAUAUCUUUUGAUCCACAUGAUUUGUUUUUAUUAUUUUGUAUUUUUAUUCAACCAAUGAGUUAAUGCCAAAUCAAUUUGUACAAAAUAAGUUUAUUUAAGAGUUUGUAACUGUAUCAUCACUAUUCUUGUACAAACGACAUGAUUUGUUUAACACGUUGUUUAUAUUUCCAAAACAUAGGUGACAUGUUACAAAGUUUUUAUUCCAAAUAAAAUUUAUAUGACAUAAGUAUACCUUUGUCAUAAAGAUGACAUAUGUGUAACUUUUUCUUGAUGAUAUGUAGUAUGUUAAUUGAUUGAAUUAUUGAAAUAAAAUUAGUUUAAGUUUGACUAUUAUAAGUAUUAAUAAAUAACUAGCAUAUAAUAUUAAAUUAAUUAUAUAAAUAUUUUAAGGUAUUAUAUGUAUAAUAUUAUUUAAUUACAAGCAGUUAUACGAAUACUGUUGGUAGUUUAUAUGACAUUAAUAGAUUGGUUAAAAAGUGAAAGUUUCUAUUAAAAUAAUUAUGGGAACCUAUAAUACUUUUAUGUAAUCGAUCAAUUUACAUAAAAAGCUUGGUAAAUUAAUAGCAUUAAGGCCAUGAAAGUCUAUUAAUCUAUAUAUAUGCAUGUGUGAGUAUAUGUAUUAUGUUGUCUUACAUUAGUACUAAUUAGAGAUUUAUUUUUCUAUGUCAAAGAUUUUAAGAAGCAGCAAGCAACACUGAUAACAUAUUAUAUAAAAGCCACAUAAUAUAUGUGAAUUUAGUUUCAAUUUAGAUAAUUGUUAAAUUAUAUAGUUGGUGGGUCUUGUAGAAAAAUGAGGUUUUUUUUUUAAAAUACAUUAUCUUAUAAAUUUAUCAAAUUAAUAGAUUACAUUGGCCAAAGUUGGGCUUAUAAAAAAAUUAUCAAUUUAUCAAAAAUUCUACAAUACGUGGUCCAACUAAGUUUGGACAAAAGUGUUUGAUCAACCCAUAUUAAAAAAACUUACUAACAACCCGAUAUUGGAUCCAGCGACCUGUAUUACAACGGAAACAAGUUAGACCGAAAGCCCUAGCACUGCAAGGUACCCUCCGCUUUUUUCUUCUUAAACCUCUUAAACCCUUUUGCUUCUUCAUCUCACUAACUACGAAGUACGCUGCGAUCAAUCUGGAGACAAACAGAAACUAUUUAACUAGGGAUUCUCGGCUUCGUCAGUGAGUUAUUCUGGAAAAAUAUCAACAAAAUGGCAGCUUCUUCUAGGAAAUCACAGAAGAAAAGCUCCAAAGACGGUCCGAAAUUUAACAAAGCAUCAAAGAAUCAGUUUAAAAACUCAAAGAAGCAGAUAAACGACGCCGUCGAGGCUCAAGACCUCGCUUUGCCGCCUGACGACGAUGUCCCUGUCUUUCCCCGAGGUUCAAAUAUUUAAUCAAUUAAUUUUUUUUGGAAUUUAACUGCUGUUAUGGUUCAUAGGCAUAUCUUUUGGGGAAAAAAUGUGAACUUUUAUUUUAUUUCUUUAAUCAGAAUGAGCUAAUUGAGCAACUCUGUUGAAGUAAAGGGCAUUUCGGGUGCUAUUGUAGAGAGUACUUUCUAGAGAAGCACCUAUCUAAAAAUGCGUAUCCAGGAAGCUCUUUUAAGUGCUUAUGGGUAUAAAGCCCUCCUAUAAAAGCUCCUAUGAGUUUUGUAUUUUCGGAAGGCGACUCUACGUGCUUUUUUGAUACUAAGAAGCUCUUCUGUAUAGUAAAAAACUACAAAAGAUGCACCAUUACUAGUAUUGGAUGAACUUCAGUUUAAUCUGUUUGUGAUAAUAAUAAAUAUGUGUAUUUGCAGGCGGGGGACAUUCUUUGACUCAGAGAGAGCGGGAUGAAAUCCAUGCAGAAGUUGACGCCGAAUUUGAGGCAGCGGAGAGAGGCUUACAUAAGAAGAAUAAGAAGAAGAAGAAGACGGAGAGAAAGGCCAAUGAAACCGUUGAUGAUUUGGGUUCACUUUUUGGCGAUGGUAUUUCUGGAAAACUUCCUAGAUAUGCUAAUAAGAUUACUUUGAAGGUACGGAGCUGAAAACUAAGUUGUUUUUCAGACAAAAUCUAUUUGCCUUUUUUAUGAUUUUAUGAUAUGAUUUGCUUUAGUGGUAUUAAAAUUUCAUUUAGUGGAGAGACCUUUUUUUUUUUAAUGUAAAGUUACAGAUGAUUCCUAAUCUCUUAGUUUAUUGAUUAUUUAUGUAUCGAAAGGUGGUUGAAACAUUUUUUAUAUAAAGGGAAAGAGUAGAGUGACUUGUGUACUUAUUUGAAUGACUGUAUUAAAUAGGUUUGAGUUUCAGUGACAUCUUUGGAGUCCUUCCUGCAGUUACACUUUAAAAUGUUUUCCCCCACUUUUGAAAUUGUUAGAUAUGAGAGGUUAAAAUUUCCCCCCCUUGCUUAUGUUCAGUCUUAUAUUCAUCCUGUUUGUCAAGGGUAUGACCCUUUCCUAUAGUUCCUUCUGCAAUAAAUUUAUAGUUUGUUGAAAUUAAAGUUCCUUAACUGAAUAUGCUAACUAGUACACUUAAUAUUCUGAAACAAGCUUUUAAGAAAUGGAUGUGCAAAUUGUACUGUUAGGGUUGAGGCCAGCGCCUUUGUAUUCUUGCAAUGCCAACUGGAGUGGAAGUACUAAUUGGGGCCUCUAAAGAAAAGAAAUCAUUUUCUCUUCUUGCUUCAUUGUUCAAAGCUAUUUUAUGACAAAUUUAGUGCUGAUUGUUUUAUGAUGUCUUGGAACUGAAAUGCUUCCUAUUGUUUUGCUGAGUGCACACAGUUCUGGUCCUCGUCCGUGCAUUGCUUAUAUAUUUAUGGACUUGGAUGACUAUCUCUUAUGAUACGAAGGGCAUGCCUUAUUUCUAUCUGUGAAUCAUAAUCAUUUUGGAAUGAAUCUGGAGUUGAAUUUCUUAUGCUUUUUUCUUCUGGUGCUGUCAAACUUUCAGCCUUGCUCUGAGUAUUCUGUUAAUUUUCGUUAAGAAAGAAUUGAUAUACAAUAAUGUUAAUAUGUGGAUGAUCUUUUUUGUCCUUUGAGUCUUCACGUGUAGAUUGUGUUUUUAUUUAUUCUCCCACCUGAUUGAUCUUGUUUAAUUACAUUAGCAGAUAUCUUCAUUUUCAUACAUUUGAUGAUGUAUCUAAACUUCUAUUGCUUCUAUGUAUCCCCAGAAUAUUUCUGCGGGAAUGAAGCUUUGGGGAGUUGUUGCUGAAGUGAAUGAGAAAGACCUUGUAAUUUGUCUUCCAGGGGGCCUACGAGGAUUAGCUCGUGCCGCUGAUGCGCUUGAUCCUAUUUUAGAUAAUGAAAUUGAGGUAAUGUUUUAUUAUUAUUUUCAUUUUUUUAAAAAGUGUUCCCAAUGUUCUAUUUUCAUUAUAUUUUAUGUGAUUUACAGUUUAACAUUUUUGUUUCUUUACCAGGCCAAUGAAGACAAUCUCCUUCCGACGAUAUUCCACGUUGGACAGCUGGUAUCUUGCAUAGUUUUGCAGUUGGAUGAUGACAAGAAAGAGAUUGGGAAACGAAAAAUCUGGCUUUCUUUGCGUCUUUCUUUGUUGUACAAAGGUCUUAGCUUGGAAACUGUUCAGGAGGGGAUGGUAUGUCAGCUUGACCAUGAAAAAACUAUAUUUCCUAACAGUUUUAAAUGUUUAUUCUGAUGUUUGUAUUAUUAUUUAUCAUUGAAUUUUUUGAGAUUUUCACUUAAUAUGUGAUUGGAGGAGAACAACUAGAAUAAAACCUGAUUAUCUACUUGUAAUUUAGAAGAUAUUUUUUAUUGUUUGAUUUUGUGAUGGAUCAUUUUCCUCUAGACUGCAUCACUGGAAAAAACCCAAUAAGAGACACUGAGUGCUUGUCUGGUCCAUUUCAGGAUAUUCAUUAUUGAACAUUGUUUUCAAGUUUGUAUAUUGGCUUUUCAGUAGAUGCCAAAAGGCUGGUGUGGGUUCAUCCCUGAACCAGUUGAGAUUAACUCCUAAAUUAUCUUCCACUAGAGACUAGACAAGUUCUCUAACCUUCUUGACUCAGGUAGUUUUCAGUCAGUAGUGCAGCUUGCUUUGCUUCUUUAAAAGAUCUUUUGAAUAUGCACUACUGAAUUGGACCCUGGACAACAUAGAUGUCUUUUUAUGUGAUUUAUUAAAUUUCUGCUACAUAUUUCAGUCCAUGACUAAUGUGUAUGAUAUCAAUUACAAAUCUAAAACUGUCUUGAUACUUGUGCUGAUGUAAGUAUACAGUGGUUUUAUCGAGGAGAUAGAGUAAUCAAGCGUGCUGGUGCAAAUAUCAAUCACAUUGGAAAUUCAUUGUAGAUUUGAAUACCUUGAAAUUUUAUCUUACUGUGUCUGUUUACAGGUCCUCACUGCAUAUGUCAAGAGCAUUGAAGAUCAUGGCUACAUUCUUCAUUUUGGAUUGCCUUCUUUUACAGGGUUUUUGCCAAGAAACAACUUAGCUGGUAUGAUGACCAACUUGUGCCCUAUUUAGAUGGUUCAAAGGCUUUCAUAUUUUUAUAUACUCCCUUGUAAUUAAGAAACAAACUGAUGGUUAAAAGUCCCUGUUAGAAAAUUUAAUUGUAGCUUGCAAGUUUGUAUAAUGACUUUGUAUUCUUGUAAGUUAUCAAUUACACCAUUCUGCAGUUUGCCAUGUCCAGAAAGUAUUUUAGUUCUUUUUCAUGAUUGGAACUUCACCUUUAGAUAUUCUUAUUUGGUAUAUUUAACAGUUUUAAAAAAGAAAAGGCAAAACAAGAAGUAAAAGUCUCAUUUAGGUUCAGUCAUCUGGUUGUACAAUUGUGUUCAUUGAAAGAAGAAUUUAGAUCAUUCUAUGGUUUGCCUGAUCAGAUAGUAUUUACUUUUUCUUUUUCUUUCUUAUGUGAAUCUUGAACUUCAUUCUGAGUAAGUCUCAUUUAGGUUGGUCAUCUGCCAUAUGUUAUGUGUGUCUCUGCUGUUGUCAUGUGCCUGUAUGUCAUAUUCUUGGUUUACUAGUCACUUUUGCAAAUUCCUUGUUCAUUUGUUUCGUUACAUUUGGUUGUCUUUACAGAAAACAGUGGGAUUGAUGUGAAGCCAGGGCUACUUUUACAAGGGGUGGUUAGAAGCAUUGAUAGAACUCGUAAAGUGGUUUACCUGAGUUCUGAUCCAGAUACAGUGUCGAAAUGUGUUGUAUGUUUCUUCUUAUUUUAUUGGUUUUAUUAUCUCAUUGCCUUAAUUGUCUCCCACCGUUUUCCUCGAUUAUUAACAUUUUUUUUUUGGUUUUGCUCUUAUACAGACAAAGGAUCUUAAAGGUAUUUCAAUUGAUCUUCUAGUUCCAGGCAUGAUGGUCACUGCUCGCGUACAGUCAAUACUUGAAAAUGGAGUUAUGCUAUCGUUUCUUACAUACUUCACUGGAACUGUAAGUAUUUUCUGUGUUCUAAUCAUAUGACUUUGCCAUGUGUGUGAUUCCCUUUUUUUUUUUAAUCUUUUUCCUUUCUGCUUAUGCUUUCCUUAUUACUCCUUGCAGGUUGAUAUAUUUCAUUUACAAAAUACAUUCCCAACAACAAAUUGGAAGAAUGACUACAAUCAACAUAAGAAGGUCUUUGUUUGAGCUUGCAUCUUAAUUGAAAUUGAAAAUUUUCUGUUUUGCUGUUUCGAUUUUUAUGUUAAAAGUUUAUUUAUUUAUUUAUUUUUUAUUUGUCCUUUCUAGCUGUUGUUAAGCGGAUAAUUGCUCUACCAAACCUAAAUAUGCAUAUUUGGAAAUCUAUGGAACCAUAUAUGCAAAUUCUAAUGCAACAUAACAUGGUUUGACUUUGAUGAAGGAUACUGAAAUCUGUAAAAGCUUCUGUUUAGAAGCUAUGCUUUGGUGUUUUAUUGUAGAUCCAAGAUGGACAUUGCAAUCAAAAGGAUGCCUAGAAUUUAACUGGCAUUAUACGCUUGAAUUUGGCUUAUGAAAUAUUUCAAUUAUUUUUGCAAAAGUUUUAAUUCAAAGACAUAGGAUAUGAACAAUUAAAAUAUAUUUGGAUCGUUUUGCGGUGAGGUGCUGUUAUAUACUAAGGGCAUCACUGUAUUUUUCUUUAUUCAUGUGUACCUUCAGGUCUGGCAAAUUUUCAUAGAGCACAUUCUGAAAAAGUAAUUUAUGAGGGUCUUACUUGUGAUUUAGGUGUUGUACUCGUGUUUUCUUUAUGAUUAUACUGUGCAAUUGCAGAGGAUGAUAGGUUCUUUGCAGCAUUACCCUCUAGGUUGUGGUGAUUGUAGAUCUUUAUCUGCUCUCUAUUUAGUUUGUGCUGGAUAUGUUUCAAAAAACGUAAUUCGUGGCCAAUGUUCCGUGAGCUGCAUUUUUCUCCAAUUUUUGAUUUUUUUAAGACCUCAUUUCUUUUAUGUGUGUACCUCUUAUUUUGGUUCAGGUCAACGCUCGUAUAUUGUUCGUUGAUCCCACAAGCAGAGCAGUUGGUUUGACCUUGAAUCCUUAUCUUCUUCACAACAGAGCUCCUCCUUCUGUAAGUUGAUGCAUUAUUAUACAUAUUAUGCUUACAUUUUGGAUACUCAAGUCUCUGACUUGGAAUUAAUGCAGUGUAGCUUAGGUUUUGCUUUUCAGUAUCCUGUCUUAAUGGGCAGUUUCAACCCAUACUGGUGAUAUUGUCCUGUGCUAAAUUUCUUUUUUUACUUCAAAAUUGGGUUAUAGGAGCCAAUCCUGUCUGGGGCCUCUAGGCUCAAAAGAGUUUGGAUGAGUAGAAGGGGGUUUUUGGCAGGGGCUUUUUUUUUUGCAUUUUUUUUCCCUAUGAAUAUGUUCAUUUGCUUUUUUUGAUGGUGUUUGAUCGGAUAUCCAUAGGAUGGGCAUUUGAUAUCUUUGGUUAUCCGUUAGAUAUCAUAAUUGUUAAAUAGUAUACAUUAUUUCUAGAGAUUUCAAUAAGUAAUUAUUAUGAUAGAUACGUAUUUUGGUGAUGGCUUGCCUACCUGUAUAUUGAAUAAUCCUCGGCACACGGUUGGGUUUGUUUUGUUUUUUCCAAGUGCCCAUGUCUCUCUGCCUCUCUUAUCAUCCACCUCUUCCCUCCUGUAUCUCACACUCUAUUGGCAGUUUCCUUUGUUACCUUUGUUAUAUAGUUAUGUGAAUAAUAUCUUUGACAUGGACUAACUAUUUGUAUUUGCAUGCAGCAUGUUAAAGUUGGAGAUAUCUAUGACCAGUCAAAAGUGGUCAGGGUUGAUAGAGGGUUGGGCCUUCUGCUUGACAUCCCAUCAACCCCUGUGUCAACACCGGCAUACGUCACUGUAUGUUCACUUCAUGCUUUGCUUAUAGUUAAGGAUCAGUUCAGUAGCUAUGGUUUCUGCUUGCUUGUUUGUAACUUUUUUGUGUAUAAGGAUUUCAGAUAUCUGAUGUUGCUGAAGAGGAAGUAAGGAAGCUGGAAAAGAAGUACAAAGAAGGUAGCUAUGUUCGUGUCCGAAUUCUUGGAUUUAGGCACUUGGAGGGGCUUGCAACCGGGAUUCUGAAGGUGCAUUUUCACUUUACUGAUACAUGCUUAAAAAUGAAAUGCAUCUGUAAUAAGAAAUACAUUUUACUAUAUUCUGCUGGAGAGUUUUUAUCCUUCAAAAUGAUUUGGAAGGCUACCAUUCCCCUUAAAAUUCAAGUCUUCUUGUGGGCCUUGGCACAAGGAAAAUUAAAUUCUGGAGAAGUGAUGUAAAUAAAGUUUCCUAAUUUUUGUCUCUCUCCAUCUUGGUGUGUGACAUGCAAGAGAAGUGCAGAAACUUCAGAUAAUCUUUUCCUUCACUGUUUUACGGCCUCAAACUAUGGUAUAGGUUGUGCAGAGAAGCUAAUUUUUUGCACAUGAUUCUGGGUUACUGUGAUUCUCUUCUUAUGGAGAAUUUCUUUGCUUUUGGUAGAGGAACAAAGGCUAAAACUCUUUGGAAAUGUGCAGCGGCAGCACUGUUUUGGGUAAUAUGGGAUUAAAAAAAAUGUUCAUAUUAACAUUUGGUGGGUAGUUUUGGAAUUACAAUGGUGUCAGUAGAUUUAUUAAAAUUUUUAUUUUAUUUAUUUAUUUAUUUAUUUUAAUGUGGAAAAGUGUAGAUAAUGCUGAAGAACUGUUGGAUAGAGUUAAUCUUCUUGCUUUUCUUUGGGCUUCAAUUUCUAAGGAGUUUCAAGAUUCAUCCUAUUUCUUCACACAUCUAAAUUGGGAUGGGGUUUUGAGAUAGGGAGUUAUAACUAAUUCUAACCUUGUAUAGAGGUUAUUGGGUAUACUUUUGUAUAGCACAAAUAGUGCUAGUCUUUGUUUUCUGGUUGGACUGUUUUUUACAUCUUUAUUAAUAGAUUUUUGAGUUUCUUAUCAGGGGAAAAAAAUUCGCACCAUAAAUCUCAGCUUGAGGCCUCUAAGGGCAAUGAUUGUUGCUGAUCAUGGUAUAUACAUGAUCUCAUCUCCAACAAAGAGCAAUAUGCAAUUAAUUUUGAGCGGCAUCUCUAUUGUUAAUAUUGCUAGGAGUAUUUAAUGUCACUUCUUCAAUCUCUAUGAUGCUUGUAUGAGUUGAUUCAUUCUCAGAAAUGCUUUUGAUUCUGCCACUAGUUCUCAUUGUUGUUUAGUGCUCUUACUGUUUUUCAAUCAAGUAGGCCAGUGCUUUUGAAGGACUAGUGUUCACCCACUCUGAUGUCAAGCCAGGGAUGGUGGUGAAGGGUAAAGUUAUAGCUGUUGAUAGCUUUGGUGCUAUUGUGCAAUUUCCUGGUGGUGUGAAGGCACUCUGUCCGCUCCCACAUAUGUCCGAAUUUGAAAUUGUGAAGCCUGGAAAAAAAUUUAAGGUUAUUUUUCGCAAUAUGCACCUUUUGAAGUGGUUCAUCAUGCAGUUGGUUUUUUGGUUGCCAAUUCUUCUGAAUUAGGAGACAUACGUUUACUUUUCUUGCUUGUGUCAUGGUGCAGGUUGGAGCUGAACUGGUGUUCCGAGUGCUUGGUGUUAAAUCUAAGAGAAUUACUGUUACACAUAAGAAAACUCUUGUAUGUUCUCUCUUGGUUGCAAUUUCAUUUGGUUGCUUAUUUUUGCUUGGAUGAGUGCAUGAGAGCUUCAUAUGAAGCUGCUUCUGUGACUAGUUUAAAAGUUCUUGGUUAUCCAAGAAGACUUUUGUUUGGUUAUCCGCAAGUAAACAACAUUUGCUGUAAUGACUAACAUUAGUUAUUGGUUGAAGUUGAAAAUCUCCAACAUGUUCUUGGAAAACUCAGUCCAUUGUGUAUGUCUUUGGAUGGCUGAAAUCAAUUGUUGGUUGAAGUUCAAAAUCUCAAACUUAUUUUGAAGAGUUUUGGUCCAUUGAUGUACUUUUUUAACUUUUUGAGAGACGAUCCCACUCUACCCCACUCCGUUUACAAACACAAAUUGAAACUUAAUCCUUCCCCAAGGUUGAUGUGAGGAGGCUUAAUUAUUCCAACCUAUCUAAAAUUACCUAGGCUUUAAUAUGUUUGUUGAUAAGGAAUCUGCAUGUUUAUCAUUCAAGAAUUGAGGUUGGAGAAUUUGGAAGAUGGAUGCUUCAAGUAGAAUUUCUUGUGCAAUUUCAGUAUGGUUGGAAAGGAAAAAUCCUCCCCAAAAUACAAAUUUUUGCAUGGGUCCUUGAGAGGGUAAUCACGGAGAGAGAUCAUACAAAGAAAAUUUCCUAAUAUGUCUCCCUUCGUGGUGUAUCAUAUGUAGAUGAGAGGAUGGGACUAUUAACCAUCUCUUCUUUCCUUGCAACUCUGCUUCUCUCUUUGAAUACAUUUUUGAUGCUUUAUUCAAGGAAAAUUUUUUAUUUUUGGGAAGGCAAUGGCUUUAUGGAUGUGAUUCUUGCUUUGUUGUGGGUGAUUUGGCAAAAAAGAAAUAGCCAUAUCUUUGAAGGGAAAAGAGAGGAACACCAAUUCUUUAUGGAAUAAGUUCCCUUUAUUCUAUUCUUUGGGCCUUCCAAAAAACAUUUUUGAGACAAUUCUUUCAUUUUGAUUAAUUUCAAUUGAGAAGCGAUAGUGGUUUUUCAUUUUUAUUUUUAAUUUUCUUUUACUGAAAACUAGGUAUAUUAUAUUAAAGAAAAAAAAAUUGCAAAGUGGUUUUGGUUUGAUCUGUGUUUAGGGGAUAUAGAGAUUUUUUUCUAGACAGAUAUACUGUUUUAAGAUCUUAAAGUUAUUAGCUGUCAUUUUGAAUAGCUCUUAACUGGACUAUUUUUUGAUGUCCCUGUUGAUUUAUGGUGCACUGCUGCCCUUUAUAAUUAAUAAAAAUUUUCUGUUUGCUAGCAGAAAAGAGUAGUAAAAUCUUGUAAUUCCGAAAUCUACUUUGUGCUGUUCUUACGAUGUCUAUUUGAUGCUACUGCAACAUCAUUGAUAAAUGCUUUUGCAGGUGAAAUCAAAGCUUGCAAUUUUGAGUUCAUAUGCUGAAGCAACCGACGGAUUAAUAACACAUGGAUGGAUAACGAAGAUUGAAAAACACGGUUGCUUUGUCCGGUUCUACAAUGGAGUCCAAGGAUUUGCUCCGAGGCUAGUCUAAAACCAAUAUGCUUAUUUAUGACAUAUAAUGUUUACUGAUUGUAUGAGUUUUGUGAAAGGGGAUAGAAUAGGGAUUAACUUUAUCAAGUUAGGGUAAGAAAAGACUCUAAAAUCUGAUAGUUAUGAUAUAUGCAAAUACUAAGAAUUUGUGACGAGUAACUGUCUAGACGGCUGGCUUCUCAAUAAUCUGCUACGAAUGAGAAGUUGAGUGGUUAUUGCCUUAGUUCUUAGCAGGUAUGAUAAAGAGUUGAACUAAUGCAUUUGGACUGCUGCAAGAUCCUCUAUUGAUUUUGAGGUCAUAGCCUUAUGAGAAAUAACCCAGAAAAUAAUUAGUGUAACAAUACGUUUAGAAUGAGUUGAAUUCAGGAAAAGACUUAUGAUAAGAUAAUGCAUUUCUGGAAACAUAAUUUUUUCUGCCUCCUAUUAUUGGAUACUUACCAUUUUACUGGAACUAUAUACUCAUUCUACAUAUCUGUAUGCAUGAUGUGGUUGUAGGGUCUGACAGUAGCCCUUAAUUGGAUUCCAUUGAAUGAUUUCUAGGUAUGCCCGAAAAGUAAAUAAGUGUCAUUGUAUAAGAAGUUUUAGAUCCUAAUCACAUGACAAUAUGCAAAUUAUUGAUAAUUGAGAGAUCAGAAUUGCUGUAGAUACUGUUCUAUAUAGCAUUGAUUGAUUUUGGGUGGAUACCUGGCCCACUACUUAAGUGUAUUUGCUCCAUUAUUUAUUAAUAUAAAUACUCCCAGUUUCUUUUAUAAACAUGCAUAUAUGUACACAUACAUAUAUGUAUAAAUUGCUUAGGAUGUUUUCCACUUUCUCAUAUUUAUUACCAGGUGCUUGAACUUCAACAGGAAUUUUAUCUUCCAUUUUGCGCACUUCUAUUUUUUUUUAUUUUUUGGAUUUUAUCAUGAAUUAUGAUUGAUUAUUGUUGUCCAUUUGUACCAGAUCUGAACUUGGAUUAGAUCCAGGAUGUGAACCAAGUUCCAUGUAUCAUGUUGGGCAAGUCGUGAAAUGCAGAAUAAUGAGUUCCAUUCCUGCUUCACGGCGGAUCAACCUCAGUUUCAUGAUGAAGCCUACAAGGUUUGCUUCACUCUAAUCUAACUGAUUUGUAAACUUGAUGUAUGUGCAUCUUCUUCUGCUGGCUUUAAUGUAAAAACUUGCUAUUUUUGGGCCAGCAUGCAAUCACCAAUGACAUAGUAAUACUAAUAAUCUUCCAGCUAUAGCUAUUUUAAGUCAUUUUGCAGGACUGGCACAUGGCUAUUAGAAUGCAUUUGCCUUUAACCAUGUCAUAGGAACUGCUGUAAUUACAUAAUUUGAAACAAAAUAAUAAAAGCAUCAUGUCCAGCAGCUGUAUAUCUGUUGCUUUGAUUGAAAUGGUUGUCGAGAGGUUUUUAUCUUCAAAUUUUUGAACUGCAGCUUCUCCGUGUCUUGUAAAAUUCUCUUUCAUAUAAAGCUAUUUUCUUAUUUAUCGAAAUUUGAGUAACAGGGUUUCCGAAGAUGAUUUGGUCAAGUUGGGUAGCCUUGUUUCUGGAGUUGUUGAUGUGGUAACCCCAAAUGCAGUAGUUGUCUAUGUUAUCGCAAAAGGUUACUCAAAGGGUACAAUUCCUACUGAACAUUUGGCAGAUCACCUUGGUAAUACAUUUACUUUGCCAUCAUAUUGAAUUUUCGUUUUUCUUAUUAAAAAUUUUUUCUGUUAAAUGCUGCCUUUUUUAUGAUUUUUCUUUCAGUUAAUACUGCUUUUUCUUUGUAUUCCCUGACUUUAGUUUCUGUUUUGCAGAGCAUGCUACCGUGAUGAAGUCAGUCAUAAAGCCUGGAUAUGAGUUUGAUCAGCUGUUGGUCCUAGGUAAUAUAAUGCUAUUUCUUUCCUAUGCCUCUUCAUUAUUUUUACCCUAAGCAUCCUAAUAGUUCAGUAAAUUACAUUUUAUGAGAAACAAAAGUUUUUGAAAAAGUGCCCAAAUUGUUUUUAAAGGAGUGAAGAUACUUCUUAAAAAUCUAUGUUGCCAUACAUCAAGCUAUAAAAUCCCUUCUCAAAAUGCAUAUCUUGUUUCUCUUAAGAAUUUUACUAUCCAUCAAGCUCGAAUAAAGGCCUGGCACUCCCUUUUUUGCGUUAUGAACUUCUGCCAGUGCUCUUUCAGGUGCAUAUCUUGUUUCUCUUAUGAAUUUUGCUGUGUGAGGUUGCUGGUGGAAUCUGGUGAACACAGGUUUUAUGGUUUCAAAAGAAAGAGAAAGAAAAAAGUAUUGAGUACUGUGUUCUAUUUUUCUAAGAAUUCAAAAUCUGUUUACCAGCGAUAAGUAAAUAGAGAAUAAAAAAUAAUUCUCUAACCUUUUUUUGUUAUAGACAAUGAGAGCAGCAACUUGUUACUGUCUGCAAAAUAUUCUCUAAUCAACUCGGCUCAACAGCUUCCUUCUGAUGCCAGUCAUAUCCACCCUAAUUCAGUUGUCCAUGUAAGUGGUUAAGGCUUCCUACUUAUUAUGUGUUUUCUGAUCUUGUUUUGGAGAAAUCAUCCACUGUUACAAUGCCCUCUUGUUUUAGUGUUCCACCUUAUAUUUGCAAAUUUAUAAGUUUGUGUGAAUCAGGGGUAUGUUUGCAACAUAAUUGAAACUGGCUGCUUUGUUCGGUUUCUUGGGCGCUUGACGGGCUUUGCUCCUAGAAGCAAGGUAAUUUUCUCUCAUUUGGUUCUAUUAUGCUAGCUCUAAAUGUUAUUUUGAUUGAACUGUUUUAAUUUAGUCAAAUUUUCUAUCUGUUUUUUUCCCUUUCUUUUUAAGGCAGUGGAUGGCCAAAGAGCUGAUCUUUCAAAAACUUAUUACGUUGGGCAAUCUGUUCGCAGCAAUAUACUCGAUGUUGGUGAACUCUUUGCUCGUAGAUCUUUGUAUUUUACAACCUUUUGAGUGGUUCGGUAAUGAACUUCUAUCUUUUGUUUUCGUUUUCUCUUUCCAGGUCAAUAGUGAAACGGGUAGAAUAACACUGAGUUUAAAGCAGUCCUGCUGUUCUUCGACAGAUGCAUCCUUUAUGCAAGAGUACUUUCUGUUGGAAGAGAAGGUGAAAUCAUGGAAUAAUACUAAUUUGGUUUUGGAGAUCAGUUGGUGUUUAUAUGUGUUAUUUACCUACUCAUAGUUGUCCAAGUUGCUUUUGGAAAUUAAUGUUUGGUGUAUGUUAUGUUGUCAAAUUUAAGGGCCACAGUUCUUUUUUCCCUUUUGUCACAGUGUAGUAAACAUUUUGACAUUAUAAUUUUGUAUGUUUAAAGUUAUUUCAUUUAAACAUGGUUUUAGUUGUUUGGGCUGCUUUGUCAAUGCACUAAAAAGUUUUGUUUUGUGAUGAUUUAUUUAUGCAUGUCUUUUAAGUGCUUUUUUUUUUCAUUCCUUUUGGUACCCAAAAGUUGUUUGAUCUGUCUUGUUUUUUCAUGGACUUCUACCAAACUGGGGACUUCUGUUGGAUCCUAAAACCUUCUUAGUCAGGAAAUCUGCGAGAUAUGAUGUCAUUGGACGUUUGACUCUUGUUUGUGACCGAUGGUCUUAACUACUAACUUUUCCUUUGGGGUGAAGUUUUUGUUCAUCUCUUCAGCAGUGGCCUAUGGGCAUAGGUUUGUAAGACCAAAAGAGCGACCGAAAGGGGUUGGAUGCAUGCUGUAAGAAUAAACAAGUUAAUCCUAAAAAUAGGAAUUGUGGCUUUAUUCUGCUCAAAUAACCUUUAUAGUUUCUUAAGUUCUGCUCAAAUAACCAUGUUAUAGAUUUCAACUGGGUUUAUGUUAUCCACUGCUAGACUAAGUGAAUCAAUUCUUUGCUGCAAAUGUUUCUCACAUCCAAUGAGAAAAUGCUCAUUUUUAUCCUAUUGUACCAUUUUUUUUUUGAAUUUUUUGGUUCGGGCUUUAUUUUAAUUCAUUUUUUCCCAUCUACUUAUUGGCUGAAGUACAUAGCACAUUCAUUAUUUCUUUAAUUGGGAGUGAUUGUCUGGAUUCUUGUUUCUCUUUAGUUUUCUUAUAUCGCUGAUCUAGAUAUCACCUUUCAGUAAUGGUUUGUCUUCUGAUAGAUUAGUAUCAUAAUCAUGGCAAUGUUUAUUGAAUACAGAUUGCUAUGCUGCAAUCCUCGAAACAUAAUGGAUCAGAGUUAAAAUGGGUUGAAGGAUUUAUCAUUGGCAGUGUCAUUGAGGGAAAGGUUCAUGAGUCAAAUGAUUUUGGAGUUGUUGUCAGCUUUGAGGAACACAGUGAUGUUUAUGGAUUUAUUACUCAUCAUCAGUGUAAGUUUUUUUUCAUGUCUACUGAAUUUUCAUUAUCUUCAAUUCUAUAACUAUGAGUGGAAUAUGUCUUGCAGUAGCUGGAGCUACCGUGGAAAGUGGAUCUGUCAUUCAGGCUGCCAUUCUUGAUGUUGCCAAGGCAGAACGCCUUGUUGAUUUAUCGUUAAAAACGGUGUUCAUUGACAGAUUUAGGGAAGCAAAUUCUAACAGGCAGGCUCAGAAGAAGGUUUAACCCUAUUUCCAGCAUUCUCAAUUCAUAUUUCUAAUUAUGUGUAUCUGCUAAAAUUGUGGUAAAUAAUAGGAAAAAUGAGAAUAAUUUAUUGCGAAUGUUUCGUAUGUCAUAUUUAUUCAUCAUAGAGUAAGAAUUUUUUGUCAUUAAUUGUGCUUGUACUCUUGGCCUAAUUUGUACUAUCGAUGAUUUCAGAAACGCAAAAGAGAAGCUUCCAAGGACUUGGAAGUGCAUCAGACAGUAAAUGCAAUUGUGGAGAUUGUGAAAGAGAAUUACUUGGCAAGUGUUUACUUACUUUCUGUAGUGUGGUGAGACUAUCAUUUUUUGUGUAUUCUCACAAUUGUUUUCUUUGAAACCAGGUUCUUUCGUUGCCAGAGUAUAACUAUUCUAUAGGAUAUGCAUCUGUGUCAGAUUAUAACACACAAAAGUUCCCUCAGAAACAAUUUCUGAAUGGACAAAGGUAACUAAUUUGAUGAUUUUUCUCCCUUCCCCAGCUGCAUCCCCACCCCGUACACAAACACAUUUUAAAUAAUUUCCCCUCCAAGGUUGGAGUGAUGGGGAUUAGCUCACUUGGUCUUUUGCUUGCACCCCAUACACAGAAAUGAUUUGUUUCGUUUGAAGUUUAUAGAUGUAUCAUUGCUUUGCUCCUGGCCUAAUUGUGGAUCUUUUACUAGUGGGCUUGAACAUGAAACUUCUAUUUUGUGCAGUGUCAUUGCUACAGUUAUGGCUCUUCCAAGCUCUUCAACUGCUGGGAGAUUACUUUUACUUCUUAAAGCUAUUAGUGAGACUGAGACAUCCAGUUCCAAAAGGGCAAAAAAGAAGUCUAGCUAUGAUGUUGGAUCUUUAGUUCAGGCAGAGGUGGAUAGUCUAAAAAAUAUUGUGACUUGUCUUAUCUUAUUUCUUUCAUAUAUAAUUAUAUAUAGUCUGUCUUUGAGUUUGGUACUCAUUUUAUCAAAAUGAGGGUUCCUUACUGGAAAGUUUCUAUAUAUAUAUAUAUACAGCAAUUUCAAAAUAAGGGAUCCCUUAUUAGAAGGGGACUCUCUCUCUCUCUCUUUCUCUCUCUCUAUAUAUAUAUGUAUAUAUAUAUAUAUAAAUAUAAUCCAUGAAGCACACUUAUUUGAGUAUUAUAUGUCUUUUGUUCCUUCAGAUCACUGAAAUUAAGCCCUUGGAGCUAAGAUUGAAAUUUGGAAUUGGUUUUCAUGGGCGGAUUCACAUAACAGAGGUGAUUUUCUAGUUGUGCAUGUUUGAAUAUUGUUGUCUAAACAAUUAAUUAUUACCCUCUUGUCAUGUGUGUUUCGGUUAUCUAGUUAUAUGAUAAAAUUAAUGUUCUAUUUUCCUAUUUUUACUUUUACUUGUUAAAUGAGCAGGUGAACGAUGAUAAGAGUAAUGUGGUGGAAAACCUAUUCAGCAACUUCAAAAUUGGGCAGACAGUGACAGCAAGGAUCAUAGCCAAGUCCAAUAAACCAGACAUGAAAAAAAGCUUCCUGUGGGAGCUGUCCAUCAAACCCUCAAUGCUUACGGGUAAAUGGUUCACUGCAUAAUACUCCGAUACUCGGAUUUGCCAUUGUCAAAGUCUUGGUAUCUUGUUCCAUAAACUAUCUCUCAAAUGCUUGGAUUGACUUUGCAUUUCUCAUUAUUUUCCUUUUUUUUUUAAUCAUGUACUUUUACCGUAAGUUUUUAGCACUGUCGUGGUCAUUUUUCUUUUAAUAAGAAACUGUAAAGUGUAUUAAAGAAGAAGAAUCUUUACAAGGAGUGGACCAGCUGUCCACUAAGAAAGCAUAAUAAUGAAAACUUUUUAGCACUGCUGCAGUCAUUUAAAACACACUCUUAGGCUAGCAUUGACUUCAUUUCUCAUCAAAUGUUUUCAUUCUUUGAUUUGAUUCUCAAGUCAUCUUUAUGGAUAAGUUCUCAAAAAAAAAUGUUCCACUCAUUGAUUAGGUUUUUCCAUUACCCAUUUGUUCAUGGAUUGCUCUACAUAGCUUUGCUUAUUGCAAUUUUAUUCAGUUUCUGAAAUAGGGAGCAAGCUUUUGUUUGAAGAAUGUGAUGUUUCAAUUGGACAACGUGUCACCGGUUAUGUAUAUAAAGUGGACAAUGAAUGGGCAUUGUUAACAAUAUCUCGACAUUUGAAGGCUCAGCUUUUCAUUCUUGAUAGUGCAUAUGAGCCUAGUGAACUUCAAGAAUUCCAAAGGCGCUUUCAUAUCGGAAAAGCUGUUACUGGUCAUGUUUUAAGUAUUAAUAAGGAGAAGAAACUGUUGCGCUUAGUGCUACGGCCUUUUCAGGAUGGAAUAAGCGAUAAGACAGUUGAUAUUUCAAAUGAUAAUAUGCAAACCUUUAUACAUGAAGGAGAUAUUGUGGGUGGUAGAAUUUCCAAAAUACUUUCAGGUGUUGGUGGAUUGGUCGUGCAAAUUGGUCCUCAUUUGUAUGGUAGGGUUCAUUUCACUGAACUCAAAAACAUAUGUGUGUCUGACCCAUUGUCUGGAUAUGAUGAAGGCCAGUUUGACCCAUUGUCUGGAUAUGAUGAAGGCCAGUUUGUCAAAUGCAAGGUCCUUGAAAUCAGUCGCACGGUCAGGGGCACUUUUCAUGUUGAGCUGUCUCUACGCUCAUCUUUAGAUGGCAUGAGCAGUACGAAUUCUUCAGAUCUCUCUACUGAUGUGUAAGUCUACCUUUUCUGAUUUGGAUACACAGAGAUAUUUUAUUUGCUUAUAAACGCAUGCUUAUUAUUUGGAACAUUUAAGUUCAUAUAACACCGAGGCCCUUCUGAAGUUUCCAUGAAUACUAUUUCUUUCUCUAUAAAUAGUUCAUCUGGAUGGAAAUUAAUGAAUAGUAACUUGGUAUAAAUUUUCUUUGAAAGUGGAUUUCUUUUUGUUAGUGUUAUGAUGCUAUAUCAAAUUUUGAUUUGUUUAUGGAUCUAUGCAUGCUACACCUCAUUAGUAUAAGAAAAUUAUUGCAGACUACAUUUUAUUGGUUCUCUCAGUAUUAAGCUGUAUAUAAUACUUAAAGAUUUAUUUGGUCUGUUCUCUGUCUUUUAAUAUCAUUUCUUCCUUGAAUUUGAUAAUAACUUAGUGGACGGUUUGAAAACCUAAAAAUUGUUAACUUCUAAUCUCGGGCACUUCCAUGGAAUUUUGUUAAUCUGAUUCUAGUGGAUACGUGGCAAAGUACAGAAGAUUCAUGCCCUUGUUUUCUCGUGAUUAUUUAUUUCUCCAGUUGGUGAACAUUAGGUUUUCUUUAGCCAAUUACGGACAUAGACUCUACCUUAGAAGAUUUCAUUGUUCCAGUUUUCUAGUUCAGGUGGAGGCAAUGAAUAGGAUGCUUUCCAUCUAGCUUGAAAAAUAUGACAUGAUCAUUUAUUAGCAAUUGAUUUUCAAAAAGAAAUGCUCUUUGACGCAUGAUGCCUACUUUAGUUCUUAUAGAAUCUUUUUCACUUCCAUGGUUGUUUAGUAAGCUACUUUGUGGAAUAUCUUCUCUUACGAAAGUUGAUGACUGAAUUGCCAAAUUAUCUUACUUUUUAGUCUUGAGUAAAUAUCUUUGAUCCCGUGAUGAGCCUAUAAGAUUCCACUUUUUCCAUGUAUUAAAUGCCACCAAGUUUUCUGUAGUCACUUGUAAUUUAAAUGAAUAUUGUGGCCUUAUUAAUGUGUUAGCUAGAAUUUGUCUCAGGAUUAAGUAAUUUGCUAUUUUGUGGUGGUUUACAAAAUCUUGUCUUUUGUUUAAUCAGGAGUUAUAUAUGGUUUGCAUUUGCAGGGAUACUCCUGGCAAGCAUUUGGAAAAGAUUGAGGAUCUUUCUCCUAAUAUGAUUGUACAGGUACAACAAUCCUCUUUUUCAUGUAAUUAAUCGACUUCUUUUAUUGGUUGUUUUUAAUCUGGUCGUCACCUAAUUACAAAUGAUAGAUUACAGUGGCUUAAUAUCAUCUCUUCCAAGAGCAUUGGUUGCAUCAAGAAUAAGUUACAGUCCAGUUUUGUUUGCAUUGUUGAUACACUAAUUAAACUGUUGCUAUUGAUAGAACUUUUCGUUAAAAUAUUAUGCAUUUUAUAGUCUUCCCUCUUUUUCAGAAGUGAUUAUUAGUUGAAAAUUACGCAUGAUGUAUCUUAAAGGUUAUAGCUUGAACCAUGUUCACAUCUAAUGCAUUGCAGCAGUCACGUAUUUCUGUGACGUCAAUCGAUGUUGCUUUUAUUUAUACUGAAAAGGAACAUCUUCACAAGAUGAUGAAUACCUGUUUUCAUAUUUAUUCUUUUCCUUGUUAUGAUAAAAAGACUCAACCUAAGGAUUAGGAAUAUUUAGUGUAAAUCAUGUUCUCAAGUUUUUUGUAGUCACUCUCAUUCCAAGGGAUAUGGAUGUUUCAACAUGUAUUCAUUUAUUGAUCCAUUUAGCUUGCUCUCACUCAUCCUAUUUUCAUAUAUUCUUUCCAACAAAUAUAAAUGUUUCGACAUUUAUUCAUCCUUUUUCUUUUGGUGGCCGUGAAUUAUUUUCUUUAUACCUGCAGUGCUAAUAAAUAUUCAUUGGCUCUGACAGGGUUAUGUUAAGAAUGUGACAUCUAAAGGAUGUUUUAUUAUGCUCUCACGGAAGCUUGAUGCAAAAGUUCUCCUUUCAAAUCUGUCAGAUGGAUAUGUGGAAAGUCCAGAAAAAGAGUUUCCUAUUGGGAAACUUGUAGCUGGCAGGUAGUUUCCUUAUGGUCAAUGAAGUGAUUAGUCUUUGAUAUUCAGUGCCCUGUAUUGAGAAAUUUAAUUGCAGGGUGCUAUCCGUGGAGCCUUUGUCAAAGCGCGUUGAGGUUACCUUGAAGACAUCCGAUUCUAGGACUGCUUCCCAAUCUGAAAUCAAUAAUUUGAGUAAUCUACAUGUUGGAGACAUUGUUAUUGGGCAGAUCAAGCGGGUGGAAUCAUAUGGUUUGUUCAUCACAAUUGAGAACACGAACUUGGUAAGGAAUAAGUUAUAAAUGACUGGUUGUAAUUUGAAUAUUGUACUAUUCUUUGAUGCCCUUUUGGGGACUGCAUCACCGAGUAUACUGAUUCUGAAACAGCCAAAAAAUAGAAAUGGAAAAUAAAAGGGCUUAAUCUAUGGAUUCUAGUCCUGAUAUUUACUCGAGUUAUGAAUUGUGCUGCCCAUCCAUCGUUCCGGGUUUUAAUUAAUGACCAUUAUUUUGUUCAGAUGGAUGGUGCGAAUGUCCUGUUAGUUUCUUUCUUACCUGGAAGUGUUUAUUUUGAUAUUAUUCAGUUUAAACAAUCUGCAUUCGUUAGAUCAUUUGUCAAUUAUUUUCAUGUAUGAUUUGUCAUUUUUGAGGGUUAAUGUGCUUAUUUUUAUUGAUUGCUUAGGUUGGAUUAUGCCACGUUUCAGAGCUUUCAGAAGACCAUGUUGACAACAUUGGGACUAUAUACAGAGCCGGGGAGAAAGUUAAGGUGAAGAUUUUGAAGGUAAAUAACAGUAAUGUGGUUAUGUUAUGUCGACUGUCAGUUUAUAGGCCUUACAUCAGUUAAAACUAGUGCAUAAAAUCGACUGCUUACUUUUCUAGUGUUUUUUUCAUCUAUGAUGUCAUGCGACUGAAGGUUGAUAUCUGGAUUAAACUUUUAGGCAGAUCACUAAUUGAUUUUAAUAGUUAGUCUGUAAUUGCUGGAAAAUAUUUAUUGCUGUUUUUCUCCUCUAUUCUUUAUAUUAGGUGGACAAAGAAAAGCGCCGAAUUUCACUGGGAAUGAAGAGUUCGUAUUUUAAGAAUGAUGCUGAUAACCUUCAAAUGUCUUCAGAAGAAGAGUCUGAUGAAGCCAUUGAAGAAGUUGGUUCUUAUAACAGGUCAUCAUUAUUGGAGAACAGUUCAGUUGCUGUUCAAGAUAUGGAUACGGAGUCUGAAGAUGGAGGAUCUCUGGUUCUUGCUCAAAUAGAGUCUAGGGCUUCCGUUCCUCCUCUUGAGGUCAAUCUUGAUGAUGAGCAGCCUGACAUGGAUAAUGGAAUUAGUCAAAAUCAGGGACAUACUGAUGAGGCAAAAACCAUAGAUGAGAAGAACAAUCGACAUGCAAAGAAGAAGGAGAAGGAAGAGAGGUUUCUCAAUUCAGACAUGUUUGACUUUUGUUCCUUAUUUAACUGCAAGUUAUUUGGGCUUUUUAAUAAUCUUGAAACUAUAUUUGAUAGGGAGCAAGAAAUAAGAGCUGCUGAGGAAAGGUUGCUGGAAAAGGAUGCACCAAGAACUCCUGAUGAAUUUGAGAGGCUGGUCAGGAGUUCCCCAAAUAGCAGUUUUGUUUGGAUAAAGUACAUGGCUUUCAUGCUCUCCAUGGCUGAUGUUGAGAAAGCCCGCUCUAUUGCUGAAAGGUAUUCUUUUUGCUAUGUUGAGUUUCAAGCUGGAUUUGGGACGGUGUGUUGAAUUUUGAUGAUGAGAAAUUAUAUGAUCAUUUAUUGAUUCAACUAUUGAUGAAUGAAUAUGCUAAAUAAAGUCAAAAUUAAUGUGUGUUGUCCUGUUCAAUUACAUCUGGUUUAUUGAUUUUCAUAAAUAGGAAAAUGAAGACAUCAAAAAUUGGGAAAAAAGGGAAAAAGAAAUGGUAUUAACCUAGUGAAUUUGUGAUUCCUCAUUACUCUAGUAUCUAAUUCUAUUUCUCCAAAAAUGAUUAAAAUAUCCUUUUGGUUAUAUCCAUUAUCUAGUCAUGUUCAUUUAGGAAAAUCAGUCCAAACAUCUUUGACUUUGUAGUUCUUAACACUAAACAAGCUGUCUUGUGGUAGGUUGUGUUCAGGGCAUAUAAGAAUGUCUCCUGCUCUUUUUUCUCCUGUUUUAGAUGCUUUUUUUUGUUGCAGGCCUUCCCCUUUAUUUAUCUCCAUGUUUUGCUUUUUGCUUUUAAUUCCCUCGCCGAUUGCCUCACCACACCCCACCCCCCCCUCUCCCCCCAGCGCUGGGAAAAAGAAGGAUUAUGCCACCCAUGAUUUUCAUUUCCUACUAUUGGAAUCUAACUAUUUGCUCAGAAUCAGGUGGAUGAAACAGUUCCUAUCAUGUAUAAGAUAUUAUGGUGUAGCUAAAUGGCUUAAGUUCCGAUGAUCCACAAAGGCUAAUGUGGUUUAUUUUCUUUAGACAUUGUUGUAAUUUGAGGUUUAUAUUUCCUCGAAGUUUUUGUUUGAUAGUUAUUUCUUUUUUUUUUGUUUAAUUUGUUAUUUUAUUUAUCAGUAAAUUAAUUUGUGGAGUUAUCUUAAUAUUUGCACUGUUGCAUCCAACUUAAUUUUAUUUUUCAUCUUUGUAUUUUCAAGGGCUCUACAAACUAUUAACAUUCGAGAAGAGAAUGAGAAGCUAAAUAUUUGGGUGGCUUAUUUUAAUUUGGAAAAUGAAUAUGGAAAUCCACCAGAGGUAAUUAAACAGAGAGCAGCUUUAUUUAUUCAUUUAUUUUUUUAAAUCUUGUAAUCAUGACUUGAAUUGGGAGUGUCAUUAAUUUAUUUUCUUUCAGGAAGCUGUUGUAAAAGUAUUUCAAAGAGCAUUACAAUAUUGUGAUCCCAAAAAGGUCCAUUUGGCACUGUUGGGUUUGUAUGAAAGGACUGAGCAAAAUAAGUUGGCUGAUGAGCUUCUUUACAAAAUGAUCAAGAAAUUCAAGCAUUCGUGCAAGGUAAUCAUUGAGCUUCUAUCUUUUCAUUUUACCUCAAUUUUGAGCAUCUUUGGACAUGCAAAUUUCGUAUCACCUGGAACUUUCAGGUCUGGUUAAGGAGGGUGCAGAGACUUUUGAAGCAACAGCAGGAGGGGGUUCAGGCUGUGGUGCAACGUGCUUUGUUAAGUCUUCCUCGGCAUAAGCAUAUUAAAUUCAUCUCACAGACAGCUAUUCUCGAGUUCAAAAAUGGGGUUGCUGAUAGAGGGCGAUCCAUGUUUGAGGGAAUCUUAAGUGAAUAUCCAAAGAGAACAGACUUGUGGAGUAUUUAUCUUGAUCAAGUAAGUUGCUUUUAACAUUAGGUACUUUCUAUGUUUCCCUCUUUCUUUGAGGUAUAUCUUACAUUCUUUUAUCAAACUUGUCAGGAGAUUCGACUUGGAGACGUAGAUUUAAUUCGUGGAUUGUUUGAGAGGGCUAUCAGCUUGAGUCUCCCACCUAAAAAGAUGAAAGUACGUAAAUCUGCAGAAUUAUAUUAUGGCUGUCCCUGGGCUUCUGCAGAAUUAUAUUAUGGCCGUCCCUUCCUGUUUUGCCUUACCUGUCUUCUUUCUGGUUUUGCAGUUCUUAUUUAAGAAGUAUCUUGAGUAUGAAAAAUCUCUUGGUGAGGAAGAAAGGAUUGAAUAUGUGAAACAGAAAGCAAUGGAGUAUGUCGAGAGUACACUAGCGUAGUUGUUGUUGAUCUACUCUUCUUUAGCCGGAGUUUCAAUCUGCAGCUUUCAAACAAUUUGAGUUGGCUGUUUGUACUGUACAGCGACGAGGAAUUUGUAAUUUACAAUCAUAGCAGGGAGGUGGUUGAAAUUUUACUUAUUAGUUGAUGCAGAGGAUUACUGAGAUUUCGUAAGAUAUUACUCAGGACCACAUUUGUCUCCCUGUACAAUUUUGCUUAGUAAAAGCUUUACACAGGAUGUGCAAAUUUACUGAUUCUUGUUCAAAACUCAAACCGCUCCUCAGAUGAUUCUGUUAAGAGGGGUCCCGCAACAUAUUUGAUUAAUGUAUUCAUGUACUGUUGAGAAUUUAAUUGUAGAUAUUGUAGAAACGAAUGAAGAUUCUUUGUCCAUAUUGUUUUGAAUCUUUUGAUUUAGUUUUUUGUUGUUGAAUUCCUGCUAGGGAAGUUUUUAUUAUCAAGUGAAUGAUCGGAAGAUAUAAUUAUUACUAUAAUUAUUAAGAGUUCUCAAAAGAUUUAACCUAAAAGAUUAGUGCCAAAUGAGUUAACAAAUACUCUAUUGAAUAAUAAUACAUGAGAAUUUCAAGAAUGAAUUGAUCUUUUAUUUUGUAAGAAAGAAUAUCACAAGCACAUUUGCAAAGUAAUGAUUGAAAAGUUAUUUCAGUUACGGUAACUAAAAUCUUUCCCGGGCAAAUUCUUGCCAUAUGCUGUACUUCUUUCUACCUAUAAUGCUAGUACACAAUACAAGGCCUGUCCUAAUAAUGUACACGGGGAAAACAGUAAAUUUACUUGGUAAUUCACGACUUUCUUAUGCAGCUGUCGUGACUGUGUGUGUAGCAGGAAGAACAAGGUUUCAUUAGUAUGAUUGUCAGCUGCAAGGUAAUGGCAAUUAUAAUCUUGCAACCAAAUCUGUAUGUCAACCACGAGCAGCUGGUACAGUGCUUGUGAUUCACUGCUCAGGCAAAUGUGGCUAGACAGAAUACCAUCCUUUCUUUUCAGCAUGUCUAGCCCAAUGCCUCCGCAGAGAAAAACUCAGUUUCCCAAGCUCAUGAAAAAGUAAUUGGGAGAAAAACCAGGAUCCAACUAAUUUAGGGCAUAGUGAACACGCUCAAGGAGUUGCACCACCUGAUUAACAGGGAUAGGCGAAGAAGGCGGCAGUUUUGAACUUGCUUUAAUUGUAUCAAAUGAGCCAAGCGUGAAUGACAACACAGCCUCUUGUUGUGUACUUGUAAGCUCCAAGAACUGCGACAGCAUGUCUCCAUCAAGUAUCUUGGGAACCCCAACCUGCAGCCACAAACACGUUCAAAUGAAUCAUAACAGAAGCAGCGAGCAGGCGCAAGUACAGAACAACCUGCUCCAUGGAAUUAAAGCUGUUGUUUCCUAAUAUUUUAAGCCGAUAUAUUACCUAAAAUUUUUAUUUUGAAUUCCACGUGAACGGAAAAUUUUACAAAGAAAGAGCAGAUAGAAUGAACCAAAAUGCAGUGACUACAAUGGUUCAUAAUGACAAGAAUCUCUUUGCAAGAAACAUGCCAACUCCUAUUGAAACAGGACUGGAUGGUACAUGAAUGGCACAACAAUGUUUCUGGCCUGAGGUUCAAACUUAAUGCACGCUAGCAAUUCCAAAAACAAUAUUAGCAAGGUUUUACUUUCUUACCGGGUUUUCACGACUACGAAACUCGUUGUGGUCGUUUCCAAGCAAAGGUGCAGUUAAAGGAUGGAUAGCAAGCCUAGCUUGAACCGCUUCUAAGAGUUCAUAUUCUUCACUGCAAAUAUGUGAUGGUUAUAAGUACUCUAAACAGGCAUCCUAGUUCAACUCAAAAAUAAUAACAAGGCAUAGCACCUUCACAGUCUAUGUUUAAUCUACAAUUCAACUCAGCUCAAAUAAAAGCAUCAACCGGAUUAAUUACGGUUGGCGAGCUUGUUAAAAAUCACCCAAAAUGAAAUGAGCCCCUCUAAGAGUACACAUUCUUUCAUCUUAUUAAGUUUGUAACCACACCAUGACCAUACAAACCUGUCUUUAUAAUACUAUCAGAUCAUAAAGAACAGAAAUAAGUUGUUAAAAUAUAUGGCAGUGGAUGAAGCAGGCAAACUCAAUAAAAGAAAAUUGUUGGAAGGGAAGUACUCCUAUAUAUAAAAGUUUAUGACCACAUAAUUAAUAUUCAAUUAGAAACAUUCUAUCAAGUCUCUAGAUCGACAUAGAUCCUCACCAUUAGCCUGUCUAGUGCAAAGAACUAUUUCUUAUCCACGUCUUACAGAUUUACUGUGCUAUCAUUUCUGGAUAUAUGAAGAAAUACUACAUGUACUGCUGCCAGUGUCAUCAUCCGAUACAUAGGAGAUCCAUCUAGCAUAUUCCUAUAAUGCCACAUUUGCUAAAAUAAAACAUACCUUGAUAUAGGAAUGAAUAUCACUAUGCUCCCUAACAACGUGCUGGCUAUAAUAGUUGUUUGUGAAGACUCAAAACUUGCAAGACAGUCCCCCAAGGUAUCAUCAGCUGGGAGUUUGUAUAUAAAUGACCCCUAAAAAGGAAAAAAAAAAUAGAAGACGAGACAAAAAUAUCAAUAUUAUUUGAGGCUAGGUAAAAGAAGAAGCUACAAUGCACACUAGUUGUCAGAAAAGCCUCUCAAACUAGAAUCUCAACAAAGCAAAAGAUAAAUACUAAUAGUUCAAGUAACCUAUCAAAAGAUACAUCAGAGGACAUAGUUGUCCAAUUUUGACCAACCUGCCGAGAGAGAGGGGGAAGGGGUGGGAGAACAAUAUACCAUUACCAACAGGACUGAAAGAAAUUUACUAUUACUACUAUAUGAUUAUGUAUGAACUAAAGAAAUUUAACACUGCUACUUAGUGAUUGUGUAAGAAGUUCUUCCAUUCACAAUUGGAUUCUGUAGGAUUUACCUUCCUGAUGCUCACGGCUAUCUCACCCAUAUGAUAAGCACAAUUCGGCGUUAAGUUGCAUUCUGGACUUGCAUUAUCUGGCACAUUGAGAAAUAACAUAAUUUAAGAACACUAACAGAACCAUCUGCCAUCUAAAGCAAAUAAGCAACAGUAGGAUAACAAUAACUACAAGAUGAAAUAUAAAUUCCAUCCAGAGCAAAUAAUCAUACCAGUGGCAUGAAAUAAAUGAAAAGAUGAAUUUGGGAGAGACAGCUUUGUUUCACUUUUAAUUCUGGAUCAGUUAUUCAUUAGCUUUGUCCAUUAAUAAGGCUCACUAGAAACUCUAUUCAAAUAAUCUUUGCAUUGGUCACCAAUAUUUCCAAAUUGCCUCAAAAUUGGCAUUCACGCAACCAAAUGAAAUUAACACCAUUGGUAAAGUUGAAAGCUGGCAUAGACAUGAAUGGUCUCAUUAAUUUGCAAUUCUGGAAUUGGAAAAAGAUUUUAAACUAUCCUGAUAUAUAAAAUCUUCUAGACUCAGAAAGGUCAAGUAGCAUGUACUAUGGCGUCAUCACUAAAAGAAACGACAACAUCACAGACCAUUAUGGUUACUGAGACAAGCAAGCGGGCAUGUGCAUGUUAAAUCUGUAAGCUCAGAAACCCAUUGACUUCGGUCAUGUUGGUGUUUCUCUGGAUUCAUGUCAUGAUUUUAACUCCAAUAUCUUAGUACACAGUUGAUGAAGGGUAGGAAAGUUUCAAAAUCCUUUUAAUUCCGACAAUACCCAAGAUAAGAAAAAUAGGCUUAAUUCGUGUCGAUUCACACAGAACACCAAAGAAAAGCAACACAGAAGUUGAACAAAGCCAAGAACCUGAUUAGGUAAGACAGCCCUCGGCCUUUUCAAUGCCAGCCUUGAAAAGGCCCGUAUUUACACAAGUUGAUGAGAUAAAGGCCGCAUAAAAGAUAAGAAAUGACUAAGUCCUAAGAACUGGUAAUAGAUGUAAAAUAAACAAAUCAAAGGUAUCCUGAGAGAAAUUCAAUGCCUAAUUGGUAGAAAUAGGAAAUUUAUUACUGUGCUGCCUCAAUCACAUUGAUGCUCAUCUUCUUCAUUCCCAGUAAUUAAAAGUUAUAUGCUUAGUCUAGGGUAAUAACAGCAAAUCAGAGGAUUUAAACAGCGAUCAAGUGAAUUUUGCAAUGAAAUUAGCAUUUCAAAAUAAUACAUAGCAUUUCAAAAUAAUAUUAGAGGUGCUGUAAAUUACAGAUGAGGCUUAAUUUAGGAUUUACCUUCCAGCCGAUCUGAACAAGAGAGGACAGCAAUGCUCCCCUUACGGUCUGAAACAACAGCUGUGUCAACAUCCAUUAGAACACAAUCAGCCACUAACCUCUGUGAAGGAUCACAAUAUAUCUGCUCCAGUUUCCUGGCAUCCUAGCACAAAAGAAAGCAUGCAGAAAAUUUCAGAAUCAAUAUCACUAGCUGCCAGUCGCAAACCACUUUCUUUUAAGGAAAAUGGGAAAACCAAUGUAGACGUCACCUAAACAAAUUUAAAAGGAAAGAGCUGACAUGCGCAAAACAUUCUACUAUUUUAACGUACCUCAUGAUAAGAAUAGAAAAGAAUGCCAUCACGGCAAUCUCCAACAGCAAUUCUAGUAAAAUGAGCAGUCAGCAACAUGAUCAUAAAACGUGUCCUUCCUACAGCAAACCUCCUAACCCUCUGGGGAUUAUCAUUUGGAAAUCCACAUACAUAAAACUGAAACAUGAAGAAUUUUUUUUUCUUUUGUAAGCAACAGCCCUGGGUAACUGAGUUCAUUCUGGCAGCUUGAAAGCAUAUAUAGGAAAGAACCACUUACAGCAUUACCAGCAGAUGCCAAGAAGUAACGAUCAAGAUAUGGACAUAUUGCGAGCACCAUCCCUGGCCAUGUUGUUGAGUAGGCCAACCGCAGCUGCCAUGUUUCAGUCUCUUCAAGCUUAAUUCCAUCACAACUAGCAUCAUCAGGGCUACUGCAAAGACUACUGCUUGACAGUUGUUCUGUUGCAUAUCCAACAAUUUCACGGAAUGGUGAAGUUCGUUGAGAAGAUGACCCUGCCUUAGAACAAAAUGUCAUUGAACCACAGUCUGAAUUUUGCAUGUGUUCAAUACAGAGGACAAUCAGACGGCCCUUGGUACUGUUGAAAAGAAAUGCACCAUUUAGACAACACGUUCAUGGAAUUUCACGGGAAAUAUAUAGUGUUUAAAACAUCUUAAGCUUAGAUUUCAUCUACAGGUUGUCACGUGGAUCCAAGCACAGAUCCAUGAGGCUUUUGUCAGAGUUCUUUAAUUGAUAGAAUAAUAUAUAUAUAUAUAUUUGCCCCUCGGAAUGUAAAAUCAAGACUUCUACAAGAAACAAUUACCUUUCAGCUUCACCACUGGGCAUAAUGGCAGGACCAGAAGACAGGCUAGUUCCAACCACCAAAACCUGUUCAUGUCCAACCCUCACCAGCUCCAUGGACUUCCCUGUUUCUCCAAGUUCAAGCUUAAAAGAUGACAGCACUGACCCACUAAGGGGAUCAACACAACAUAUAUCAGAUGAACAUGUAUCAUUAUUCAGUUCUGUUCUCAUCACAAUCAAUAACCUGCUUUCACUAUGAUAAAGGACCUUCUUUGGAGUGCCUCCAAGAUGAAAUUUCGGCACAUUAAGCCUCUUAUUGUGCACCAUCUCCACCUAAAGAUAGAGUAAUUGAAGAUCAUGUAUGUCAACCUUGAAAACAGACUAGUAUUGAAACAUCCAGUUGAGAAACAUUGCAAAAUGACAACCUCGUAAGCAGAAUAAUAUUAAGAGAUCCAAUACAGAAACAUUACACAAUUGCACUUGAAACAAAUAUAUCAUAAAAUAGAAAUCAAUCCCUAAUAUAAAACAAACUCGUUACCAAUUUAAAAGUUCUUUACUUUUUCAUAGUUAAUCAAUUUCAAAACACAACGGAUACCAGAAAAUGAUAAGCAUCAGAGAGAUAACAACAAAAAAUUUGGUUGAGGAUGCAUGACGCCCUAACAUACAUGGAAACAAGAAAUGUAUUACCAACUUGAUAACAGAAUUAUUAUAGUACUUGGGAAUUUUGCAGCAUCAAAUCUCAUGUGACUAAAGCAUUUCCUCGUCAAUGUCCUAUGAACCUAACACGCAAACAGGAAAAUGACAAUCGGUUUAAUUAUUUAGAAUAUUUGUUUGCUCAUUAACCUUCUGCAAUCUUUCCUUAAUUUCCUACCAAGCAACUCAACCCACUAUUUGAACCAUGAACUUUUUUUAUUUCAGUAUACAAUAUACCUGAUAGAACAUCCAUUAAUGAUGACGAUUUCAUCCCUAAUCACUUAAGCAAGAGAGUGCCAUGGAUCUUUCUUUUUUCUUUUCCUCCUCAAAAUGUAUAGUACCUAAAGAAGAGGAAAGGAAAUUACAGAAUUGAAUUUAUUCUCUGCACCUUUUCUUAGUAUACAUGAUACCUAUAUACAUAGGACAAAAGGAAACCAAAUAAUUACAUAUUCUGCUGUACGGCCAAGGCGGAUGUACGGUACAGCAGAAUACAUUUACUUUGCCAUCAUAUUGAAUUUUCGUUUUUCUUAUUUCUACAAGAAACAAUUACCUUUCAGCUUCACCACUGGGCAUAAUGGCAGGACCAGAAGACAGGCUAGUUCCAACCACCAAAACCUGUUCAUGUCCAACCCUCACCAGCUCCAUGGACUUCCCUGUUUCUCCAAGUUCAAGCUUAAAAGAUGACAGCACUGACCCACUAAGGGGAUCAACACAACAUAUAUCAGAUGAACAUGUAUCAUUAUUCAGUUCUGUUCUCAUCACAAUCAAUAACCUGCUUUCACUAUGAUAAAGGACCUUCUUUGGAGUGCCUCCAAGAUGAAAUUUCGGCACAUUAAGCCUCUUAUUGUGCACCAUCUCCACCUAAAGAUAGAGUAAUUGAAGAUCAUGUAUGUCAACCUUGAAAACAGACUAGUAUUGAAACAUCCAGUUGAGAAACAUUGCAAAAUGACAACCUCGUAAGCAGAAUAAUAUUAAGAGAUCCAAUACAGAAACAUUACACAAUUGCACUUGAAACAAAUAUAUCAUAAAAUAGAAAUCAAUCCCUAAUAUAAAACAAACUCGUUACCAAUUUAAAAGUUCUUUACUUUUUCAUAGUUAAUCAAUUUCAAAACACAACGGAUACCAGAAAAUGAUAAGCAUCAGAGAGAUAACAACAAAAAAUUUGGUUGAGGAUGCAUGACGCCCUAACAUACAUGGAAACAAGAAAUGUAUUACCAACUUGAUAACAGAAUUAUUAUAGUACUUGGGAAUUUUGCAGCAUCAAAUCUCAUGUGACUAAAGCAUUUCCUCGUCAAUGUCCUAUGAACCUAACACGCAAACAGGAAAAUGACAAUCGGUUUAAUUAUUUAGAAUAUUUGUUUGCUCAUUAACCUUCUGCAAUCUUUCCUUAAUUUCCUACCAAGCAACUCAACCCACUAUUUGAACCAUGAACUUUUUUUAUUUCAGUAUACAAUAUACCUGAUAGAACAUCCAUUAAUGAUGACGAUUUCAUCCCUAAUCACUUAAGCAAGAGAGUGCCAUGGAUCUUUCUUUUUUCUUUUCCUCCUCAAAAUGUAUAGUACCUAAAGAAGAGGAAAGGAAAUUACAGAAUUGAAUUUAUUCUCUGCACCUUUUCUUAGUAUACAUGAUACCUAUAUACAUAGGACAAAAGGAAACCAAAUAAUUACAUAUUAUACUUUCCUAUUCUCUAGUGUUCACUACAUCUAUCAUAUCACAUCUACAGCUGCCAUAUCCCUAAUAAUAUGCUCAUGAUCCUGACUGAAUAAUCUCUCAGAUUUCCAACACUCCCCCUCAAGCUGGCUGGAAUAUAUCUUCCAUGGUCAGCUUGCUAAUUAAGUAAUUGAACUGCCCUUUGUACAGACCCUUUGUGAGAACAUCUGCAAUUUGCUCUGGAGUGGGUAUAUAAGACAUGCAGAUCACACCUUCUUCAAUUUUCUCUUUAAUAAAGUGCUUGUCAACUUCCACGUGUUUAGUCCUAUCGUGAAGAACCGGAUUAUGAGCGAUUGCAAUUGCUGCCUUGUUAUCACAGUGCACUUUCAUUGGUAAACUACUUUGAAAUUUUAAGUCUUCUAGUAACCUCUUAAUCCACAACCCUUCACAAAUGCCAUGAGCAACUGACCUGAAUUCAGCCUCAGCACUACUUCUUGCCACUACAUUCUGUUUUUUACUUCUCCAAGUAACCAAAUUCCCACCAACAAACGUAUAGUAACCAGAGGUGGAUUUUCGAUCAGUAAUGCUCCUAGCCCAGUCUGCAUCCGUGUAGACUUCCACCUGAAGAUGUCCCUGUUUUUUAAACAAUAGACCUUUACCAGGAGUUCCUUUUAGAUAUAUUAGGAUUCUGAACGCAGCUUCAAAGUGUUCUUGUCCUGGUGAAUGCAUGAAUUGGCUCACUCUACUCACUGCAAAUGCUAUAUCAGGACGCGUAUGGGAUAAAUAGAUCAGCCUUCCAACAAGUCUUUGAAACUGUUCUAUGUUCCCUACUUUCUCAGCUUUAGCAUGUUGGAGCUUCAAAAUGGGAUCUGUUGGGGUCCCAGCUGCUCUACAUCCGAGCAAACUUGUCUCACUAAGUAAGUCAAUAGUAUAUUUGCGUUGAGUAACAAAUAUACCCUCCUUGGACCUUGCAAUCUCCAUGCCAAGAAAAUAUUUCAAAGCUCCAAGGUCCUUUAUCUCGAAAUCCUUAGCAAGUUCCUUCUUUAAUUUCUCCAGCUCGCAUCUAUCGUCACCUGUUAAGAUUAUGUCAUCCACAUAAACAAUCAAGAUAGCUAUUUUUCCUUCCCUCGAAUGUUUAUAAAACAUAGUAUGGUCUGCUUGACUUUGACAGUAGCCAUGACCUUUUACGACUUUCCCAUAGACUUUUUUAGUUUGCAGACUUUUCCUUCAAAUUUCUUCUCAAACCCUAGAGGGAGGCUCAUAUACACUUCUUCUUCAAGAUCUCCAUUUAAAAAAGUAUUUUUUACAUCUAAUUGAUGUCAGGGCCAAUCGUAAUUUACAGCUAAUGAUAAAAGUAACCGGAUAGAAUUCAUCUCGGCAACAAGAGCAAAUGUUUCUUGAUAGUCAAUCCCAAGGGUUUGCAUAAACCCUUUUGCUACAAGUCUUGCCUUGUUCCUCUCAACACUGCCAUCAGCUUUACAUUUUAUAUUAAACACCCAUUUGCACCCUACAGUUUUUUUGUUCUUCGGUAGGUUCACCAACUCCCAAGCACCAUUCUUUUCCAAAGCAUUCAUCUCUUCCAUAACUGCUAACUUCCAACUCGGUUCAUCAAGGGCUUCCUUGAUAGUUCUUGGAACAAACAGGUCAGACACAUCAGAAAUAAAUGCUCUAUAACUAUUGGAUAAUCUAUCAUAGGAUAUAUAUUUUGCAAUGGGAUGUUGGGUACACUUUCGAACUCCUUUCCUAAUGGCUAUAGGAAUAUCAUGAUCUUUUGGUUCAAUAAUUGAAGGGUAUAAAGAUGAAGGAAGAACAGAAACAAGAUUAGGAUUAGAAGGAACAGGCCUAAGAUUGAAACUACCUGAAUCACUUGGACCUUUUUCCCCAAGUACUCAGGUUCAGGAAUCGGAAUAUUUUUGUUCUUCUGUAGUGUUUCUCCCCCUAUUUGUGAAUCAACUAUGUUUGGUAAAGUUUGGCUAGGAUUUUGAUCAGCCUGUUGUUGUGUCUGUUUUUCAAUAUCUAGAGAAGGAGAUAAGAGAAUAAGUUUUGGUAGCGGAUCCAAAGUUGUCUCCCAAAAUUUUUAUUCCUUUCCCUCUAUCUCCCCCUGAAGACAAUUUUUGGAAAAUAAGACUGACUUUCUAGAAAAGAGACAUCCAUGCUUACAAACAUUUUUUUUGUUUUGAGGAUAAUAACACUUGUAUCCUCUUUUGUUUGGUGCAUAACCAAUAAAAACACACUUUUCAGCUCUUGGAUCAAGCUUGGAUCGAAAGUUGCUAGGUAUAUGAACAUAGACAGUGCAACCAAAAAUUUUUAAUGGCAAAUCUGAAUUAAUUCUGCAUGUAGGAAAUGUUUUUUUGAAAUAAUCUAAUGGAGUAACAUAUUGUAAAACACGAGUAGGCAUUUUGUUUAUUAAAUAAGAUGCUAUCAAAAUUGCAUCUCCCCACAAAUAUUUUGGAAUAUGCAUCGAAAACAUUAUGGCUCGAGCCACUUCAAGUAAAUGCUUGUUUUUUCUUUCGGCAAUGCCAUUUUGUUGCGGAGUAUCACAACAGGUAGAUUGAUGUAAAAUGCCUUUUUCUUAAAAAAAAAUUCCCUAGAUGUUCAUUGAAAUACUCUUUCCCAUUAUCAAAACAAAACAAACACAUUUUUUAUUGAAAUUGGUUUUUGACCAUUUUGUAAAAAACUUGAAACAUAGUUUUUACUUCAGAUUUGUCAUCCAUUAAAUACACCCAGCAAAGUCGUGUGUGAUAAUCUAUGAAAGUAAUAAACCAUUUUUUUCCAGUCCUAGUAGUGAUCCUAGAGGGACCCCACUCAUCACUAUGAAUCAAAUAGAAUGGUUUGGAGGCACGGUAUAGUUUUGUCUAAUAAGUAGCUCUAUGGCUUUUAGAUAAAUAGCAACUGUCACAAUGAAGAGAAUAACAAUCCAAAUAUUGAAACAACUAGGAUGUCCUAGCCUAAGAUGCCAAAACAUUAUUUUUUCAUGAGCAUAAAUUGACCACACACUACCACCAUAGCCUUGAGCAGUUUUAUUCUCGAAAGGAUUGCUAACAAAAUAAUAAAGACCAUGGACCAUUUUAGCACUGCCAAUCAUCUUCCCCGAGUUCCAAUCUUGGAAUUCACAAUGAGAGUCAAGAAAGACAACACAACAGUUAGAGUCUUUAGAAAUUUUACUGACAGAUAACAAAUUGCAAGCUAAUUUUGGAACAUGAAGGACAGAUUGAAGAGUUAUUUGAUUAGAAAUUUCUAUUUGACCUUUUCCUACAAUAGGUGAAAAACUACCAUCAGCAAUCCUUACUCUUUCAUUUUUAUAACAACGUGAAUAAUUACUGAACAAACUAGAAGAGGAAGUCAUGUGAUCAGAUGCUCCUGAAUCAAUGAUCCAGGGAGCAGAAUUUAGACUACCAGAUAGAGAAUUAAGGUUGCUACCUGUCUAUGCAAGAGCACUACAAGGAGUACUAGAUAAAGAGUUGGGCUUUAGCAGUUCAAGAAGAUGGUCCAUCUGCUCCUUAAUGAAUGGACUCUUUUCAACUUCAUUUGCAUAGGAGGUUGCUUGAUUUGAUUUGUCACUCGGCUUGUUGUUCUUCCAAUUAGCAGGUUUCCCAUGGAUCUUCCAGCAGUUAUCUCGAGUAUGGCAUGGUUUAUGACAAAAAUCACACAAUAUUCGAGGUUUUUCAUUCUGCCUUUGCUGAUUGAAAACCUUAUUUGCAGUUGCAUCUGAUGCAAUCAUGACUGAAUUUUCAACAGGGGCAACAACCACUUCUUUCCAAGCAUCACGUUCCUGCGACUUUCCUCCCUUCUUACUUCCGCAAAGACCUCACCAAUAGCGGGUAGAGGUUGGCGACCAAGAAUCCUCCCCCUAACCUCAUCAAAAUCUACAUUUAAUCUAGCCAAGAAUUUGUAAAUACGAUAAUCUUCUACCAUCUUUUUGUUGUGAUUGUAGUCCGCUUUUGAUUCCCAUUCAUAGUCAUUAAACAGAUCCAAAUCUUGCCACAACCUCUUCAGAGAAUUGAAAUACUUAGUGACGUUGUCCACUCCACGGUGAAGUUCACCAAGCUUUAUUGUCAAUUCCUAUAUUUGGGACUGAUUUCCCAAAUCUGAAUACAUCUGGUUUACAUUAUCCCAGAGUUCUUUGGCUAUUGGGUAACACAUGUAAUUGGAGCUGAUAUCUUCCUCCAUGGAUUUUACUAGCCCUGUCAUCAGCAUAGAGUUUUCAGCAUCCCAAGUUGCGUAAGAUGGGUCUUCUUUUGCCCGUUCCUUCUUAUCUCCAAUCAAAUAUCUCAUCUUUCCUCGUCCCUGAAGAUACAUCCAGACAGAUUGGGACUAACGCAGGAAAUUAUCACCAUUCAGUUUGAUAUUAGUGAUUUGGACAGAGUGAGAAUCGGAAGUAAGGACAUGGGUUUCUGUGGUUGUCAAUGGGGCAGUUCUGAAAAGAGUAGAUUGAAAUGUAUUUUCUGACAUGGUAGAGCAACACUAGUUCCCCUUUCUUUAUAUAUAUAUAUAUAUAUAUAUAUAUAUGUCAGAGAAUAAAUCCCUACUCUGAUACCAUAAAGAAGAGGAAAGAGAAUUACAGAAUUGAAUUUAUUCUCUGCACCUUUUCUUAGUAUACAUGAUACCUAUAUAAAUAGGUAAAAUACUAUACACACAAAAAGAAACCAAAUAAUUACAUAUUAUACUUUCCUAUUCUAUAGUGUACACUACAUCUAUCACAUCACAUCUACAGCUGCCAUAUCCCUAAUAAUAUGCUCAUGAUCCUGACUGAAUAAUCUCUCAGAUUUCCAACAGUACCUAUGUUUUGCAGGGGUUAGUUGCAGGGUCACACAAAGCUAAAGGAGCAAAAUACACAAGCUAGGUUAGGGUCUCACCAAGUUUCCUAUCCAUUUAAAUGGCAGGACUAUGAGUGCACCUUAACGCAAGCCAUAGAGUUAAACGCUAUUUUCCUUUUUGACAAGAAACUAUAUGUUAUAUUAAUGAUGAAGAAUCGUUACAAGGAGUGGACCACCUGUUCGCUGAGAAAGCAGAAUAAUGAAAACUUUUCUGUGCUAUACAAAAUAUGCCAAUCCUCUACAACAUUAGACCAACCCAGAACGCCUAUCUCAAAACACUCUCCCAACUUAGAUGAAUGAAGAAAAAAGAUGAAUCUUGGAACUCCUUAGAAAUUGAAGCCCAAAGUGAAGCUAGAAGACGGAUUCUAUCCUAUAAUUCUUCAAUAUUAUCUGCAUUUUUCCCUUCAAAAAUAAGAUUUCUUUCCUGCCGUAUUACCCAAAACAGAGCUGCCACAGCACAUAUCCAAAGAGUUUUGGCCUUUUUUCCCUUACCAAAAGCAUAGAAAUUCUCCAUAAGAAUAGAGUGUCAAAAACCCAGAAUGAUCCACAAAACGUUAGCCUCUUUGCACAACCUAUUACACAAAUUUGAGGCCACAAAACAAUGAAGAAAAAGAUGAUUACAAGUUUCUGUGCUUAUUCUGCACAUCACACACCAAGCAGGAGUUUUUUUUUUUUUUUUUUUUUUUUUUCUAAGAAAAAAUUGCUAAGAAACAAAAGAUUAAAUAAAACUAUAAGAAAUAUGUACAAGGAUUAGGAGGACUACAAAUCCACAAAAUAAGGACGAGAAGUCCCAAUAUAAACAAAACACUUGGAAACUGCAAAGAUAAAAUAUCCCAAAACCUAAAAACACUAGCUCACUAAGAGUGCAUCCCUGUUAAGAUAUAAAAGCUUCCCAAUUAAGCAAAAUAAAAAAAAAGGAGAUAGACACAUAUUAGGGAACUUUCUUCGAAUCAGUUCCCCAAAGUUUGAUUUUCCUUGAGCCAAGGCCCACAAAAAGACUUCAAUUUUGGGAGGAAUCCUAGCCUUCCAAAUCAUUGAGUCAAACACUAUGUUCAGUGCAUAAAUAGAUCAGCUCCAUGUUGAACUCAUAGAGUGACAAGGGCUUGAACAAGUGAACAGUAUUUGAACAUAUGAAGCAAAUGACAUUGCUAGUUACAACCUCAGGCUACAUUCCUAAGAGAAUAAAAAAAACAAGGAAAGAAAAAGAAAAUUGAAGAUUCGGCUGAGAUAUUUUGGGGAUUUGUUAGCUGUUUAUUUGUAUGUAAAUAUAAAUCAGGAAAGUAAGAUAUUAGGCUAGCUAGUGUAAUUAUUAGUUCCUAUGUUUAUUCUGCGUAUUCUCCUAUAAGUGGGAAAUUGUGUAAGUUAUUUAAUUGAGAGAGUAAAAUAUAGAAUACUCUAUUUCUGAUCAGCUCUUCUAAGUUUAUAUUGUUUCAGAGAGUAAAUAUGAUCUCUGGCAUUUUCUGUAAAGAAAAUACUUUGAUUACUAUGUUUGAUACUUCAUCUGAGUCCAUCUCUUCUUCUUCUACUACCCAGAAAAAAACUCUGAAACCCUAGCCUCCAACCAUGAAUUGCAUCCUAUCAAAUCAUCACUACUCGCUUGAAUGGUAGUAACUUUCUGCACUGGUCUUAAUCCGAUCAGAUGUAUAUCCGUGACGAGGGAAGUUUGGCUACUUGACUAGAGAUUUCACGGUACAAGACCCAACGAAUUCGACGUAUGUGAUCUGGGGGCCAGGAUCUAGAUCUAUUAAGCAAUUAUGACAGAAGUCUCCAGAGGAUUUUAAUCACCACAAGAAAAUUGUGAAAAACAAUUGCAUCUACAAAUUUCUUGCUAGUCUCAAUAUUAAGUUUGAAGAAGUGAGGGGGAGAAUAAUAGGCAAAAAACCUCUUCCCUUAAUAAGCGAAGCUUUCUCUGAGGUUAAAAGAGAGGAGAGUCGCAAGAAUGUAAUGAUUGGAAACAAAAAUUCUAGUAGGUCAAUAGAGAACUUAGCACUAGUCGCUUCUGAUGCAAAUGCCAGCACGGCCAUCACAAAUCAAAGGAAGACUGAUGACAAACCUCGUGUAUGGUGUGACUAUUGUAACAAACCUUGUCAUACUCAGGAAGCAUGCUGGAAGAUUCAUAGUAAACCAACAAAUUGGAAAAGCAACAAAAUGGGUGACAAAUCCAACCGUGGAUUUCCAUCAGCAGAUGAAGUUGAGACAAGUCCCUUCAGCAAAGAGCAGAUGGAUCACUUUUUUAAACUGCUAAACUCCAAUUCCUUAUAUGGUAUUCCUAGUGAUUCUCUUGCUCAAGCAGGUAGUGACUCUAAUGCCUUAUCCUAUUGUUUAAAAACUGCUCCUUAGAUCAUAGAUUUUGGAGCCUAUGAUCACAUGACCAGUUUUUCUACCCUAUUUUGUACUCAUUCCCCUUGUUCUGGAAAAGAAAAAUUAGAAUUGUCGAUGGAAGUUUUUCACCUAUUGCAAGAAAAGAUUUGGUAAAAUUAUCCAAGAAUAUAAAUCUUAAAUCAGUUCUACAUGUUUCUAAAGUUCCCUGUAACCUCUUAUAUGUGAGUAAAUUGUCUAGAGACUCUAAUUGUUGUAUAACUUUCUUUAACUCUCAUUGUGAAUUUCGAGACCAGACUUCAGGGAGGAUGAUAGGGAGCCUUUAUUAUUUUGAUAACAACUUCUCCAGUAAUAAAAAAGCUCAAGACUUUAGUAGUAUUAAUUCUCAUUCUGCUUGUGAACAAAUAAUACUUUGGCACCUUAGAUUAAGACAUCUUAGUUUUCCUUAUCUAAGGCAUUUAUUUCCUUCUUCAUUUAAAGGUUAGAUUGCUCAUCUUUUCAACGUGAAAGUUUGCAUUUAUCAAAGGGUCGUUGCACUACUUACUCAUCAAGACCUUGUCAUGCAUCAAAACCAUUUUACCUAGUUCACAAUGAUGCGUGGGGCCAUUUUAAGAUUUGGUGAAAAAUGGUUUGUAACUUUUAUAGAUGAUCAUACUCGUUUGUGUUGGGUAUAUUCAUUGAAUAAAAAAACUGAAGUAGAAAACGUGUUCAAAGAAUUUAAUAAGAUGGUGGAACACCAAUUUUUAACUAAAAUUAGUAUUCUUCAUAAUGAUAAUGGUACAGAGUAUUUUAGUGAGCACUUAGGGAAUUUUUUGAGAGAAAAAGGCAUUCAUCACCAAUCUACAUGCAUUAAUAAUCCACAACAAAAUGGAAUCGCCAAAAGAAAAACAAACAUUUACUUGAAGUAGCUCUUUAUAAUCUUUUCAAUUCAUGUUCUGAAAUAUCUUAGGGGUGAGGCUAUUUUAACAGCAUCCUAUUUGGCUGAGAUAUUUUGGGGAUUUCUUAGCUGUUUAUUUGUAUGUAACUAGACAACAGGAAAGUAAGAUAUUAAGCUAGCUGGUGUCAUUAUCAAUUCCUAUGUUUAUUCUAUGUAUUCUUCUCGAAGUAGCAAACUCUAUAAGUUAUUUAAGCAAGAAAGAGUAAAAUACAAAAAAACUCUAUUUCUGAUCUUCUCUUCUAAGUUUAUAAAACAAUGACAAAGUGGUCCAGUACACUUUUUGCAUUAACAGAAUUGUGCAGAUAACAGAUCAAAAACCUACCUAAUUUCUUGAGAAUAGAUAAGAUACCUAAGAAAUUUCAAUUCACUGUUCUAGUAAGCUAAAUGCAUGUUAAGUUGCUAUCCCAACUGCACAUAUUAUAGUUCUCAAUUCCAACUAUCCAGUGAAAGGCAACACGCAACAUUUGCUAAGCUUAUGCUGACCACCUUGAAACUAAUGCUCAAUGGGCACAAAUCACCAGAAUAUCUAAAGAGAAAGAAAAGAAUGAUACCACAAGAAUCUAACAACCCAAAAACUAAGACACAAUGAUAUCAAAUAAAGCAAUGCACAAGAAGUAAGUGCAUUGUUACAAUCAUUAAAGCAUCAUAUUUAAGGGUUAAUUUCUCUACAACAUGUUCAAGAUAUUCCAAGGACCUUUUAUUCUUCUAUUUUUUAUUUUUUUUUUACUUUUCCCCCAGAUUGUAUAACAUCCAGAAAUAAAACUGUGAUUAUUAACAAUGGAGAAAAAAAAAUACCAUAAAGAGAAUAGAGAAACCAUAAGAACUGAUAACAACAUAAAUUGGGACUCUUACCAAAUUUAGACUGUUCUCUGCAACAAAUAAAAUCCCUUUAGGGCAUUCAACAGAACACACAGGAGUCGCAUGUGUUGAAGGUUGAAAUGAAAUAGAAGUAUAAGCCAGGCUGUGCCUUGCAGUUUGCAACAACCACGGCCUGUCACUGAGAGCAAUCAUGUCUGCGUCAAGCAAGUCACUCAGAGGAACAAGGAAAACAGGAGUGAUGCCAAUGCGACGGGUGGCAAUCAAUUGAAGAUUAAUCGGAAGCUCAUCUUUGGACUCUUCAGAUAAAUUAAAAGCAGACAUUUCUGAACCAAAAGAACUAGUAGCCGCUAUACCUGAUCGAAUAUUCUCUGUAUUUCUGAAAGUGGCACUAAUAGGACUGUGAAUGGGUGCAACAGAUGAAGGUAUAUUAGAGUCAGGAGGCCACUCAAACCGAAGGAGCAUUCCAUUCCUCAACCCCGCAAGAACAUAAAACUGAUCAGCCAACACAAGUCUCACAUCUUGAGGAAUGCAGCCACUAAUAGCAGUUCCCAUAGUAUUUGUCAACACAAUUGACCCAGAAGCAAGAACUCUCAACCCUUCCUUGGGUACAAAUGACAGAACUUCCACUGAAGGCCUAUGUGUGCCAAUAACAAAGGUAUAACCAAUGAUAACUCCAGCUGGAAGUGCAGGCACACUGCUAUUACUCACAAGACUGAUGGGAGAACUUGAUUUUCUUCGCUCAGGAUGUUUUUGAGGUAUGGAAAUGCAUGAUAACUCACUCUGCAAUCUCAUAUGUUGCAUCUCAUAUAUUUCAUAAUGACUCACUGAGAGUGAUCUGACCCCAAGAAUAAAUAGGAAGCAUGGAUUAGAAGUAGAAACAAUUAUCAUAUUAUGAGCAACUGCCCCCAAACUGAUGCUUACGUGUUCUGGGAACCAAGAUGUACAAACUGGAUAUGACAACGGGAUACCCCCAGAAUGGGCAACCAUGGUUGGCAUACAAAGCCUAACAGCAUUUUGGUGAAUCUGAACCAGCAAACCAUCAGCGACAAGCCCACAUGCCAAAGUACAGACAUCAGGCCGGAAACCAACAGAAUCAGUCACAUCAGUAAAGUUUAGGCCUACUCUUAGCACCCUGGUCUCUUCAACAAAUGAUAGUACAAGAAAAGAAUGAUAUGGAUCAGAUACUUUCAUCCGAACUGUCCAAGUACCAGUAAUGCCCUGAUAUAUAGGGGCAGUUCUCAAUAGUUUUUCUAAACUUAUACCACUCCGAAUAAUCCUUAAUGAUCCCUCUGGUGCCACUCCACAGCAUGCAAACAUUUGAUCACGUUUUUCAUCAUGGUAAUCCACAACUGACAUGUCUAAUAUCGGUGCAAUGUUUUGAAUGGGACUUGUGUAUACUAAUCUUCCAUUUUCUUCUUUCAAGACCAUUCCAUCCCCCAUUUCUACAAAUGCAGACAGGAACCUCCCUUCAACCCACAAAAGUGCCUUGCAUGGUGGGCCUUUGUAAAGACAUUCUGACAGAUGAACUUUAUGGCCAUCAGAACCAAAAGCAAUUUCAAUCAUAAAAAACUCACCUGUAUCCACACAAAACACCAUCUUUGGAAUCUUAUCAGUUUCUGGUUCCCAACUCCACGAGCACACAUGUUUGGAGGGCUCUUUUGCAUUGCCACUGUCACUAUCUAUACACAUGGGAUCAUAAUCGCGUAGCUCCAAUAAAGCACAUGCUGCAACAUUGAACAAACCUUCAUCAUCAACAUCAUGUACUCUACAAGACUCGUCAACAAAAUUUUGUUCCUCUAGAGCAGGGGGUAAAAAGUUCAGGCUUGUUCUAUAAACGCAAGAGGGAUUGUGAGGAUCUCUAAGAUCCAUUAAUAAUGCAUCACCAAUCCUAAACACAAAGGCAAAUCCAUAAGAACGUGGAACUUCAACAACACAAUGUGCCAGUGGUCCAGCUUCAAAAAAACAUGAAAGCACACUUAUAGCAUGUUCCCUAAUAUUCCAUCCCACUAGCAGCAAUUCGUUCAAGAGCGCCCCUCUCCUGCAGGACCAAAUUUUAAUAUCUUAGCAGGAAACAUCAACCAAAAAAGAAAAGAAAGAACGAGAGAACAACUUUCAACUCGUAGGAUCAAAAAAAUGGAGAACAUAAAUAAAAAUACCCUGAGUAGAAAAUUAACAUAUAGAAUAAUCAUACCUAUUCAGAAUAAUGGCUAGUAUCGGAUUAUGCUCCUUACUUGGUUGACGAGGAUCGGUUGAAAUAAAGCACAUGCUCCAUAUUGUACCACUUAUACUGUUUUUUUGGGCAAUUCUGGAAGCAGAUGUGUCCACUUCACUUUCAGAAGGAUAACAUAUUUUCUGAAAUAGUGACAUACAAGGGUAUCAGUAACUGUACAAAAUAAGCCCCUUUGGCACUGCACACAGAAUGCAUUGACAGAAGAAAAUGUUCCACAAAAGGAAUAUAAUACGUACUCUAAAACAUAUGAGCAAAUAUUAUCAACAAUAUCACCUUAUCAAUAAUAUCACUUCCAGAAGACAUUGAGAGGGAAAACAAACCCAAUCGAUCUUCAUAUGCACUAACAGCAAUGAGGCAGCCACUGAGAAAGCAAAACAGCACAGAUUAGGAGAAUUGGGAGGAAUGUCUGAUGCAAAUUAAAACAAAUGAAAGAGGUAAAAAAUGUCAAGUUGCCGCAUUUUAUUUAAACAGAUAUGUAGAAACUAUUGAUGCCCUUUCUUAUUGGCAAAGGAAUGAGCAAGCAUCCCUUUUGCAAUUACAAGAAAUAGUUUGCAUAGUGCUGUCCAUCUAAAAGCUGUACUAUAAAAGGGGAAGGGAGGAAUAAAAUAAAGCCUAGAGUCCAAUUUUGGAAAGAUAAGAGAAAAUAAAAAGGGCAAGAUAACCAAAAUAAAGAUUAGUUCACAGCCAUGCACAUAUGACGCAUAGCCUAAAGAACAGCCAGCCAAAAAAAAAAUUGAAAAGAUUUUUUUCCUAUCCUAGUGUCAAAGGUGACUUGCCUGGAAUCAACCGCCAGCAUUCUUCCAAGUUGAUGCCUUGAGUUUCCUGGAUUUGAAAGAUGAACCUGUGCCACCGGGAAAAACCUACCUCAAAAGACAAAAAUGAAUAAUUUAUCACCAAAGUAAGCAUCCUCAAGAUUCAGUAAAACCAUUCCUUAUCCACAGACAAGCUAUAUUAAGCAAGAAAAUUCAGAAACCUGUGCAUUUCAUUGCAAAAAGCGAGAAAUGAGAGCUUCCCCGAAUCAGAAAUAACAACCAGAAGGUCUUUCCCCAUCAACUACAGAAGGAAAAAGUGAAUCAGGGAAUAAAAUGGUUACAGAAGGACCAGGUAAAUGUCACUAUCAAAGGAUAAUUGCCUUUCAUAAAAGGUAAUUUCUUUAAUCAGUACAAAGAUUUAGUUAAAACUAAGUUCUCUAUAACUACCUGCGAAUUCUGAGCAUUGAACUUUUUGUUCCAAGGUACAACAGCAAGGUCCUUAAUUGUGCCAAAUACAGCCUGCUCACAAACUGAUUGUACAAUCCCAUCUUCACCAAUUAUUACUAACUCUAUUGACGUCUCCUAAAAAAUGCCAUCACCAAAAUACUGUCAGACUAGUACAUAAUAGCAAGCGCUCAAGAAUAAAUAAAUAAAAACCACAAUGUCAAGUUGCAUUUAAGUAAAAACAUGCACGCAAUGACAGGUUUCCAUUUUCAGUUCUCCAACAAUGAAGCUCCAGCAGCUGCUUGAUUCUACUUUUAGUAACAUUUCAAAGUGACAAUUUUCAAUCAACUUUCACCAGAACGCGAUUAAGUUUCAAUACACGCAAUACGUGAGAAAACUGAAAUCGAGGACCUUGCCGAAUACGACGUCGUUGGAGGUCGGAGAGCGGAGAUGCCCGUGGGCGACCUGAAGAACGACGCUUCCUUUAAGAACGCAUUUGGCAAGGUAAUGAAUGUUCCGAGGAGGCGACGCGGGGGCCGACGAUGAAGACGGUGACGAUCGCGACUUCGCCGUCGAGCACACUUCCUCCGAAACCGCCAUCACGAUUGAUGUUUUCUUGUUAUCGUGAUGAAGAAGCUAGGGCUUAUCGGUUUGUUCGUUCCUUUGUACUAUAUCAAAGGAAAUGGAAGCUUUUAGGGCACUGGAUUAUUCAUGGCGAAUUGAACUGAAUGAACAUCGUAGGUGAAUCCAGUUGAGAGGGGGCGCUGCGUAUGAAACUGCAACUCCUGUAUUAUUGCAAAUGUCCUUUUCAUUUCUUUGUUGUUAUUAGUGAUCAGUGAAUAGAAUGACGAAUUUUUAACCAUUUUGGUAAUUUAUGAUAAGUUUGGGGCUUGAAAAGACUCUGGCUUCUGACUUUCUGCUAUCCUUUCAUGGGAAAGUCCUUUAUGCCUUAUCCUAGGGGGUGACAAUGACAUGUUUCUAAAAUUAUUAGUAGAAAUUUGUAGUUAAUUUACUUGGUAAGGUUAGUUAAGGCUUAAAAAUGGUACUACAAAUUUGUUGUAACGUUUAGGAAUGCAAAAUCUUGUGUAAACUGCUGAUUUGCCAUCAAAAUAUUGAUUGAUUGAAUUUCACCUGUACCUAGAUUCAUUUAUUAUAUUAAAUUUUACAUUUUAUCUAACUAAUAAUGUAUAAACAGCCAGUUUCCAUUCUCACUAAGCAUUCAAUUCAUAACUAGAAAUUAAUAAUGUCGGGACUCCGUAAUAUUUCACUACAUUCAUAUGAUAGAAUUGAUUGGAGUGAAUAUGCGAACAAUCAUAAGCAAAAAUGUUAUGAAACGCUCAGGUUACAACUAUAUAUAGUAUUAAAGAACGAUGAUCUGGUCAAAUUUAUGUUUGAUAAUUAAACAUGCUAAUACUAUUAGAUAAUAUAUCAGUACCAUUCUUCCAAGACAAACUGCUAAUGCACAGAAUGUAAUUUUUCACAAUUGAAGCUGCCUACAAUAUAUGAAGACUCCCCGAUUGCAAAACUGUACUUGUUAUCAAUAUUCACUACCUCCAGACAUUAGAUAACAGAAACUUCUAGCAAUCUUGCCAGUAGAAUCUCCCGUCAGUAUAGAUACAGUUCUCAAAUGCUCUACUGUCCCUCUAAGGUUCCAAGGGACUCCUUGAGACGUCGUUGUGCUUCUUCUCUCCGCCUGGAAAAGCAAUGGAAACAACUUUCAGAGAAAAAUUAUGGAACAUUUAAGUUCAAAUAAUUUUCAAAUUCUAUCAGCUGUUACAGUCCCUACACAAAGAUCACUUCUGCCUUGUAAUAGCUUCAAAAUACCACUGCUCGUAAUAAUAUCAACUCCAUUUGCAUGACACAUAAAAAAGGAAGGAACUUAUAAUCAUGGCACUGUGUUGUCAUAACUGAGUUAUUUGUGAUAAAUGAUUAAUGUGGUACAUAUUCAGCAUAGACCACGAUGCUCAAUUGAUCAGCCAGUUUGUGAUGCUGACAAUACAUACUCACCAUACAGCUCCUCAAAUUUCAUAAUGAUGCUACCCCCUUAACCCAAACUAAGCCAACAUCAAAAUUUUACCCAAAUAUGAAUCAAUUUUACACUAUUUAUGAGAAUAGGUAAAGUUUUCAAGCACAUCAAACAUGGCCCAAAAGUUGUAACAAAUAUACCCUUUGAGACUAUUAUUUCAGAACGAGAAAUUACUGCAAAACCAAUGCUCCUAGACACCAAAUCUCAACCCAAGGGUUAUGAUGAAGUGAAGUGGUAGACCAAUCAAGUGUUCGAAUCCGACCCACACCAGGGUUGGGCAAGGAUAGAGAAACAAGCCAGUAGACAAAUAUCAUACACUAGUCAGAAAGCACAUUGUUAUUUGUUUGGCAUUAACCUAUAACCUAUCACACAGCAUGUGAAAUGAGAUCAUCAACAAUUCACCGUUAUCACAAUAAUAAUAGGGCUAUUCAAACCCUCAAAUAAUCCUACUGUAACUUGUAUAAAAGGACUGAAUCACACCUCUGAAUUCUCAAAAAAGUUUCAUUUUCAAGCAGCUUGUAAGUAUUUCACUAAGGUUUGAAUAAAUCAUACCUCUUUAUAUCCUCCACAGCUUGUUUACGGCGCUGUAUCUGAAGCUCUAGGAUAUGUAUUAAUGUUGCUCUAGCCUGGAGUGCAAAAGAUGCAACACACGGAAUGUGAGCGGGUGGUUUCUCAAACAUGAACCAAGAAAAAGAUCUUGUUCACAUAACAAUAUUCUACCUGAUGAGGACGUAAUGAAUUGAGAAGAUGAUGCAAGUUCUUGAAUAUAAGAGAUAUGUCUUCCACUCUCCUGGCAUAUUGAGAUGGUCUCUCAACAAGGACAUCAGAAAGUUCCAAUAUGUGCAGCUGCAAUUCUCUGUUCAGUGACCUCAAUUCUUUCUUGAAAUCUACACAAAGUAGCAGUAAGAAUUUCAUUGCCAAAAUCAUUUUAGCAGCAAAAAUAUGAUGCAUGUAUAAAAACUUGUGAAUGCUUAAUGUCCCUCUACAAUCACUUUAUAACACUUUGGUAAAUAUAAGUGAAUAAGAAGAAGAAUCUCCUGCCACCUUCCUAAACAAUCACUUUCUAAAACUUAUGAAUGCUCAACGUCCCUAAACAAUCAAUUUAUAAUGCUUGGUAAAGAUAAGUGAAUAAGAUUUGAAGACAACUAAGCAAUGUGAUCAAGGUGACAAUCAUAAUAACUGCCUUGAGAUAUCCCAUAAAACUUAGUACUACGGCAAUCCCAAUAAAACAAAAAGGGACUACUGGUUUCCUAACUCUUUGGAUAUGUAUACCUGAACAGUUGUAUAUACAUUCUCCAAAGAGUUGUUACCAAUUCUUACAGACUACAGGAUUGCAGCCAUUUUCUAAAACCUUUUUAGGGACUUAUCACCCCGCACAGGAUAUGUAAGUGAGCAGAUACUUUCUCAGUGAUGAUGUCCUCAUUUCUCAAUCAAACUCUCAAUUCAUCGUUUGGACAAAACUCUAUAAAUGAAGCAGCACAAUUACAACAGCAUCAGUCGAACAAAGUCUGAACUCUUGCAAUCUUUCCUCCAGAGAAUAUAUUAAAAAGAAUCCAUUUAUAGCCUUCCACUGACACUGAUAUUUAAAUAUUAAAGUCACAAACUAAAAGAUCAUACCCAGCACCCUGCCUUGGAAAAGAAAAAAAAAAAUUUCCCGUGUAAAUAGGUUACAAGUUAGCAUACGCCAUGUGACAA
rnacentral:lncRNA from 1 species